rnacentral:lncRNA from 1 species
GAGAAUGAUGCUGUAGGACAAGAGCUUCAGAAGCAACUUGAAGCUGUCGGUAAUUGCCCUAUCGAUGAGGGUGUGAGGGCAUUUGUCUUGUUCACUUAUGUAUGUCAAUUUUUGGUCGAAAGUGAUAUCUUCUAUGAUUUUUGGCAUUGGCAGAGAAGGAAUUGAAGCUGGUCCAGGAGCUAUUCAGCCAGGCAACAGAUAACUGCUUCAAUUUGAAGAAACCAGAAUAAAAAUUGAAGACGCUUCUCUUCUUUACCUUUUUCAUAAAAUUUAUGCAGUAGAGAUGAUGACUGAGAGAAAUAGGCAUUCUACCGUUCGAAUAGUGCAAAGAGACCUGAGAUGUCGCAGCUCUGUGUGGGUGAGUUUUGAAGUCCUUGCCGAGUAAAAGUUUCUCAGUGCACAAAAAGCAUCAAUAUGGGCAUCAAGUCAACCAAACAAUCACUCAAAUGAAGUAGUUCUGGUGAAGUAAGAAGUCUAGUCUUGAAUCUUUAAUUGCAAAAACAAACUGUAAUGUUACAUUAGCGAUGGAAAGUUCUCUGUUUUGUUGUUCACCUUCCUUCCCUCUGAAGUUUUCAAAGAUUGCUUUCUUACUUUUUGGUCCUUCUGAGGAAGGUCUUGGUAUCGGAUGGAGCAUGGGCUUGUUUGCCCUUGCAGUGUAGAUCAAGAAUCAAGAAGGCAACUUUUAUAGUUGUGAAGUUCGAGAAAUCAGAGUUUCCCAUGUUUGAACGAGAGAGGAGAACAGGGCGGGCUUCGGCUUUGAACACUAGACCCCUAGUGGGCGUGCGUCGGGUUAUGGCUAGCUUACCCUCUUUAGGGUGCUCUUCUUGCAGGCUUCGUGGACCCAAAUAAAAGGCCCAACCAUUAGUUUAGAACUCUCCAGAGUGGACGUAGGGUGCGUUUGGGAAGCAUUUUGGGGAAAGUCUUUGGGAAAAUGCAAACUGUAUUUAGUAAAUUGUAGUUUGAAAGUUCUUUGUGAAGUAUUUUGAGCAAAAUGGUAUUUGGGGAAUUAUAUUUACAAAGGACUUUUGUGAUAAAAAAAAUUAUCAAAAGAAAAAUAAAAAAAAAUUAACCGGCAAGGGCAAGGGUCGGGAGACCCUCGAUGAGGGCUACCAGAUGUCGGGUGACCCUCAGCGAGGGCUGCCGAACGUCGGGCGAUCCCGCCGCGACCCAAAUCUGGGGCGGUGAGGGCUGCUAGACGUCGAGCGACCCUCGGCAAGGGCUGCUGGACGUUGGGCAACCCCGUCGCGACCCAGAUCCGGGGCAGAGAGGGUUGCCAGACGUCGGGUGACCCCGCCGCGACCUAGAUUCGGGGCGGAGAGGGCUGUCGGACGUCGGGCAACCCCGCUGCGACCCAGAUCCGGGGGUGGUGAGGUCGUGGGAGGACCUCGCCGCCUCCGGCUCUGGGUCGUAGUGGGGUCAUGCGACCUCGCCGCCCCCGGAUCUGGGUCGGCGAGGUUGUGGGAGGUCGCGCGACCCAAACCUUGCCGCGACCCAGAUAGGGUGGUGAUUGCACCACUCCCCGGCGACGGUCACUUGGGCCACCACGACCAUACUGAGUCAUCAGCGGCCGCUCACAGCUUCGAGCAAGCUGUCAGCAAACCUCAACCGAGAAGAAGAUGACCAUUACAAUGACGAGGGCAAAAUCGGAAAAUCAAGAAUAAGUGAGGAUGGUUUUGGAAGAAAAUUAAAAAAAAAAUGAAUAGUGCAACUUGUAUGCCGAAAAAGCUGAAAGCCCAAGGCACCCUCACACCUACUUUGGGCUUUCAACCUUGAGAAGCCAACUUUGGGCUAAUGGGAAUUUGAAAGUUGUUCCCAAAUACCCCAACUUUGGUCUAAGUAUCUUUGGAAGCCCAAAGCCCUUUGCAAAGCUAAUUCCAAACGCACCGUAAACAACCAAGAGAAUAGUAUAUCCUCUUCUCCAAAAGGGACCAUGAGAAUGCUCGGCUUUUUGGUUGAACUGCCCACAUUGUUGGUGUUGUUAGGGUCCCAGAUGACGGACAUACAUUGCUGGCCUCUCUGGGUCACGUGAGCAAAGGGUCAGAAACUGAGGUUGCCAGUGUCUUUGGUGGGUACUUGGCAUCGAUGGCUUGUUAUGGCCUAAUUUGUUGCCUUCUGCUACCGACUAAACUCUCCACUACAUUUUGGGGGAUGGUGCUAAAUUGGAUGUACUUUUGGGCUAGUGAGAGGAAAUCUUCCUCAGAAAGUUUAGUCUUACACCUAACAUUGGAUUUUUCAAUCUCAUUAAAUAUUUAUGGACAGUCCAGGUUGUUGCCUUUAUCUCUUGGUCAAAUCAGCCACUGAUACUCCAGGAUCAGUUUAGGAGAAGUAUGUCUGGAACUGGACUUGCAUGUCCCACCAAUCUCAAACGGAACUCGUGGGCAAACUGAGGUACCACUUUGAGGGAAACCGCAUCAACAUAUAGGACCCCUUAUCAAUUGAUGUUGGACAAUAUUUGAGUGGCAUGUGGAAAUAUGCAAUUAGGGAGGCAUGUAGGGGCCCAUAAAAAUUUGAACUUGGAACUUCCUAUUCGGAUAGUCAAAUCCAAAACUUAAGCUAUUUGGUGGAGAAAACCACAAGAAUAUAUAUAGCACAUGAGACCAAUUAUCAAGUAAUGUGUGACAAUAUUUCAACAACUAUGAUUUCACAUUCACGAGUGAACAUAGUGAAUUAAGGCACUUUAUACUUUCUAGGGACAGGUCGAUGUGAUCAGGGAAUGAUUUCCUAGACAAAAGCCUUUAGUAUAGGUCCAUGCAAAUAUUUCUAUUGUCCUAGUAAGAUAUUCUUUGUCCAGAGGAUUGGGUACUCUCGGUUCAUUUUCAUCGAGUUAUUCUUCAUGGUCUUGUCAAUUUCUAGUCUCCUUGGAGGCUAGGUGUAGUUCCCCACUUUUUUUGCCAUCAUUCACAUUGACCUCUCUAGGAACCACUUUUGAUUGUUUCCUUCUCCUAACAUUAGCAUCAAAGGCCUCAGAUUAUUCAUCCAAUUCUUUAUAAGACUUUAUCCUGAAUUUCCAAAAGGUCCGAGUGAAUCGAUCGAAAGGAUAUUCCUGCACACUUUCAUUAGGAGACUAAGACGGUGGGCUUUCGUCGCUUGGACCAUCCCUAGCUGGGGAGGCUUUUGCUGGGUUAGAACCCAACUUGUGAUUACUGGAGUAGCUGGCUUCACAAUGGUGAAGCCCAAACAUGCUUCCAGUACUUCGGCAAGACAUUCUAUUCUCCAACUGUGAUCGCCAUAAAAAAUGUAAGGUGGACUUUCGCAAGAUUGUGAUCACCAGAAACUCAAUGAUUUCAAUUAGUAAUAAAAGUCCAAGCGAGGGUGAUCGAUGACCAAUUAAAAUGUUAAAAUUGAGGUUGAAUCCAAAGUAAAUGAAUUCUAACGUGCCAUGAAGUCUCGAGAACUCUGAAAAAAUGUGAAUUACUAAUGAAGUACAAACUGUAGAUUGGAAACAAGGAAAUUGUAUUGUAAUUUUGUUGAACCAGAAUGGAUGGCUUACAUUCCUUGAGGCCAUACUUACUCGAUCACUAAAACUAAACAUAUACCAUUAAUGGCAUUCGCUAGGAUGCGUGGAGAAAGUAAAAAAAACUAACAAAACACAACAGGAAUGCUUCUAUAAACAACGACAAAUAUCGAAACUAGGAAGCCUAAUAUAAAUGAAAUUCAAAUCCCAAUUCAGGUUAAUCUGAUCUACUCUAAAUAACCUCCUCAUCUUCAUAUCUUCACAAUUAAUCAAAUGUGCUAUUGGGAUUUUGUGGUGCCUCCCGUUGAUUCUUCUUUUGUCUUUUAAAUGGACAAUUGCGUUAUACAUUCUAAUCUUCCUCCACAAGAAUCAUUAAACAUCUUCACUUGCACGCUGCUCUAGGUGAUUUGCAACUGCUCUUGAUUUCUUAGCUAUGGUUACUCACCAGUAGAUAAAUCCUCCUUAGGUCAGUCUUUAACUUCUAUGCAUGUUUCCAAUCAAUUGAUAGUCACCUAGUAUCAUGCAAUUGGCUCAAAUACUAUCAAUUAGAAACUCGUGAUCGAAGAAUUCAUUAGAAGUUUCAUCAAUAGGCUUUGUGGGUUAAAUGUAUUAUCAUGGCCUGAUUUGAACUUAAUUUGGACUGUUAACUUCUUCACGUUUGGGCCUAAAGUUUAGCUCCGAUUUCAACAUGGGGUCAACGGAAUAAAAAAGGAAAAGAAAAUUAAAUGCAACGUCUUUCCAUGCCAUCGAGAAUGAAGAAAGAAAGAUUGACCUCUAGGCUGUAGCAAUCGACAAGUGGGAAAUGACCAUUCCAGGGUGGAGGUGGCGGUUGGGUUGGGGGGAUUGAGAUACUUGAUGAAAUAUGUCCACGUCUAAUGCUGCACACUGUUCCUCAAGUAAAUCAACUUUUCCAUCGCAAAUUUCAUGCUAUUAAAGCCGUGAUUUUGGAAAAACCUCAAAUAGCGAUAUAAAGUGCCUUCUUUUUACUCAAAAGAGAAUUUGAAAUAUAACCCGUCUCAAAUAAACAUCCAAAAUAAUCAUUUGGUCUCAAAAAAGGAUCUAGCUCGUCGACCAGUUAACAAAUGCAUCUCCCAAAUGUUUGGUUAGGGAUAUUUUCAUCCAAAAAUAUUCUUUUUCAUUUUCCUUUACCCUGUUCAUCUUCUUCUUGAUCCCACCUAUGUUGUCCCUGCUCAUCAUCAUCUUCGUCAAUGUUGAAGACAGGCAUUGCCCGGAUCAAGAACAGCGGAACUCGUUGGCCACGGGCAAGGGCCGGCGAGGCCCCCCUUGCUAGAUCGGCAGCGAGCGAGGGCUUGCAGGCCGACCCUCUGGCAAGGGUGGCCUUGCCUGUGGCUAGCGAGGACCAUCACGGCCGGCGGGGUUUCUAGAGGUUUGAUGCUCGUGACUCCACGUCGCGAACGGAGAAUUCCCUCUGAAAGUUCGUUCCUUUUUCCUUGAAUGUAUCUGUACGUAUCUGUAGUGCGUCCUUUGUUGACGACUUGUCACUUACAUGUCUCUGUUGGGUCCUUACUGAAUGAGAUGGUUAGCUCGAUUUCUUAUGCCGCGGAGCUUUCUGCUCGUGACGUUGAUUGUUCGGUGGGAUCGGGGGUGGUGGGGGGUGGGCGUAUAGCAAUUCAGAGAAAUCAGAAUUUCCUGUAGUUCGAGGCAUGAUUUGUGAUCAAGGCGGGAGGUGCUCUGUUUGGUGAAAGAUGAGUUAAGCUGAAGCUGCUACUUUCGUCAAGCCGUAUGGCUAUCUCGUCUGUCUGCCGCGAUAGGAUGUCCCCCUCUCGCAGCUUUCAUUCCACUCAUUGCUUUCUGAGGGCCAGCGAGGGCCUGCAAGCCCUCGCCUGCUGUCGAUCUGAUAGGGGUGGCCUCGCUGGCCGCUGGUACCCAAAUUCAGUGUUCUUGAUUUGGGCAAUGCCUAUCUUCAAGAUCGACAAUAAAGAUGAUGAAUAGGGACAGGCAUGGGUGGAAUCAAGAAGAAGAUGAACAGAGGAAAAGGAAACGAAAAAAUAAUAAUUUUCGGAGGAAAGUACCUCUGACCACAUCAUUGGAAUAUGCAUCGAAGAUGCAUCUGUUCACCAGUUAGCGAGUCAAGCCUUCCUUGAGACUAAAUGACUACUUUGGUUCCUUAUUUAAGAGAGAUUCAAAGAGAGAUUCAACUUCAUGUCCUUUUUUGAGAUUAUGAGGGCACUUUAGGUUCCUAUUUGAGAUUUUCUCUAUGAUUUUUGUUGGCUUGUUUUGCUUGCCUUUGUACGAUGGUCACAUGCAAUUAGGCAUCUUGGCUAGUUGGGCAGAACCACCAUAGGGUACUUGGGUUGACAAUGCUCAAGUCGAAAUGUAGUCAGUAGUCCUCAUUAUAAAAAUUGCUAUGGACAAUGCUUGACUCUAAAAGGAGCAAGUGUCACUCUUUAUAAAAAUUGCCGACCAAUUGCUUGCCAUUUAGAUGUGCUUGGUUUCCAUGUAUUCUCAGCAACUAUAUGCGCCGUGAUUUUUGUCAUUUAUGUCUAAUGCUAUAUACUAUUUCUCAAGUAAAUCAACUUCUCCAUUGCAAGUUUUGUGCUGUUAUUGGCUUGUUAUGCUAGUCUUUGUCCGAUGGUCAUAUGCAAUUAGGCAUCCGGGCUAGUUGGGCAAAACCACCAUAGGGUACUUGGAUUGACGAUGCUUAGGUCGAAAAGUAAUCAUUAGUGCUCAUUAUAAAAAUUGCUAUGGACAAUGCUCGACUCUAAAAGGAGCAAGUGUCGCUCAUUAUAAAAAUUACCGACCAGUUGCUUGUCAUUUAGAUGUGUUUGGUUUCACUAUAUUAUCACGCAACUAUAUACAUUGUGAUUUUUUUGUCAUUUACGUCUAAUGUUAUACACUAUUUCUCAAGUAAAUCAACUUCUCCAUUGCAAGUUUCAUAAAGCUGUGAUUUUUGUUGGCUUGUUAUGCUUGUCUUUGUUUAUAACUUACUAUAGAUAGUUUUACUUUUAUUUUAUUUUUUUGGUAUGUCAUUGAGUUUGUGAGACUUAAUUUCAAUAUCAAUGGAACGAUCUUGCUGCUUGUCAAAUUUUUUUGUCAUUUUCAUUUUUUGGAUUUUGCUUUUACUUGAUGAUGUUGCUGGAAUGUCUGUGGUUGUAGCUAAGGUGCUAGUGUGGCUAGUGAUGUCUAGUAGUAGUGGGUCUAUUAUGAUGGUUUGGUUCAAGGCUUAUGCUGUUUCUAGUGCAAGUGUGCAGUGUGCACAUCUUGCACCAGGUGGUGCUGGUGCAAGGCUUGACUUGCAUCAACACCUUCUGCAGCAUACCCACAAUUAGUACAAUGGCUGGUGGUUGGGGUGCUAGUGUGGUGGCUAAUGGUGGUAGCUGGUGAUGCCUUGUGAUGAUGGGUUUGUGGUGGGAAUUCGGUUGGCAGCUCGUGCCGCACUUGGUGCAAAUGUGUAGUGUGCACAUCUUGUAUCAAGUGGUGCUGGUACAAGCUGUACCUUGUGUAGCAAACCCACAACCAGCACAUUAAUUGGUGGCUGGGGUGCUAGUGUGGUAGCCAGUGGUGGUGGUGGGUGAUGGCUGGUGGUGCUGGUGGCCAGUGAUGCUUGAUGGUAGUGGGUCUAUAGUAGGGGUUGGGAGCUCGUGCAACACUUGGUGCAAGUGUGCAGUGUGCAUAUCUUAUACCAGGUGGUAUUGGUGCCAAGCGGGUGCGAGACUUAGCUUAUAAACACCUUCUGCAAUAGUACACCACUAGCACAGUAGUGGCUAGUCAUGGCUCGAGGUGGUGGAUUGGGUACUUGGUGUGGUUGGUGGUGGUGGCUGGUGGUCGGUGGUGACCGAUGAUGGUGGUUGGUGUAAUUUUUAGGGGAAACCUACAAAAAAUGACACUUAACUGAUAACAUUCUAAAAAAUUUAAUAUUUAAGUGUUCACUUUUAACCAUGAGUGAUACUUAAGUUAUCACUUUAAUAAUAACUUGACAAUUAAGUGAUCUUUUUUUCAUCACAAUUAGUACUUAAGUGAUCACUAAAUACAACUUAUGACACUCGAGUAAUCACUCGUGUUUGUCCUAUGUAUAUGUUGGUUUGUAGCAAACCAGAGAAGCUGCUAAUUUAUAUUUAGUUCAACUUAUAUCAACUUCAUUCAAUUCAGUGUUUGCUGUUGGUUUACGUAUAUAUUCAGUUCAAGUAAAGAAGCUACCACAACACAUUAAAUCAAUACACAUCCAUCAUUGUUCGUUUAUAUUCAAGAACAAGUAAAAAUAUAGUAUGAGCAGCAUUUCAUUCACUCAUUCUCUUUUGUUGACCUCUCCACAAGCACAAGAAGUAACCCAUGAUAUAUAUGAUAGCACAAAGAAUAACAAAGCUACAACGAUCUUGUGGACAACACAAACUUCUUCUCAUCUUCCAAAAAAAUGCCUACAUUUGAUCCAAAAUUAUUGUAUUUGUCCACUGAUUUUCAACUAUGGUAGUCGAAGAAACUUCUCAUCUUUCAGUGCCUAACAUUUCAUCAUAAAAUAGGAUAGAUAACAAAAUAAUACCACAAUAAAGGCUUGAUAACAUUUCCGUUCAAUUGUCAUUCUUGAAACUUCAUUCUACAAAUGUUUAGCCGAAGAUGCUUGAGCUUGUAUUGAAUUAACAUCGUCCAAGUUGUCCAUGAGCGUAGAUGGAGGUUGAUGUCAUCCAUCAAGUAGAUUCGAUAUCACCUCUGUGGCUCGAUGAGAGAAUUUCACAUCGACCCAUUUGAAGUAUUUACACUUCGACCAUUCUCUAUAUCGGGCACAUUCAUAAAAUCUUCUCCCCAGAUUCAUUCGAGUCCAUGAUGUUCUUUUUGGACUCGGUAACCCACAAAAACAAAAACGCUUGCCUUCGCCUUCGCUUCAGUGAGAGGAAUUUGAAGCACUGCUAAAAAUCCUACUCUCUUUUUCAAGAUGCAAUGGUGAAAUUUUAGGCAAAUCGAAAUUAAGAUUCGGGAUUAGGGUUUGAACACUUCAAUAGGGAUUUUGGCUUUUUUUAUUUUUUAGAUUUGGGGCAAUUUGGGAGAUGAUGUUGUUUUGAUCGAUUUAGGGCUUUUAUUUCCGGGGGACGGUCCCGUCCUUCAUCUGGUGAGGGUACACACAGUUUAAUGAUGUACAUUCCCAUAUGGACAUAUGGUCUCCUAGGCUGGAUCUCAUUACAUGUUUUCACUAUAAUCAGACAAACUUCUCUAUCAAGAUGGUCUGUAACUAAAUAAGAUAUGAAGAGGAAGUUGCAUUUUCUUUCUCAUUCUUCACUGCAUACAUGCUAUCGUGAGGCAUGAGAAAAUUAAAGGUUUAGAGCAGUAAAAAAGAAGGAACAAUAAUCUGCAGCCAAGAAAGGAAUACUAGAUUUUCAUGACUAUUUGUCGCGACCAAUUUUUUUUCCGGGGUGUGAACCACCUAGGGUUUGGCUAAUAGAUUGCUAAGCCUAGACUUAACUCGGGCUCUCCCAAACCCAUAUCAAUUCGCGACUUAGAUUUAAAUUAUUAACAUGCAGAUAUAUUUUAUUUAGGAGUUGCCACUAAUCUAUUUUUUGGUGGGUCGAUUAGAAACUCCAGUAAAGUAACGGGAUUUACUUUACUCAUACGAACCAGAGAUUUGGGUACGGGGAUUUGAUUACGCUAGAUUUCUCUAACGCCCUNNNNNNNNNNNNNNNNNNNNNNNNNNNNNNNNNNNNNNNNNNNNNNNNNNNNNNNNNNNNNNNNNNNNNNNNNNNNNNNNNNNNNNNNNNNNNNNNNNNNCGCGUCAUGCCAUUAAAAUUUUAUCAUUUGUAUCGCUUUGUUGUUUUACAUAUCCUUUUCAAAUCAACCAUAAUAAUAUUUCAUAUUGUAACGUUAGAUCCUCUAUCUUAGAGCCCGGGCGUUUAUAUGCAUACGGAGAAACCAUGGAAUCGAAUCUCAAUGGAGUACGUGGAUCCUACUAAUAAAUGAAGAUUACUGAAUGUCUCUGAGAAUCUCAGGAAGACGACACUUGGCAAUGACCAAAUUUAGUGACGGAAUCACCCGACGGAGGUACUCAAGCUAAGUUAGAUGAAGAAUGACUGAAGCUGGAGCCACCACGAAUAGUCGUCAUUUGAGAGAAGAAGAAAAUAGAGAGAGUGAGUUAUCAGAGGUGAAGGAUCUGUUUGUUCUAUGAACUGAAAGAGAGAGCGCGUGAAGUCUGCAGCGAUAGGAGGUGGUCCAGUGUUGCUGGGCGACGAUGAUGUUGCAGCAGCUUAGGCGGUGACGCAAGGACGGUGAGCUGCGAUGAAGGUGAAGACGCAGUGAUGGAUAACCCACAUGCAUCUCUGAGACUGACGAAGGAAGAGAAUCAAUCAUUUUUAUAUCUCUCUAGUAUUUGAAUCACCAAGAAUUCUUUUCAAAAGUAUAAGUUUUUUAUGGUACCUUCAUUUCGUAGAAAACUCAAUGAUAAAAAGCAUUUUCGAAGAAUACAAUUAAUUUUCCAUUGUUUGGUAAUAUAUGAUCAAAAACGUUUUUUGAUAGUUGGAUCUCAUUAGAAAGUGAUUUUGAUAUUAUGACUUUAUCUUAGGCAAAAAAAAAAAAUCGAUUUUUAUUUUUUAUUUUUUAAAAGUUCGAAUUUUUAGUUUUUUUUUUCUUUUUUAAAUUCGAAUUUGUAAUUGGUUUUUCAAUGAGUUGUAAAAAGAAAGGGAGAUUAGUUAGAAAAGGGUUUUUUUUUACUAUACCAUUUUCACUAUUAUUAUUAUUAUUAUUAUUAUUAAUAUUAUUAUUAUUAUUAUUAUUAUUAUUAUUAUUAUUAUUAUUAUUUUCUUCUACUUUUUUCAAAUGUAGAUUUGGUUUAUUGACAAAUUUCUUUUGCCAACGAUGUUUUUUUUUUGUCAGUUCUAUGCUAUGCCUACUCCUAACACUCAUUCUCAGACUUUUUUCCCUGUCUCUUGCCAGGCGGGGGGAGUCGGAAACCCCCUUCCNNNNNNNNNNNNNNNNNNNNNNNNNNNNNNNNNNNNNNNNNNNNNNNNNNNNNNNNNNNNNNNNNNNNNNNNNNNNNNNNNNNNNNNNNNNNNNNNNNNNGGGCCUUUUCUAUCUUCCUUAAAUAGCUGUGAUACCAAUUGAUUUAAUUGCAAGAUCUAAUAGUUUUCGCUCUAUAUUGCAUAAUUGGUAUAUCAGCUGUCAAUAGCCAGGAGACUCUAACAAAUAAGUAUUUGGUCAAGAACUUUGAUCAACAACUCUUUUGCCUGAUAGCACAGGAGCUUCUUGGAUUAUAGCCACACAAGUGGUGCACUUUAUUGAACACAUUGGAGGUUUUCUGUCGACAUCCAAACUGAGUUGUUUCCAUCAAUAUAUACCAUGAGUUUGGGUGUAAUUUAGGACUUGGAAAAUAUUCAAACAAGUAAGGGCUUGUUUGUUAAUGUUUUUUUUUUUUUUUUUGGUAAAAGGUAAUAAUUCUGUUUGUUAAUGUUCUUUGUUUCUGUUUAUGAACAAAAUUUCUGUUUUUUUGUUUCAGGGAAAAAAAGAGAACAAAAACGCGUUUAUUUGCGUUUUUGUUACAAAUCUAUUUUUUUUGUUCCUAGGAACACAUUUUGAACAUAAACAAGAAAUAAGAAAAACGUGUUUCUUGUUUAUGGAACAAUUUUUAAGAACAAAUUUUCUCUCUCCUCUCUUUUUCUUCUCUUUUUUUUUUUCUUUUUUCUUUGGCCGGUUGCGGGCCUCGGCCAUGGCCGGCGACCGGCCGUCGAGGGUCGGCGACCUCGUCGAAGCGUCGCCGGCCCCUGGUGAGGCCGAGCGUCACCGGCCCCUGGUGAGGCUCGGCCUCACCUUAGCUGUGCGAGCUCGAGCUCGCUUAGAUCAGACAAGCCCGAGCUCGCCCAGCCAUCGGCGAGGCUCGCCGGCCUGGCGGUGGCCCGGGGAGGCCGAGCCUCGUCGGUGGCUAGGCGAGCUCGGGCUCACCGAAUCUGGGCUAGCCUGAGCUCGCCUAGCCAAGGCGAGGCGGAGCCUUGCGGGUGUGGGGCAAGGCUAGGAGAGCUCGGGCUCGCCGAAUCUGGGCCAACCCGAGCUCGCCCAGCCAAGGCGAGGCCGCCGGCCAAAAGAAGAAAAGAAGAAAAAAGAAAGAAAAAUAAAAUAAAAAUAUUUAAAAAUUAAAAGAAACAAAAAAAAAGAACACAAAUUUACCAAACGUGUUUCUGUUCAUUUUUUUAUUUUCGGAACAAGUUUAUCAAACUCGUUUUUUAUUCAAAAAUUGUUCCUUGUAACAGAAACAUUUUUUUCUAUUUCUGUUCCCUGAAACAAUUUUUAAACAGAAAUGUUACCAAACGCGUCCUAAGUAAUCAUAACUCUAUAAUUCUCCCAUUUAUUAAUAGAUUAUUUACAGUUGACUGUCCCCAUAGAGUAAAUACCGAUAUUCAGAUCGUCCCAUGCAGAUCUCUUCAUUUAUUUACUAUCCCCAUUUAUUUCUCCAGUAACUACGCGUUGAAUUAAUUAUGAGGUUCGAUAAUUUUUGCAUUAGAUUGAAAAACUGACAUCAUCACCUGACCAAUUCCGACGCUUGAAAUCAUUAAGCAAUAGAGACGAGUCCUUAGCACAACAAAAACUAUUCAGGAGGUGGCUCUUUGUAAGAGUCGCCCAAGUUUUCAAAUCUUAUAGAAAUAUCGUCCUUCAUCCUCCAUCAAGAUUGUGCCUCUUUGUCUGUAAAUAGGAGAGUUUUCUGGGGGACGGUCCCGUCCUUCAUCUAGUGAGGGUACACACAGGUUAAUGAUGUACAUUCCCAUAUGGACAUAUGGUCUCCUAGGCUGGAUCUCAUUACAUGUUUUCACUAUAAUCAGACAAACUUCUCUAUCAAGAUGGUCUGUAACUAAAUAAGAUAUGAAGAGGAAGUUGCAUUUUCUUUCUCAUUCUUCACUGCAUACAUGCUAUCGUGAGGCAUGAGAAAAUUAAAGGUUUAGAGCAGUAAAAAAGAAGGAACAAUAAUCUGCAGCCAAGAAAGGAAUACUAGAUUUUCAUGACUAUUUGUCGCGACCAAUUUUUUUUCCGGGGUGUGAACCACCUAGGGUUUGGCUAAUAGAUUGCUAAGCCUAGACUUAACUCGGGCUCUCCCAAACCCAUAUCAAUUCGCGACUUAGAUUUAAAUUAUUAACAUGCAGAUAGAUUUUAUUUAGGAGUUGCCACUAAUAUAUUUUUUGGUGGGUCGAUUAGAAACCCAAAUAAAGUAACGGGAUUUACUUUACUCCUACGAACCAAAGAUUUGGGUACGGGGAUUUGAUUACGCUAGAUUUCUCUAACGCCCUUUCGGUACCAUUUCUUUUAUUUUUUUUUAAAAAAAAAAGGUUUUGCAAGCAGCUAGAAUUGAUUUUAAACUAUUUUCCUAACAUGUGAUGUUAUAAUGCAGGUGCGCAAACCAUCAAUUUAACACCCAAGAAAGCAAUUAAAUAAUGCAGGACUUACCUCAAAGUAACGAAAGCAUCAAUAGCCUUAAAUUAAACCCACAUCAACAACCCUAGAUAUGAUUUCUAAUUAACACGCAAUUUCUUUUUUUUUUGUUUUCAUUUUUUAAUGAGACUAUAAUCCAUAUACAAUGCAAUGCUUUUAAUCUAAUAUGAAAUGAUAUAACAUGGCAACAUGUCCUAAACUAUAUGAAUAAAAUUUUUGUGAUCUCUUAAUCAACAUGCAAUUAUUAAAUAUGCAAUGACUUAAUUCUAAUGAGGUGUGAUGCAAUAUAAUGACAUACAAGAUUAUUUUAACUAAAAUGACAUGCGACAUACAAUUUAAUAUACGAGCUAUAUGUCACGCGACAUUUAUUAAAUGACCUAAUCUAAUGACGGACAAAUUCUAAUUAGAAAUGAACCUAACAAUAAUCACUAAAAUGACGUGCAUUUCAUGAACCUAAUUCUAUAUGACAUGCAAAUGACAUUUUUUAUUUUAAAAAUGUAAUCUAUCCUAGAAAUUGCAACUAAUUUAUCCUAAGACAAAUUUUAUGAAAUUUGAAAUGAUCUAGCUAGAUUAAGAUUCUAUCUAAUUUAAACUAGGGAUUAAGUCAUAUUAAAUCAUAAUUUAAACUAACACAUUAUCUAAAUCUAAAAUGCAAUUUAUCUAAAAAAGAUGAUCUAAAUUUAAAAUGAAACAUGCAAUUCUAAUCUAAUAUGCACAAUGAUUUUUUUGUGUUUUUCUUUAAGAAAUUCGAAAUUAAAACUAACACAUAAUUAAACAUGCAAUUCAAAUAAAAAACUAACAACCUAAAUGAAUGCACUUUCUUUCUUGGGUUAAUACCUUGAAAAAACCUAAACUGUACACCUGUGAUAAAUUUACCCCAAACUAUUUUUUUGACCACCAAAAACCCCAAACUGGUAUACCUUUGACAAAUUGACCUUAAACUGGUACACUUGUGACAAAUUUACCCUCUAUUAGUUUUAAUUAAAUUUUCUUGUUAAAUUAUAAAGUUAAAUAACACGUGAUAAUUGAUCGGUAUAUCAAUUUGGGAUUUUACACUAUGUUUGUCAUAGUUUAUAAUUUUUGUGAUUUUUUUGUGGUAUUAAUCUAAUUUUUCGGAGGGUUUAUUAGUCACAAAUUUACCAGUUUGGGGUUUUUGUGGUCGAAUAAAUUAAUUUGGAGUAAAUUUGUCAUAAAUGUACCAGUUUAGGGUUUUUUUUAUAGUUAGUCGGGGUAAAUUUGUCACAGGUGUACCAGUUUGGGGUUUUUUAUGGUCAAAAAAAUAGUUUGGGGUAAAUUUGUCACAAGUGUACCAGUUUGAGGUUUUUUAAGGUAUUGACCCUUCUUUUUUGGAUUUUUUUAUUUAAAAAUUCGAAAUAAGAUUGCAAUCCUAAAUAUGCAAGAUAAUAAAAACAAACCUAAUCCUUAUUCAGAUUUUUUUUUAUUUUCUUAUUUAAAAAUUCGAAAUAAGAUAGCGAUUUUAAACCUAAGACUAGGAAUAUUCUAAAACAAACUUAAUCCUAAUUCGAUUUUUUUGAUUUUUUUUCUCUUAUGAAAAUAAAAUUGAUCCAAACACAUGACAUCUAAUCAAGCAAGACAAUAUUAAUAUCCAAAAAGUAGCGAACCAUAUCUCGCGCAUGAGAUCGGGUUGGCUAAUUUUAAAUUAAAUCGUGAAUUGAAUCUCGGGCUUGAGAUUGGAUUGUCGAUUUUUGUAAGGGACUGGGAGUCGGAUUUCGAGCGCGAAAAUCGGACCGUUAAUCCCUAGCUUGAGGGACUUUUCAUAUUGGGAUAUCAAUAAUAUAUUAAUGAACAAUUCCACUAAAACAGAAUAUUAAAGAAAUAAUAAUAAAAAUAAAAAAAAUAAAAGAGAAACUACCUAAUAUGAUCUCUUUUUCUGUUUUUUCCUUUCCACACACAGCCGUGAAUCUCCAAGGGGAGAGAGUCGUCGGUCCGGCAAGAGGAACUCCGGCAAGGGUGAACUGGCGGCGACAAGCGGUGAAGAGGUGAAUCGGCGGUGGGCGAGCGCGCGGAGGUGAAUCGGCGGUGGCUUCGCGGACAGGGGCGUCGGAUCGCUGGGAGGUCGAGCAAAGGCAGAGGCAGCAGCGACGGGUUCGGGGCCUGCUGGCGUCGAGCGGACCACCGGGUCUGCAGCAGCGACUGGUCACGGACCGGCGCGGAGGUGCGGGCUACAGGGGACGCCGGGCCAUCGGACGGGCGUAUGGUGGCUCAGGCUCCAGAUCUGGAGCGGUGCUGCGAGCAGGGGCGCUGGGUCGUGCGGCAGUGGCGUCUGCGGAGCUGCGAGCAGAGAUGAAAGGCAGGGGCGCCCUGGCCCGGUGACGCUGCAACAGAGGGCGGAGCGGCCCUGGCGUCGCGGAUCGACACAGCGACGGCUUCGUCGGGCUGCCGGUGUCGUGGCUUGCGCGGGCGGUAGGGACCAGCGCGGCUUCAGCAGAAGACGGCGAAGGAGAUAGGCACUGGAGUAGUAGCAACGAACAGGGCAGGUAACGUCGGGUCGUCGGGGCAGAGCAGAUGCGUGCGGCAGCAGCUCGGACCACCGGCAAAGGGCGUCGCGGGCCAAGAAACUUCAGGUGCAGGCGUAGAUCGGAAGCGGGGCCAUCUGGUGUGGUGGCGCGGUGAGGCGGCGCCGCGGGCGGUCUGAGAUGCGGUCGCUGGACGCCGGGCGCGGCGGUGCUCACAGCUGCGGAGGCGCGACGGAUCGGACGGCGAGGGAGUCCGAGCGGCUUGCGGUUUGAUGGCGUCGGCGCAGCGCGGGCGCGGGUGAAGAGAAGCCGGCGACCGGGACAGCGGAUGGGGGCAGCGAAUGUGGGGAAGAUGAUGAAAGGUAAAUGUCCAAUCACUUCCUCCCCUGUGCUGCUUCUGCUUUUAAUUUUCACUUUCUUUCACUUUUUUUUUUCGCUUUUGACCUUUUCCCUUCGUCGAAAGCACUACCAAACCCGAAGGAUUCCGGCCCCACCGAACGCCGAUCAUGCUUCAGGGGUGUCUAGGACUCGUACCAUUUUACGGUCGCCUAAACGGGGAUUUACCUUCUAGGACUCUGAGUCUGUCUCGGAGUUUGAAUCUGAGUUUGAUCACAAAAAUCUUUUUAUUCUCCUUAUCUCCUAAAUAUUUUCUACUGAUUUUUAAAAUAAGAUCACAACCCGAUUUUCUUAAAUCCCAAAAAUCAUUAUUUCAAAUCUCAAUUUCAGAAAAUGGGCUUGGGCUAACUUGUAGUCUUUAUGGGCUUAGUCCGAUCAAUUUGAAUCCAUCCGCACCGGUCCAAUAAAUAAAAUGCACCUAAAUCUAUAUGCUAUAUAAUUAAUAUUUUUUUGAUAAAAUUAAACCCUAAUUUUUAAUGACUAAACGGGCUGUUAAAAUUUAGGUGUCAACAAUAUUCUCUGCUAGAACUUCAGGACAUGCUAGAACUUCAGGACAUGUAUAAUGAACUUCCUGUCAAGAGAUCUGUUUUUCUUCAUUCUAAGAACCAUUUUACUAAAAAGUUCCACAUGUAUUACAAGAACGUGGACUACCUGUAAAAUAUAACAACAUACAAUUUUCACUCAAACUGUAUCUGCGACAAUGAAGUGAGGAUUCAUUUCUUCUUGCCUCUUCCUUUCUUAUUUUGCUUACCUUUGGACUUGCAAUUGCCCUUGUUCUUGUUCCGGUUUUCCACACCGCCAGUCUGGGAAAAAGAAGAUGAUGAAGCCUCCUGAUCCUUCUUCACUUCACCGGCUUUUUCAGCUUCCCCAACUUUGCCCCUCUCUUCCUCAUUUGCUAAGCCCACUUCUUGUCCCGGCAAUGACGACGCAUUUGCACCAUCCGAAUGCACAACUGGUACUACACUGUCGGAAGAUGAAGAGGAAUCCUUGGAAAAUUCAGUCAGAUCUUGCAACUUGCAAGAGCUCUCAGCACUUCCAUCUUUGGGGAAUAGAACUUUCAUAAUCUCUUCUUUGCAUUUGUGCGACUUCACAUCUAAAAUGAUGGCAUGUGGACAUUUUGAACAAUCUGAAGCAGAAUUGGUAAUUACAAGGGGAUCAUCAACUUUUUCGAAUGCUUCAGCGAGAACACCCACUGAAAUUUCCUGUAAGUUGGGCCUCCGGCAACGUGAAAGAAUAUGAUGAAAUUCUGUAGGUGUUUGCUCAGAAAUCCAACUCUUACCGAGCAAAUCGAAGAGAAAAUGUGGACUGAUGCCAAAAUUCAGGUGAAGCAAACAAACCAAAAGAACCAACUUCAAGACCAACAACGGGUAAUACUCCCUCACAUUUAGGUUCGAAUUUUUGAUCCAUUGUCUGGUAUCAUCCUUAUUGUGAAGAAGGUCCGCAACGGUCCUUGUAACAAACUGAAUGAUGGGCUCCAAGCAAUUUCCCAGGUUAAAACUGAAGCUAGGCUUUGCUAAACCUUCAUGGCAGAUGAGCCAUUCAACUAGAGAAGAUUUCGUUGUAUAAAACUGCCCUUUGGAGCAAGCUAACAAAAUCACAAGUCGUUCCAAGAGAUACAAAAAACAAAUUGGUGUGAUGUAGUCUCUUUCAGUCCUCCAAUUGGCAUUGUAAGCAUCUGCCAAAGCUCGAUAAAGCUUCCAAGCCAAAGAGAUUUCCAUAGGUCCAUCACUCGCCUGAGGAAGGUCUGAUGGUACAUCCCGACAAAUGCAUUCCAUGAAUUCCUCCCAUGGCGUAUUUCCUUUAAAUGAUUUUGCUAUUUUUCCGUACAAAUCAUCGUCGAGCAUUCCAGACCCAAGAACCAAAGUCGCAAGCUCACCCAUCUUCCCAUGUGAAAAAUGCUUCUUCGAAAUUAUCAUGUUCAUUGUUUCUCUCAGUAAAUUACGAGAAGCCUCACUUCCUCUCAGAGAUACCAUAUUCUCUGAUGACGAUAUUCUCCAGUCAAGUGGAAAUAUGCGACCAAAGUACCUCGCACUGGAUGUUUCAAUGAAUCUAUCCAGUGCCUUACCAUACUGGAACGAGUGAUUCGGACAAAGUUCUUGAAGGAACUUGGCAACCUCAUGUAAGAUAGCAAGACAUCUGCUUUGCCAGAAGUUCGACCGAGAACUCUUCGCCAAAAAUUGAUAAAGAGCAUCCAAUUUGUGCAGGAGCACCAUACCAACAGAAGUAAGCUCACAAUACCAGUACUUUUGAGCUGCAGAGACCAAUUGUCUAAGAUCCAAAGCAACCAAUUGUCCUUUUUUGUGAAGAGAUCUUUUAUCUAUGUUUCUGACCCAAUCAGAAUCCGGGUUUAGAAGGUGAUAAGUUAUUUGCAUGUUGUUCUGUUGCUCCAGAACACCAAAGUAAUUCAAACAGAACUCCCAACACGACGUAUUUUCCUUUCCCACCGGCAUCUCCACACAUCCUACACUCUCUAUAAUUCUAACAAUUUUCUCUCUCCAAAGAUUCCAAAAGCAGACCAAUGAGUCAACGGAAAUCUGAUUCUCCAAGGUCAGUUGUUCCGAAUAAUUCACUGGGUCCACAAGCCAAUCAUAAUCCCAACAAAAAUUGGAGAUAUUUUGACGCAGAUGGAAGUCCAGAAUAUUUCGAGCGCACAGUAUUUCACCUCUGACACUUCCAUUUCUACUGGAAGCACUCAAAUGUUCUUUCAUUUGAGCCAAACUGUUCUGUUUAUUUAACAAAAUGCUUGAUUCUACAGAAACAUAUUCAUAGAAGGCAAUAGGCUCAGGCUCUGCGAGAAGUUUGGCUUUUGAUACCAGCUCCUCCUCCUGUGCAAACUGCUUCAAGGGCCACCCUUUGCUUCCAGGAGCCCAAAGGGAAUAGAAUAGUAUGUACCACAGGAUAUUCAUUGACGCUUCUCUGUUUUUUCCGCUCUUCCCAAGUAGAUCAACCUCACGAAGGAUGUCACCUUUCAUCCUCACAAUCUUCGCUGCCUCCAAAAAGUUACCGAACUCUUCCUCCAGACUUAUAAGUUCAUCAAGGCAUCCAAGCCUCUUGAGCAAAUUUCUCAUUGAAUCGAUGCAAUGAAAAGCCUUCACAUACUUCAUCAUGGCCCUGUAGUCUUUGAGGUUGUAGAAAUGUAGGGUACAACUCUCUAAAAAGUCCUGUUCCAAUUUCUCUAUUUCUUUACUCUUCUUCUCAGUUCCCUGCCUUUUCCAAUCCUCAAUGUAUCGCAGACCAAUUUCAAAGAGUUUUCCUUCAGCACAAAUGGACAAGCACUUUGAGAAAAUAUUUGCCCUUGCAUAUGCCUCCGCUGCAAGACUGUAGCACCGUGCGAGAGAGAAACACUCUCCAGCUUUCUCCAAAGCAGAUUCUCCACAUUUAUCCAUGUAUAUUUUACCUGUUGAAGCAUAAACAAAUUUGAUGUCAGUCUCAUUUAUAGAGUGCUGAUGCUCAGAAGAUAAAACAUAGCAAAGGGACAUUUGGAAGCUGCCAGACGUCCUUUUGUUUGUACAGCUCAACUCUGUACCGCUCAACUAUAUUCUCCAAUGUCAAAAGAUGAAACGGGAUCAACAUCCGUAGGUGGCUACAAUACCAAGAAGUUUUUGACAAACCAUAGUCCACAUGGAGCUUUUUUAAACAUAUAGGUCUGAUCAGUGUUAAGAACUUAGCAGCUCAAAUUUUUCCAAACUGCUGAGAGUGCAGAGACAGGUUAUCAUAUAGAAAAUAAUCAACUUUCAAGCCAAGACAUCGACCAUGAAGUCAACAUUAGUAGCGCUUGCUCAAAAUUCACCAAAAGCAUUUGGAAAUUAACAAGUGAGAUCAAACUACUUUUUUUAAAUAUUGAAAGAGGAAAAUCAAUUAAACUGGUAAACAAGAGCGUACCACGCAUGUGGAAAACUAGAUACAGAAGAAUGCGAAGUCAAAUUUCCUCUUUCUUAGGCAGCUUUGACAUAGCUACUACAAGAAGAAAAGUAACGAUGCAGCAUAUCUCCACCUUAUCAUUUUGAAAGAAAUGAAAAGAAAAAUGAUACCUGCCAUCUCAUAUUCCUUCAACAUGUAGAAACACUCUGCGGCAGAGUCGGCCAUUCCAAUUGUUUCAUAGAUCUCAGCAGCCUGCCUUCGAAGGUCAGAAGCCUCUUGUGGAUUUGAAAUGUGCUUGAGAUCUGCAUCUGCUUUGAAAGCAGAGGCCUUAGCUAAUUUCUCCCCAUAUGUGUACCUUGCUCGUUCAAAGCACAUUAUUGCCAUUGGGUAGUUACCCUCACGUAAGAGCUUGCAAAGUUUAAAAAAAAAAGAGAUCAAUAGCUUCUUCAGAGGAGGUGAAAAGAAGAAAAGAAGAAAAGAAGAAAACAUAGUCCUCCCUCAUAAGGAAAAAUCAGUGCUUACACCAAAACAAUGCACUGUCAUUGACCCGAUAACCUCAAAUGAGGAAAAAGAUCAUAGAAAUAUUCCUAUCAUAUUGUUUAUCCAUUGUAUGUCUAAAUGAAGUAUUAGCCAAACUAUUAAAAAACCAAAAAAGCUGGCAUAUUGAUCACCAUAUUUGUACCAUAGAACGUCCACAUUCUACACACUUUUUUUUCUUUUCAGGAUCAGUCAUACUUUUGCAGUCACUAUGGUCAUUCCAAAAUCUCUAGCAUUCACAGAUCAUGUUGACUCCAAAUGAGGCGAAAACAACAAUUCCAUGAAGAGGAAACCACCAAUAAAGAAAAAACAGAAAAACAGCAAACCUUAAAACCUUGUAACUUCCACUCCUCCGGCGUGCUCCUGACCUGCAUUGCUUCUGCAAGGGCAUGAUCUACCAACCUAACUUGAAUGAGGCACUUCUUCUUCCAGUAGUCUAGAAUUGGUUUGGAGAACUCCAAGGCAUUCUCACAAAUCCACAAUCUUUGCCUUGUCCGAGUAAUUGCGACGUACAAUUGCUUCAAUUCAGAGCAUAAUAUAUUGUGCUUCGCAUCAUCAAAACUUGGGGAAGACCAUUGAGAGCUGUUAUCGAGCAAAGCGUGCUCCUUCAUGUAUCCAUAAAUGACCCUCCAUUGACUUUUCAGAGGUGAUGUGCCAAAGAAGUUGUACAACAAGACGUCCUAUACAAUGCCACAGAAAAAAAAAUUUCAGGUAAAAACAUCUGAUUUAUGACCAAAAUGACAGAUUUCAAGUUUCGUGAAUACAUGAACAAUUCUAAAAAAUUUAGCAAAAAAAUUCUGGACUCAUUUCAACACACCAGCCUAUCAAGAACAGCCAUAAAGUUGCAGGAUCGUUGAUAUUGUCUAUUAACCUAGAAGAUGAUAUUGACAUGAGCCCAAACAAAUUCUACGUUAUGAGUAUCUAGAUGCCAUUGUCUACAUACAAAAAAGGGUAUAGUAGAAUGAAAAUGCCAAUCCAAACUUUUUACAGAGUACCAGCUUGCAGCAAAUUGGUCAUGAAAUCUCUAUUCUGCUACUAUUAAUACCCCAUGGCAAACAAUCCAACCUGACCCACACCUACCUGAAAUUCCAACCCCUUGCACUCCACUAUCGUCAGAACUAGCGCUUGCCCUCUCACGAGGUUUGAAAUUUCACUUCUAGAGUGAUCAUCUCGAACCAAAAUAACCUGCUCUGCUCCAAAGCCAACAAAAUUACCACUAAAAUCACAGUUGCCAAAAAUUGAUAGUAUGGCAUUUUCAUCAUUCUCUGAUUCAAGUAAAAUUGGGGCUUCCCCACAUAUAAAGCUAGUUUCAGGGCUUAAAGCAUCAACGGAUAAGGGGAAAAAAUGGUAAAGAAGAUCAACAACACUCUGCGCCAGUUUGAGUAUACCAGCAUGAGUGCGGAAGUUUUGGCUCAAAUGGAAAAUUUUGGAAAGACAUCCCUUUUCCAUUCUGAUAUCAGGUCCAUCCAUUGAAUCCAUCAAGAACUCCUUGUAGAAAAGGGACCUUAUGUCUUCAAACCUGAAGUCUAUUCCCCUUGCAAUAGUUUGUGCAGUGUCACCAGAAAACACAAAGCCCCCAUCAACGUUUCUACAGAUAUACUUGAACAGUGAAAUUUGCCUCAUGGUGAGAUCCUGCACUUCAUCAAUAUAUACAAAAUCCACCACGUUACCAGCAAACUGCCCAUGAAGAAGACGGCAAUGAAGAUCAUUGACAAGAUCGGCCAAAUCAAAUUCACCAUUUUUCAUUUUCAUCUUUUCAUAAUCCUCAAAAGCAUCAUAAAUUUCUUCUCUUCUCUGAAAACUCAGAGUGGAGACACGACCCUCCGAAAUAGAAACAUAAGCUGGUCUGUCAAGUUUGCCUUCACAACCAUCUGCUGGUGGAAGACCACCCUUUACGUGGGACAUUAUUUCAGUGAAGACUCUGGAAGGAUCAAGCCUCCUCCUUAUCUUGUCAUUGAAGUGAGGCCAAUAAACAGCACAAAACUUUUCGUAAGUAACUUCCUUUGCUCUUAGAAGACUUUGUAAGGCCACUGGUCUAGAAUUGAAGGAUUGGCCACGACAAAGAUCCCUUAGAUCGGGGAACCUUUCAAAGAAUGAAACCCCCACAGUUCCAUCUAGCAUCAUCAGAAGCUUACGAAAAGUUAUAACAAGGGGAUAAGAGUUGGGAGAUAUGUCUAAAAAUGAAUCCGGGAUAUCCUUGAAUAAUGCUGCAUCAUCAACAAUCUCAUCAACUGAAGAGCUUUUAACUUUAUGUUUUGCACCACUGCUGGAGCUGCAGGAUUAAUGAAGCCAGCAAUUAGAAAUGGAAAUAUAUAGUUUUAACAAACUUAUGGGAAUACCUCCACUACACAUGCAAUCUCAUAAUUGCUACUUUCAGGUAACUAACAGCAAAAAGGAAAUUAGAAUACGCUGAUGCACCAAGGUUGUAAUGAUAUACUAUGAGACACGGAUAGCGUUUACAUCCGCUGGCAAUAAAAAUUUUCCCCCGCAGCAAGAUUUGUAGAACGCAUGGUCCUUUCUCGAUUCUGGUUAUAAUUGCACAAGUUCUAAAAAGGACGAUUUUCUUUUUAUAUGUACAAUGCCUACAAUCACAAAAUUUAAUGUGAAAGUUUCCAAUAAAAUGGUACUGCAAACUAAAUAAGUGGCACGAAGACCAAAAUAAGGAAUAUUGCUGCACAAACUAAUGUUUAGUUUCAGCAAGAAGAAGAUGUCAAUCUCUAACAUGCAAUGAUUAAAUCUAUUUUCGAGCUGCUAUAUCCGAGUGGUAGCACCCGAGCAUGGCAAAGUGCUGAUUGCCACAUGUUGACCCACGCGCUCUUGCCACAUGUUAUAUUUCCUAUAGAACUCUAUAAAAUGAAGUAUCUUGGUUGUGCAAAUAGUAGCAUGCCAAAGGGGUUAUCUCCUUCUCCCGACUAAUUCUCCCGACUAAUUCAUAAAAAAAAAAAAAAAAAAAAAAAAAAUGACAAUCCAUUAACCCUUGCAUAUGUUUGUUCAUUGUAAAAAUUGCAGAAUAAUUAUUCUAUUGUUCAAACAUCUUCCCAUGACAUUUUACGUACCUUCUAAGUUGAGAUACGUGCUGUUUAACCGCAAAACAUAAUUUUGCACUGACAGUCACAAAAAGCUGGCGCAAUACACAAUCCUCUGCUCCUUCACUUUGGAUUUCCUGAAAUCCCUUGGUUGCUUCAUCAUGCAGUUUCUCAUUUCUAAACAACUUCAUUGUCAGGACUGUAGUUUUACCGGUUCCAGAUCGCCCAAGUAUAAAAGUGCUUCUGGGAAAAAGAAUUAUCUCUUGUUCUUGCUCUGUUACUUCAAACGGAAGACUUGCUUCAUUACCAUCACUGUCAUCGAGCAAAUUUCUGACAAUAUCUGAUGAUAAGGUGUAGAAUUUCAUUAGAAGCAAACUCUCGCUCACUUUCACAUUCUCCACAUACAACCUACGAUCUGAAGCAUCAGCAUCAGAACUACUCCCAAAUUGACCUUCACUAGCACUUCGAUAGCAGACAAAAUCGAAAGUACAUGCCCAGGUCUUCGGAACUUGCAGAUCCCUAUAACCAGAAGAGGCAUGUGAAAUGAAAGAAAAUAGGGGGAUAAGAUCAAUUCAAGAUUUUAGUCAUCUAUCCGGAAAAGAAUGCUUUCUAAUUUAGUAAGAGAUGUGCUACCUAUCUUAAGAUAAGAAGAAAAGAUCAGACUUACCCCUCAAUGCAUUUCUCAUUGCAACGACUAAUAAAAUCAUCACUAUAUGUCUCGAAUAUGCUGUCCAAACGUUUGACCAAUUUUACCACAUCCUCUAAAGGCAAUACAUCCCAUAUCUUCAGGAUUUGGAUGUAUCUCAGUUCCUUUACAAUAUCAGUCGUGCAUAUGACAUAGAAACCAUCAGCUUUGAAUUGUCUUACGAUAUGAGAUGAGUGUUCACAAAUUAUAUCCACAUUUCUCUUCUUUGGUCUCCAGCCACUGGAGAGUUUUGACAGAAGGUUGAUGAUGGACAUCUUUGUCCUGAGUGAUGCCAGCUUUCUGAAAGACUUCAGGAAGUUGUCACUGAAAAGAACCUGAUAAGAUCAAAGAGUAACAAUAACAUACGUUGUCACAAGUUCUAUAAAACUCAAUGCUUAUUUUGAAAAAUAAAUGUAGCCAUAGAAUACUGUUGAGCAAAGUUUUUUACCUUCCACCUUGCAUUUCUGAAAAGUACACUGCUUCUGUCAAGCAGAUCAUCAAGCUGAUUAUUCUCUUUCUUCACAUCUAAGAUGGCUUUAGCCAAAUCCUUGUCAUCAUCAACAUUGAAGAAACAUCCACGACUCUUUGCAUUGUCAACCACAGCUUUCCACACAGAAUCGCUUUUCGUCAGUGUUUUCCCAUUUCCCAGAAUCCACAGACAAUACCUAUAGAUAGGAAAUUAACUCAGGGAUUUACUUGCUAUAUCACCCUAAAAAUGUAAUUUGACACAGUUAAGAGGAUAGAGUACCUGGCCCUGGUAAGAGCAACAUUGGUUCUCUUAGUACUGGACAAGAACCCAAUAUUCCCACGCGAGUUUGAUCUUACAGUGGAUAUUAUAACAAUGUCUUCUUCACCCCCUUGGAAUCCAUCCACUGACUUCACCUUGACCAUAAAGCCCUUGAUAUUUUCGAACUUUUUUCCAAGUUUAGCUAGAACCGCAGCAACCUGAGCUCUAUAAGGAGAUAUGACACCUACUGUCAGAUCUUCUUCUGACCCAUUCCAAGCUGCAAAGAAAAUAAAACCAUCACUACAGUGAUAUUAUUUUUGGCGGGGUGCAAAACUUCGAAAGAAACAUCUUAGGAAAAGAACUAUUAAUGGGCAUCAUAAUCUACACCUAUAUGAUUAAGUAAUACAUGCAAAAUCCAUGAGCUCAAAGCAAUACAUAUAAAAUUCUCUUGACAUACCUCUGUACAGAUUCCUCACUAUCCUCGAGAUAACUUCCACCUCAACAGGGUUUCUAAGGCUACAGCCAUCAUCACCGAUUUGUUCUUCUCCAUCAGGAAUAUUUAUGAAUGAGUAAGGGCCAAACAUCGGCCAUGGCAAACGACUUUUUCUGUAACUUUUGCUCUUCACAUUUGGCCCAUCCAAAAUUUGUUUUUGAUAAAAUUUUGAAGUCGGAAACAGACUUAUUGAUGGAUGCAUCCGAUAUUGUAUAUUGAGAAGUUGCCUCGAAUAACCAAGUGAACUCAAUCGUUCAAACAGACUCCUUCCAAAACCAGCCUGAUUAGAAACCUGUGAAAAGAAAAAACAUGAUAUCAAAUUCAACAGGCGUUAGGUAUAGAUAAUUUAGCCCAUCUAAGCUCAAAUGAAGAGAAGGAGAUUACAAAUCUUUCAAAACCAAAUACGAAGUUCCGUUUCAGAUAUUUUAACAUUACCUUGCUUUCGACCAUAGCAGGCAACUGACACUCAUCUCCAACUAAAAUCAGAUGCUUGACACCAGGGAGUUGCAGAGGAAUUACUGACUCGCAUUCUUUCAACUGGGCUGCCUCAUCGAUUACCAGUAAAUUGAGAGGCUCCAUCUCCACAGAGUACAGCUUAUAUGAACUAGAAGCUGUGCAAAAAAUCAGGGAUGCAUGUCGAUAACAGAAGUUGGCUAUCAUGUCCUCACUCACAAAGUUUGGAAGUUUUAGAUCCUUCAGAGUUUCACGAACAGUUAGCAACAUGGAAAGGCAUUCCUGUCUCUUCAUAUAUAUAUCAUAUAGUGGACCCAUGGAUGUCUCAAACGAAAACAGGCCAAGUUCAUCACGUGAAAGAGUUAUCUCCAUCAUCUCUGAAUCCAACUUCUCUCCACAUAAUAAAGAUUCAAAAGAAUUAAGCAAGUUAAAGAGGGAUGUAAUAUUCUGGAAUUUAGUUCUGGAUAUAUGAGUACAGAAAGUAUAGAGGCAUGCCCGCAGGGGCCGGACAGUUUCCUUGAAUUGGUCCCUGAAAAACUCAAGAAAUGAUUUAAGCUCACAGUUACCAUCUUCUUCACUGCUUCUGCCUUCGCUCCUAUCAUCAUCACUUCCUAGUUUCCUUCUUUUUGCGUGUUCGUUUUCCAAAAAUACGCGGUAUUGACAGACACAGUCAGCAAGAGUAUCUAUCAAGGAAGUUAGACACUGAUGCCAACCAGUGAAUUCAGAAAUGCGCUCUACACGAUGUUCCAAGUAUAUAUCUUCAAUGUCGGAAUCAACUUUCAGCCGCUCCUUGUUCCCAAAAAUAAGCGUGUCUCCAAAGUAACAGGGCAAACUUUCCAUUUCAGUGCUUAUACCACUAUCUGAUUCCUUUAGCAGCUUCAGAACACGAGUUGCCACUUCCUUGAUGGCAACAUUUGUAGGAGCACAAACAAUGGUUCUAUGUUUCCUUUUCAAGAGAGUAAGUAGCAGUGUAGCGACGGUUUUAGUUUUCCCAGUUCCAGGAGGACCCCAUAUCAGGUCGACAGAUGGCUUGUUCUCACAAUGGAGUUUACUGAGACAGGCCCCAACUGCUUUUUUUUGGGAUUCAUUCAGAUCAUGGCUCAAUCUCUUGUCAAGGCUCUCACUCUCAGAACCAUUACCUUCAGUAACACAGAGAUUAGAAACUUUAUCAGCCUGCAACCAAAAACAUAUUUCUUGUGAUAAUCCAGACCAUGUAAAUAUGGUAGAAGGUUCUGAAACUUAAUCGGUGUUAAUAUGACAUAAAGAGCAUUGCACAACACAAACUUAAAUCCCGUGAAAAAUAUAGUAUAGAAAAUUUUAAGGUCUAGUACCAAUGAGUAAGUUGCCUCCAAGGAAGUAAUUUGCCCUAUUUAAGACAUAAUUCAUUCAACUCCAUAUCAUGAAAUGGACCAACUAAAAGAAACAAUCAUCCUAAUCUAUUGAUGAAACAGUAUGGCUUAAAGCAACAUUUAUGUUAUUUUCCUAAUAAACUUACAAAUCGACAGGAAUAAAAUGAAGCUUUGAAGCUUAGAGGAAUAUAAUAGCAAUUUUAAGUCUAAAUGGACCAAAGGUACAGAAAAGGAAAGUCAUACCACCAAAUCUGUGCAGAGAACUUCCUUCAAAAUAUCCAAGUUACGAUACAUAUGCAACACCUUCCAUAUCCUUUUGUUAGUGACUAUAUUUAUCAGGAAAAUUGCAUACAUUGGCUUCCACGAAUUAUUUACUUCAAGGUUCAAUAAUGUCUCCACUUCAAAGUUUGUCGAUGACGUUGCCUCAUCCUCUUCAUCAUCUUCUCCAAUCAUCCUAACUAAUGCGAACGCCCAUCUUCUUCCGAACCUCUCCAAGUCAGGAACAGUUGCUGGCUUAGCAUCAGUUAGAAUCAAGAUAUCUCCAGGCAAAGUUUUGUAAGUUUCCUUGCCACGAGUAUUGGAUUCAUUCCACCGACUGGCCUUAACAGCAUACGAGUUCCCACUUCCCGCGCUUUCCACACAUUCAAUAAUCUCAGUGAAAGGCAGCAAAGAAAUAUUUUCCAAACUCGAGCACAGACUCGCCCGGGUUUCUUCCAGUAAAGGGUAGACGUACGAUCCGAGAUAAUCCUGGACCGACUGAAAUUGAUCCGGUAUAGUCUCCACCUACAAAAACAGCUCGGCCAAUUGUCAAAUAUGACCAACCAACCUUGACAUUUCAAAAAAUACUUUGACCAAAUUCCGUAAAACAUAACAUGUACUCCUAAAAUACCGAACGAGCUUGCUGAACAUAGUAGAAGCAUAAAGGGUUCUAUUCUACUAAGUUGAAUGCAAGAUUCUUAUAAGGCUAGGCUUAUUAAAAGCACAAUCAAACAAAAAAAAGGAACGAACUAGCAUCAUUGGAAAAUUCCCAGGUAAACACCACAUUGUCGUUGAACUUAAACGAGAAUAAAACCAAAAGGGCAUGACAAAAGGGAAAAAAAGAAGAAGCAAAGAUGAGGGAAGAAUAGAGAGAAACCUGGUCAUGGUAGAGGUUUUCGUUGAGAAUGUCAUGAAGAGACCAAGAGGAGACAAUAUCAGUCAGGUCAUUAGUACCAUGUCUCCUCCUCCUGCUCAAACCACCCUCAGCUAUCUCCACACCCACCACUCUGUUUGGGCUUCCUCCCAAACCCAUCUGAACCCACGUACCAAAAUCUUCUACUUGUUUCUUUCUCCCCUUUUCUUGCCCAUCAAAGCACCAGGGAAAAAUCGCUCUGAGGUUUCAAGAAACUUUCGAGGCAAAAAUUGGGCAAAGCUUGUACGGACAUCAUCAGCCCUUUUUUAGCUCCGAAGUGAGCAUUCUUAGCGACGAAGAAGAAUGACACGGGGAAGGCAAAGGGGUCGUCCAUGGACUCUUAAAAGAAGCAACUCGAGGUCUUUUCGUCAACCCACCAUUCGAGGUCUACGGAAGGCGAAAAGAUGGGGCUGGGUCUUCCUCUCGUCUUCCGUACACGGUCUGAUGACUUUCUUUACUGCCCAGGUGCAUGUAAAGAUUCCCGCUUUUCUCCGCUUUUUUAAUGUUUUGAUUUCUUGCAGCCUAAGCUUCGUCGACUGUUUUAUAUCGGAAGCGUAUCAUGGCAUGAGUGAAGUUAAUUUUUUAAGAUAUUAAAAUUAUUUGUUGAUACUGAAAUAAUAAGUAGAUGAAAAAAAAUUGAGCAUUCUUAGCGACGUAGAAGAAUGACACGGGGAAGGCAAAGGCUACCAAAGGAGGCGAAAAUAUGGGUGUACCUCGCUUCCGAACACGGUCUAAUGGCUUUCUUUACUGCCCAAAUGCUUGUAAUGAUUCCCGCUUUUCUGUCCGAAAGGUAUCAUCGCAUGAGUGAGGUUAUUUUUUGAAGAUGUUAAAAUUAUUUGUUGAUAUUGAAAUAAUAAGUAGAUGAAAAAAAAAAAAAGAGGAUAAAUCUUAACCAGAAAAAUAAUGACACGAAUAGUCCCUGCACUUUAAUAUAAUGUGCAAUUUGAUCUUCGAAAUUUUGAUUUGUUUAAUAUGGCUCUUGAACUUUAACCCAAUAUGUAAUGUGGUCUUUGAACUUUUCAAUUGUUUAAUGUAAUCCAUGAACUUUUGAUAAAUACUCAAUACAAUCUCCAAACUAUAUGAAAAUAUUGAAUGUAUUUUUUUAAUUGAUUCAAGAGUAGGGAUGGCAUUGAACAUUUUGAUACAAGUUCAGGAACUGUAUUGAAUAUGUAUCAAAAUUUUAUGGAUUAUAUGAAAAAAAUUAAAAGUUCAUGAACCACAUUACACAUUGGGCUAAAAUUCAGAGACCACAUCAAACAAAUUGAAAGUUUAUGGACUAAAUUACACAUUAGGCCAAAGUUUGGAGACUAUUUGUAUCAUUUUCUCUAACUAGAAGUAGACAAUGAAUGUGAACUUUCUACUUCAAUCGUUUGACUUUUAUUUUUGAGCAUCUAUAUUGAUAUAAUAUAGAAUUAAUAUCAUGAAAAAUCUUUAAUCAUCAAAAACUCUAAACCGAUACACCUGUCCCAAAUUAAUUUUUUAACUAUAAAAAACCUCAAACUUGUAUAUUUAUAAUAACUUUACCUUAUGUUAAUUUUCAUUAAAUUGGAAUAAUACCAUGAAAAAUAAUAAAUUGGUACAAAUGUGAUAAAUGAAAGGUAAAAUCUUAAAUUGGUACAUCCAUUCUAACUGCCACAUAUCAUCUAAAUCAACAAUUUAAUUGUAAAAUUUAACAAAUACUAAUAGAAAGUAAAUUUAUCACAGGUGUAUCGGUUUUUUUAUAAUAAAAAAUUAGCGAAGUAAAUUUAUCACAUAUGUACCAAUUUUGCAUUUUCUGUGGUAUUAACCCUAUAUCAUUAAAAACUCUUUCAAAGAACUGCCGGAAAACUCAAUAUUCAAAAUUGUAGAUAGUUAGAGAUGCCUCCUCAUUAGUUUUGCCAAAUUCUCAACGAAGCAAGGCUACAGUCAUAUGCCUUUUCCGUCGAGUAUUGUCAAUCAAAGAAGAAUCAAAUUGGUAAUUCCUAUCAUCUCUCAGUUACUUAUCUCCAUAAUGAGUUAUAAUAUUUAUGGACUUCCGAAACUUUAUUGAGAGUUAUUUUUAGGAAAGUAAUUGCAAUCACUAUGUUAUGAGUGGUUCUUUCGCUCUGCUUGAAGUUCUACUUCCAUUAAUUAUAAAAUCACAAAUUAUUUUCUAUGUCUUGAUUGAUUCCAUACGACAAUAUGCAUUAAAAAGUCUGCACUGACAUUGUUUCAAGCUCAGCUUGCACAAGUAUAUUCGAUAAGUGCAUUUAAAGCAUUUAGCCUUGGUUAAUACAUUCUUAUAUAAAAUGUUGAAAUAUAACAUUUCAAAAUAUUAAGAUGCGCAAGUCAUUAUCAACAAAUCCAUAUUAAAAAAAAAUGUGAGAGGAACAUCACUUUAAUAAAAGGCCAAUAGAGUAAAAGCUUUUAAAAGGCCAGUUGCCAGUCUCACAAAAUUCAACCAAUUUCGCGCCGAAAGCUAAAAAGAUGUGAUAAGUUCAGGAAUCUAUUCAUGUAUAAUGAGUCAAUGACAUGAUGAUGAAUAGAUACUAUGUUUUAAAGCUUCAAUUCAUUUGUAAUAUGUAGGGCCCAUCGUCAUCAUGCUAUAAGAGUUUUUAUGAUGUUGGCUAUAUUAAUUAAUAUUGAGAUUUACUGUUUUACAAGAUUGUCUAAUGAGGUGAGAUAUACAGAUUUUUAAUUACUCUAAUAUGACACUAGCUUGCGCGGGUUGAAUAGAGCUUGGUUUGUGAUGAGAAGAUAUGUGACUUAAAACUUUAUAUAUAAUACUCAAAUCUCUUUUCUAAUCCUGAUACACAAAUAACUUUAUAUAAAUAGUAGUUGUAGAAUGCAAUUUGUGACGCAUAAUCUCAUUGAGCCAAUAUUACAAUUAGAUCAUUUUUAUUCCACAUUAAGCAAUAUGGAUUUCAAAUCAAAUGCACAAAUCCUUUUAUCUCCAUUUAUUGUGUUCUAAAUUUUAAUUAAGGAGAUCUUCGGAUGGCUUUCACGGCUUGUAUGCACAUGGUGAACCAUUGUGUCACUACGGGGCACACCGGCUUUGCUUCCCAAAUGCAGGCGACGCACUAUGAAAUGCUUCGUCCCGAGGCAUCAUGCGACAGAGCCUUUUUUUCUCGAGCCUGGGUGGGUCGUUGUCUCCUCGUCCUCCCUACAUCCUCGUCCCGAGGCAUCAGCGCAAGUGAUUGGGGAAGAGAUUUAUAAUAGAAAUAAGAAGUAGAAAAAAUAUCUUAUCGUUUUCAGGAACAAUUUUUGGAAAUAAGUCAUUUUCUUUCUUUUCUUUUUUUCUCCUUCCUCAUGCCGCCACCACCGUCUGCCAUCGCUCGCCGCCUAUCUCCGUCCAACAACCAGCUAGAGGAGGAAGAAGAGGAGACGGGAAAAAAAAAAAAAAGAGAGAAAAAAUCUAUAAAAAAUUAUUAAAAAAUUAAAAGAAAUUCUACGGCACAAAAAAACUUGUGGGUCGUACUAAACACAUUCUUGCUUUUUUCUAUUGUGAAAAUAAAAAUUUUAUAUAGUUACCAAAUACGUUAUUUUAUUCCAAAAUUACUCCAGAGAAUAGAAAUAGAAAAUAAUUAUUUUAAAAAAAAUUGUUUCCGAUAAUAGAAAUGUUACCAAACAUGUUUGGUGGAUACAUUCCUUAAUGAAGUCAAUAUUCUCGGACAUUAUUAAAGUUAUCUAAUGCACAAUGCGCUGGCUGUCGUCUAGUAAAUCGUAUAGAAAAAAGAGAUGUGAAAUGAGUGUCACUUUAGAAAAAGUCAGAAGUUCUUUCGACAUAUAGCAUAUAAAAAGUCACGCUGGCAAUCUCUCGUUUCAUUCGCAAAGCCAAGGAAAAUCUCCCAUUAACCUUACAUACUCAAGUAGUGCCCUCAUUGAGACAAACGAUAAGGCAAACACAUCUAUGUUUGAUGUAAAAGUCCACGAAAUGUUCUAUCAAGUUCAUGUGGAACAAAUGUCUGAAACAUUGGUACAGACAUCCAUAUUGAUAGAUUAUUAAAAAUCUUUAAAAGGUUUGCCCGAAAACUCGACACUUAAAAUUGUUAAUAGUUAGAGGCACCUCAUCCUUAUUAUUUUUGUCAAAUCCUCGACAAAGCGAGUUGCUAUCAGACGUCGUUUUCUAUCAAGUAUUGUCAAUCAAAGGAGAAUCGAUUGGGUAAUUCAUAUCGUCUCUUAAUUAUUUCUCUCCAUAUGGACUUCCAAAACUCCAUUGAGAGUGCGUUUCAGAAGAGUAAAUGCAGUCACUAUGCUAUGUUGUGGAGUGUCGCUCUUUCACUUUGCUUUCAGUUCUAUUUCUAUUAAUUACAAAAUCACAAAUCAUUUUCUACGUUUUGAUUUAUUCGGGACAACAAUAUGCAUUAAAAGGUCUGCACUAACAUUGUUUCGAGCUCUCCUUGCACGAUUAUACUGAAUAAGUGCAUUUAAAACAUCCAGCUGUGGUUAAAACAUUCUUAUAUAAAAAUGUUGAAAUAUAAUAUUUUGAAAUAUUAGCAGAAUCCUUAGAUUUUUAUCGUUAUCUAGCAUGAUGCGUGGAUCGUAAAGAUGGCACGAGAUAAUCACUUUAAUAAAAGGUCAAUAGAUGAACCAGAAACAAAAUUACCCUGCUAAAGAAUGCUGAAAAUGAUUGGGUGAGAGAGGAACAACUUUUGAAGCAGAUGACAAAGAUAUACUUUAAAAAUUUGUAUGAGUCAGUGGGGUGUCGAGAUUUUCAACCUAUCCUUCACCAAAUUCCAACCUAUGUUGAUGAAACGAUGAACCAACAGCUAGUAAAAUCUAUUACUUUGGAGGAGAUUACGGCUGCAAUGCAACAAUUAGGAACUACUAAAGCUCCAGGACUGGAUGGGCUUAAUGGACUCUUCUUCAGGAAUCACUGGCUAGCUAUAGGCCAGGAUAUUUUUAGGGAGGUACAGAAUUUUCUUGAUAUGGGUUAUCUAAAUCCAGACAUGAACAGAACCCAAAUCACCCUAAUUCCUAAAAUCCCGAACCCCGAAAAGCUUGAACAAUUUUGCCCAAUCAGCCUAUGCAAUUUUGUCUACAAAAUCAUAUCCAAAGUAUUAACCAAUAGACUUAAACCUCUGCUACCAAGCCUUAUUGCUGAAGAACAAAGUGCUUUUGUAAGGGGUAGACAAAUUCAAGAUAAUAUCCUCAUUGUGCAGGAAGUACCCCAUAGGAUGCGAACUCGAGAGAGGAAAAGUAAAUUCCAAGCCAUCCUAAAGUUAGAUAUGUAGAAGGCGUAUGAUCGGAUUGAAUGAGACUUCCUUCGAGAAUGCUUAAUCAAGAUGGGUUUAUGUGAUAAGUGGGUACAAUGGGUGAUACAAUGCGUUUCAACGGUUUCAUUUAGUAUCAAUUUCAAUGGGGAACUCCUACCUUCAUUCAAGCCAACCAGAGGGAUUCGAUAGGGUGACCCACUAUCCCCUUAUCUCUUCAUUUUAGUGGCAAACACCCUCUCUAACCUGAUGAAGCAAGCUGUAGUAGAUGGUACACUCCAAGGAAUCAAGCUGAAUAGAAGUUGUCCUACUCUAUCACACUUGCUAUUUGUGGAUGACUCAAUUUUCUUUCUCAAUGGAACCAUAUUAGAAUGCCAAAAUCUGGCGGCCAUUUUACACCAAUAUUGCUUUGCAUCAGGCCAGGCUAUUAAUCUUAAUAAGUCAGGCAUAUAUUUUAGUAAAAGCCGUCCAGUGAACUUGAGAAGAAAUAUGGUUUCAGAAUUGAGAGUUCCAGAGAUAGAGAAAACAUGAAAGUAUUUAGGAAUUCCUUCGGAUUAGGGAGUCUCGAAGAAAGAUAUGUUCGCUUGGAUUCUAGCUAAGUUAAUAUGAAGUUGGAAAGCCAAAAGGAUAAUUUGUUGUCAAAAACAGGGAAUGAAAUAUUGAUUAAAUCAGUGGUACAGGCCAUUCCUCAAUAUGCAAUGUCCAUUUUCAAAAUCCCUGUUUCAAUUUACAAAUCUAUUGAGAAGAAAAUUGCCAAUUUAUGGUGGAGAAAUAGUAACAAAUCUGCUGGGAUUUAUUGGAAAAAAUGGGAAACUCUGAAACUUAGGAAGGAUGAGGGGGGUCUAGGCUUCAAAGAUUUACUUGCCUUCGAUACAAGUAUGUUAGGGAAGCAAGCUUGGCAUUUUUCACAACAACCUCAGUCCCUGCUAAGCCAAGUGAUGAAGGGUCUCUAUUACCCACAAGGUGAUUUUUGGAAAGCUAGAAAAGGUUCCCAACCUUUGUGGGGAUGUCAAAGCAUUAUCCUUGGAAGAGACUCUAUAUCACCAUUUGUUAUGUAUUCGGUGGGAAAUGGAAAGAAAAUUUCGAUUCGAGAAGAUAAAUGGUUGAGAAGUAGACUCAUUGGUGGCCCAGCAACAAAAAAUGAGCCGGUUAAUGUGGCUGGACUAAUAGAACCAGGAACUGGGAAAUGGGAUGAACCAAGGGUAAGAUCGUUGUUUGAUGAUCAAAGAGUGAAGGAAAUCCUAGCAAUCCCUAUUGGACUACCUACUACAGAAAACAAAUUGGUCUAGAUGAACAACAAGUCAGGGUCCCAUAUAGUUAAAGGCGGUUAUUUCACCACUAGAGAUGGAUCAGCUAGCACACAUACAAUAACAGCAACUUCAUCUCACCAAAUGAAACCUCAACUUUGGAAAUAUAUUUGGCACUUCGGAACUCUACCCAAAGUCAAAUUAUUUCUCUGGAAUGCAUGUCAAAAUGCAUUGCCCACACUGGAUAACUUGCACAUGAGAAGAAUAAUACCUGCCCCAUUAUGUCCCAUAUGCAAACAAGAAGUUGAAACCAUUGAACAUACCCUCUUGCUCUGCCCAUGGACAACUCAAAUAUGGUGCGCUACCUCCCUGCAAAUCAAAAUAUCAAGAUUUGGUUUAACAAGACUCGAUGAAUGGCUGUGCAUGUUAAAAUAAGACCCACAAGGAGAUCUGAAGUUCGACCUAACCGCAACAACCUUAUGGUGCAUAUGGAAAGAUAGGAAUCACUUCAUUUUUGGACAACGUCCGCUGCAUCCGCAACAAACAUUGUUCAAAGCCUUAGCUCUACACGAGAACUUUGUCACGUGGAACCGAAAACCAAAGGGAGAGAAGACAAGCGAGACCCAGACUUACCAAUGGCAAUCCCUCACCUCAGAUGUGCUGAAAGUUAACAUUGAUGCCUAUUUUGUCCGGAAUGAAGAAGCGGCUACAACUUCUGAGGAGAACAAGGGAUCGAACGAAGAAGCGACUGCAAUUUCGGAGGAGAACAGGAGAUCCAUCGCUUGCAUUUGUCGAGACUCCAAGGGGUGAAUCGUUGAUGGCUUCUCGAAGUUGGUGGUGGUUUCCUCGGCAGAACAGACGGAGGCCAUGGCUCUUCUCAAAACCCUAGAGUUCCUUUCUUCUAGAUCUGAGUUGAGGCUGCAAGUACACUCUAACUGCCUUCCGCUCGUGCAAAGUGUUCUGGCUUUGACAGAAACAAGUUGGGAAGUAGAGGCUAUCGUGGACCGGAUAAAGACCAAGCUAAAUGAAUUUUCUCGCCUUUCUCUGGCCCAUUGUAGCAGGGAGUCUAAUAGGACGGCAGAUUGGCUUGCAAAAGCCCAAAGAACUAACUGUCUUCCUAGUAAUUGGAUAGCUAAUCCCCUACCCAGCCUUUUUGAUUUGUUAUGUGCUGAUGCUUUUGAUGUAUUUCCUCCAAACUUGGCUAAGUAAAUCCAUAGUAACUGUAUUUUCAACCAAAAAAAAAAAAAAUCAAUCGAUUUCGCACCGAAUGCUAAAGAGAUGUAAUAGGUAGGGGAAUCUAUUCACAUUUGAUAUGCCAUUCACACAAUGAUAGAUAGAUAUCAUGUUCCGAUGCUUCGAUUCGGUAAAUUGUAAGACUUGUCAUCAUCGUGCAUGGUGAACCACCGCAUUGCUACCGGUGGAGGUAUCAAAAUGGGUUUAAAAUCCAUAUUUUGACUCAUAUUUAAUGGUGUGAGUCGUAAAUGGGUUACCUUAAAUUUUAAAAACAAGCUUAAGUAGGUUAUAAAUGGGUUACUUAACAAUUUAAUUCGUCUUAAAUGUGUAUUAAAUAGGUUACGUAACAAGCUUAAAUGAAUCAUAAACAAGUCAUUUUUGUUUUUAAAAAAAAUUUCUGACUUUUUCUUAUAAUUUUUUUAUUUUUUUCUUUUCUUUUGUUUUCUUUUUCCUUUUAAAAAAAAAUCUUUCUUAGUUGGUGGCUAUCAUGAAGACAAUUGGCAAACGGCCACAGACAAGCUCGUCGACCUUUGGCACUGGCGAGGCUCAAGCCUUGUCAAUUUGGAGAGACUUGAGCUAGCUAGAGGUCAUCGAGCACUAGGGGCUAGCAAGCUCGAGCUCGCAAUCCGACCUCUAGCAAGGCUUGAGCUUGCCAACAUCGAGUAAGAGUUUAGCCUUGUUAGAUCUGGAGAGGUGGAGCCUCGCCCUCCACUCUUGCCCAAGGCAGGCUCAGCUCGGCUAGAUCCAACUUUGGUUGAUUUUAAAUUGUGAAUAUCUAUAUUGAUGUACUAUCACAAAAACUUCUCACAGGAUUGCCUGGAAACUUGAGACUUCAAACCAUAGAUAGUUAGAGGUGUCUCAAAAAAGUGAGCCGCCAACUACUUGUUAUCUGAACAAUUGAAUAUGUUUAUUAUUGAGUUCUUUUUUUUUCUUUUUAUCAAAAGAGAAUCAAUUACAUAAUUUCUACCGUCUCUUAAUUAUUUUUGUCCCUAACGAGUAGACUAUACAAAUACUAUUGAGUGUGAUUUUAUUUUUCACUUCGUUUUAAAUUUUAUUUGAUUUAUUAUAAAGUCACCACUCAUUUUCUAUGUUUCAUCAAUUCAAUAUGACAAUAUGAAUAUGCACUUACUUUGUUUCACGUAGUUCCUUACACAAUGGUCUUCGAUAUUCCACAUGUCCAACUUUGGUUGGUACGUUCCUUGAUAAUGUCAGAGUAUGAUAUUCCCAAACAUUAUUAAAGUUAUCUAACGUGCAAUGCUCGGAUUGUUGUCUAGUAAAUCGUACAAAAAAAGAAACGCAACAGGAAUAUCGCUUUAGUAAAAGUCUGAAAUUCUUUAGACGAACGGCUUUUCAAAAAGCCACGUUGGCAAUCUCACAUUUCAUUCGCAAAGCCGAGGAAAAUCUGUCCCCAUUAACCUCACAUAAUUCUACAGUUCCUAUUAUUGAGACAAAUGACGAGGCAAACAUAUUUAUGUUUGACGUAAAUUCCACAAAAUGGUAGAUCAAGUUCAUGUUGGACAAAUGCCUGGAACAUUGGUACAGACGUAAGAAUUACUGGUCGACCUAGAGUGACCCCCUGAGAAGUAUAGAUAUUUCAAUAUUAUGACUACAGUCUACAUUAGACUUGGGAAUCUAUAAUAUGUAUUGUCUGAAGAGGCCAUGAGAACCACGACACCCGAUUUUAAUAAUAAUUAAGUAUGCACAUAAACGAUGUCCAUAACUCGUAAUUUAUCAAUCGAAGAAAAGGUAGAAAGAGAUUUCUUCCAUCUUGGAGGAAAGUAUAGCCUUAUCCAAUGUUCAGCCUAACAUUUUAUCUUACUAUAAGUGGUCUUUCAACAUGUGUAAAGGAGAUGAAAUCAGUCCCACUUACAAAAAUUUGGGAUUCAAAAGUGCCUGAAUCUGGCUCGAUUACAAUUUAUGAUCAUGUUAACGAGUGGCCAGAUUUUUGUUUAUCAUUCGUCAUUUAAUCUGAUAUCGCAUCAUCUGCAGCACAAUUAUGUAUGUGCCGAAAAAAAAAAAAAUCUUUCGUAUCGUGACAAUUUUACAUUACAUAUGAGAAGUCAAAUCAACUCUGAAAAGCCAAUCAGUGUAUAUGGCGCCUGGAAAUGGAGUCCUGAAAUUUCAAUGUCUUGAGGGACAUCAACAAGCUGCCUCUUUGCGUUGCUGGGUGUCCCAUCCCUCAGUAUCUCGAAGUUGAUCCCGUAAUUGGAACUCGAACCGGCUUCUUGAAGGAGAUCGUUUUCGCGCCAUGCAUGUUGACCGUGAUCAUCGAUGGCCGCCGACAUUUGCCCCAACUAAGCUUUGCUUAGCAUGCCUCUUAUCCCGCUGGGCCCUGAUGGCCUAACAUGGUACCUAGACCUGAUUUUGGUACUUUUAGUUCCCUUCUUUGAGUAGAUUGCUUUCGCUAUACAGGAAUUUGAGAUCUGCAGUGCUUAUGAUAUAGGUUUGAGCAGCUUUCCUCCAUUCAGAAGUUACCAGAUCUCUGGCCUUGACUGUCUUUAAGCAUCGAAUAGGGCCUCCGCCUAUUUCAAUGGCCUAGAAGACAGCCACUUCCGCGGCUUGCUCUGCACACCCUGGUUUAGAAGUUUCAGAGGCUGAGUGAAAGUUUUCAGGUUUCAGUUGUCCAUCAACACUUGGCCCCAGCAAAAGAAGCCUAAAUGAGAUAUUGCUCAAUUUAUCUGGUCACACUGCCCACAUACUCUGUUGAUGUUAUAAUCCUAAACGAUGGAUAUGCAUUGCCGGCACAAAGCUAUUUGAUUCCAACAUUCUACUAGGGGAAUGUCGCUCAACCAAGGGUGUCCACACGACUAGUGGUCUGAAUCCGAGAUGCCAUCAUCUUUGGUGGGAACGAUACAUAUAUGACUAGUUGCAGCCUAAUCUGUUGCCUGGUGCUACCAAGUAAACCCUCGACUACAUUCCGUCGAGCCAUGCCAACUUAGGUUGAGCUUUUGUGGACUCCUGAAGGGCAAUCUUGUGAAGGGGGACUCCUUAGGUUAGGCUAUCCCUUGGUGGGAGUUCGCAUGACUUUCACGCCCAUCUGGAAUUUGUCCUCCAUGCCGCAACUUCCAUCGACCUGCGUAUCAGGCCCAAUCUGCACGAUACUUUCUUCUCUAGGGGUGAGGUCAUAUGAUGCCAUUGCCAUGCGCUCGUGCAUGAGAAAAAUCCCUUAAAAGUAGGCCGCGAGCUGAUCGGUUGCUUGAGAAAGAAGCCUAAUGCCAUCUGCACAGGGUCGACAGUCCUGCAUCUUCUUGGAGUAGCCCUUCAAAGAUGAUGAUUCAAGAUCAGAUGAGCCUCAAUGCGGGCCAUGGGAUGGACAGCUAGUUAUUGUUCUACAAUGAUAGUGACAUGCUAGCCCCUUUGAUCGAUAUAUGUCGAGCAAAUCUGCGUGAAGAGCCUGAUCGAAGAGGUCCUUGUCUACUUUCAUCGUUUCCUUUUUUUUUCCUAGAAAUCUCAUUCAACCAAAUCCGCUUGUUAUUGUUUUUCAAUGUACUAGCACGGAACAGAGUUCCCUGCUACUACAUUGCGAACAAGUUGGUAACUAUCACAUACCAUGUUGGUAACUUGUUCAUCUAGUUGUGUAUGGGUAACUUUCAACAGGUUAAAACAAAUAUCAAAGUUUAUUUAUUCCUCAAAUUUACCAACUAUUUUAAUAAUCUACCCACAUUUACUUUUGUGACUUACCAACCAUUUGAAAUUACUAACCAACCCAUUUGAAAUUACUAAAUCUUAAUUUGAUUGAUAUACCAACAUUCAGUUAUCAACUUGUUAUAGAAACUGAUUUCUUUGUGAUUUACUUGUGAUUACCAAUGCUUUCGAAGCACUGACUUCAUUUAAAAAUUUCCCACUUUAGUUUCACUGACAUAUCACCAUUCAUCACGUUAACAAAGUGCACCACAACAGCAAUGGGGUACAAGCCAAGCCAGGCCGGCCGGCAGCCCCCCAUCCCGGACGCCCUAGCUGAUGAUGAUCUACCGGACGCCCUAGCUGAUGAUGAUCUAGGGAAUGUCCACUUUCCCGGCCGUGCACUUCUGCAGGCGUAUCGCCGCCGCAUAGUCCCCAUAGGCCUCAUGCCCAGAGAAGUAGCCUGUUCAGAGAGAAUGAGUACUUCAGCGUGUCCCUGCCAGAUUCAAGCCCAAAGGUCCUUGUCUGAUCGGACAUAGCAUUGUAAAAGCCGUAGCAAUACGCGGCCUGGUCGGUGUUAUGCUCGAUGAUGCUGCCCAAGAACUGAACUGCCUUGCUCCUAGUGUUCAUCCAGGCCGGGACACCCCACGGUAGGUCGCCACCCGGCCCCCUUAGGGCAUCCCUGGGUGGGAACAGCCCCCCGGCCUCCAUGGCAUUGUCCAGUAUCUCGAAAGUCAGGCUGCCUCCCAUGAGCCGGAACAGUUUCCAGUAGCUGCCCGCCACCCUCGUCUCGGGCUCCAUAGCUGGGAGUCUCGCCGCCGCAGAGCUCGUGCAGAGGCACGAAACAUGCUGGCAACGUUGGGACCCGUCGCCACAGCCUGCUUCCUCGAGAUGUACACCGUCUGAUGAAUUUUCCUAUAGCACGAAUGCACGUAAAAACUACUUCUUUUCCGUCAUUCCACGCCUGGGUGGGUGGAUUCAGCCCUCUCUUUUUCGGACCAGGCAAGUCCGAUUCAGGCAAAAGAUUUUAGAAGAAAAUGAUGAGAAGAACCGAAAAAGAAAUCUUGAAUUCUUGCACCCCUAAGCUUUCUACAUGUACUAGGCCUGUCUGCUGUUUUUUCCUGUCCGAAAUGUAUCAAGUCAUGGGUAAAUUUUACUUUUCAAGAACCUACCUAUGCUGAAAAUGAUUUGAUCACUUCGCAUUUAAUAUUGUGCAUCUAUAUCUGUCUAUUGUUACAUACGCUUUCCAAAGGAUUACCUAGAAACUUCAAGACUUAAGCAAUAGAUGAUUAGAGAUGACUUCUCCUUAUUAGUUUUGCCAAAUUCCUAAACAAAAAUAGCACCUAAACAAUUUGACGUGUUUUCCAUUCCAGUAUUUUUAAUUGAUACAAAAUCAAUUAUGUAAAAUUCUACCCUCUCUCGAUCAUUUCUCUCCAUAACCAAGUUUAAUAUUUACGGACUUUCUAAAUGUUAUUGAGUGGCCCACUUCAGAAAAAUUAAACAUAGUCAUAAAUUAUCUAAAUAAUAAGCUUUUAAAAAAUUGAAUCGGUAAUUUCACACAAUUUAAAAAGUUUCAUAUGAACAACUGAGCAAAAUCCAUUGCAUAAAUUUACAUAUUUCUAUAUAUCAUUGAGUUUAUUGAGACAAAUAUAUCUAUGCGGACAUAAAAGUCCAUGAAAUGAUCUCUUGAUUCUACUUUCAGAGUGAACCCCUUUAAAAACCCCCCCCCUUCUCAAAAAAAAAAGAAAAAAAGGACCCGAAUAUUUUAAUUAAAAAUUCGGAUUUUCUCUAUCAGUCUAGUAAAAUCCAGCAUUCAAACCCGCAAUAUGAGAAGGAAACCCGAAAUCCUGCGCUCGUUCUCCUGAAUCCUCCUGCGCCGUGCUUCCGCCGCACCCCGCCGGUCCCUCCGUCCGUCCAUAACCUGAAGGCUUCCUCUCUCUCUCCCUCAGCCCCUCUCGUGAAAUCUCUUCCUCCGCAAUUUCGUCGUCGCCGGCGUCUCUCCGUCGCCACCUCGCCGGACGCGCGAAUCCCUAAUUCGCGGCGCGCGGCUGUCUCCGGCGCUCCUCUGUGGCGGAACCUCGCCGACUGCUCAGCGCUAGGAACCCCUGCGGCAGGAAAUUCGAGGGAUGGACGUGAUCUCCCAGCUGCAGGAAAUUUGGGGACUCUGUGCUCGUUCUUGCAGAGGACGUGAGCAGAUUUCAUUCAUAAAUGUAUACUAUGGAAGUUCUCAUCGGUUGAUCACGGAUGUGAUGGGUAGUUCUGGAGAUGUAAUGCGAGUUGGGCAUUUGGUUCAUUUUUGUGUAUGCCUCCAUGUGUGUUAGUUAUUCCUACAGAAGAAAACGGGACCUUCUCCACUUUUUUCUUGUGGAUUCUGUCGGUGGAUAUAUCUGCCACGAGUAUCUCAGUGUGCAUAUGUACAUAGAAUGUGCUGUGAUUUGUUUUACACGAGUUGAAUAAUCUUUUGACUCAUGUGUGUGAAAUUGUUAUGCACAUUUGAAAGAGCCACCACUCUUGUGUAAUCACGACUAUCGUUUCUUUCAAAUGUGUUUCUGCAUCUUAAAGUCAGUAGAAUGGUUUGAGAUUGUAACUCCAUCAGCAUUCUUGAUCUUGAGUAAGGUGGAUUGUUGGUUUCUGAUUUCUAUCUCAUUCACUUUUGUUUUACUUCAUGCUUGAAGUAAAAUGAUGGUCGGUGUGACAUCCUAAACUCUGCGACAUCAGUAUAUUCUCGCGGGUGAAAGCAAUUAGCCUCCAUUUUAGAGAUGAAGCAUUAUGCUUCAAGUUAUAAAAUUCGGUCUCUUUUCCACCAUUUGCUUUGGCAAUCUGGAUAAAGUUCUAUCGGAACUCUUUUUCUUUCGCAGUUUGAUGCCUUAGUAGCGGGACUUCCACUACCUGAGGGAGGUGAAGAAGCUCAACUCAAAAGGAUUGCAGACCUCCAGGUUAAGAGGAUCCAUGGUUUUUGGCAUCUUUAGUUCAUUAUUUCUGUUGUUUAAGGCUGUUUCUUAUUCAUUCCAAAUUACCUUUGCACAGGCUGAGAAUGAUGCUGUAGGACAAGAGCUUCAGAAGCAACUUGAAGCUGCCGGUAAUUGCCCUAUCGAUGAGGGUGUGAGGGCAUUUGUCUCUUUCACUUAUGUAUGUCAAUUUUUGGUCGAAAGUGAUAUCUUCUAUGAUUUUUGGCAUUGGCAGAGAAGGAAUUGAAGCUGGUCCAGGAGCUAUUCAGCCAGGCAACAGAUAACUGCUUCAAUUUGAAGAAACCAGAAUAAAAAUUGAGGACGCUUCUCUUCUUUACCUUUUUUGUAAAAUUUAUGCAGUAGAGAUGAUGACUCAGAGAAAUAGGCAUUCUACUGUUCGAAUAGUGCAAAGAGACCUGAGAUGUCACAACUCUGUACGGGUGAGUUUUGAAGUCCUUGCCGAGUAAAAGUUUCUCGGUGCACAAAAAGCAUCAAUAUGGGCAUCAAGUCAACCAAACAAUCACUCAAAUGAAGUAGUUCUGGCGAAGUAAGAAGUCUAGUCUUGAAUCUUUAAUUGCAAAAACAAACUAUAAUGUUACAUUAGCAAUGGAAAGUUCUCUGUUUUGUUGUGCACCUUCCUUCCCUCUGAAGUUUUCAAAAAUUGCUUUGUUACGUUUUGGUCCUUCUGAGGAAGGUCUUGGUAUCGGAUGAAGCAUGGGCUUGUUUGCCCUUGCAGUGUAGAUCAAGAAUCAAGAAGGCAACUUUUAUAGUUGUGAAGUUCAAGAAAUCAGAGUUUUCCGUGUCUGAACGAGAGUGGAGAAAAGGGCGGGCUUCGACUUUGAACACUAGACCCCUUGUGGGCGUGUGUCGGGUUAUGGCUAGCUUACCCUCUUUAGGGUGCUCUUCUGGCAGGCUUCGUGGCCCCAAAUAAAGGGCCCAACCAUUAGUUUAGAACUCUCCCAGAGUGUACGUAAACAGCCAAGAGAAUAGUAUAUCCUCUUCUCCAAAAGGGGCAAUGAGAAUGCUCGGCUUUCUGGUUGAACUGCCCACAUUGUUGGUGUUGUUAGGAUCCCAGAUGACGGACAUACAUUGCUGGCCUCUCUGGGCCACGUGAGCAAAGGGUCAGAAACCGAGGUUGCCAAUGUAUUUGGUGGGUACUUGGCAUCGAUGGCUUGUUAUGGCCUAAUUUGUUGCCUGCUGCUACCGACUAAACGAUCCACUACAUUUUGGGGGAUGGUGCUAAAUUGGAUGUACUUUUGGGCUAGGGAGAGGAAUUCUUCCUCACGAAUAUUAGUCUUACACCUAACAUUGGCUUUUUCAAUCUCAUUAAAUAUUUAUGGAUAGUCCAGGUUGUUGCCUUAUCUCUUGGUCAAAUCAGCCACUGAUACUCCAGGAUCAGUUUGAGAGAAGUAUGUCUGGAACUGGACUUGCAUGUCCCACCAAUUUCAAAUGGAACUCGUGGGCAAACUGAGGUACCACUUUGAGGGAAACCGCAUCAACAUAUAGGACCCUUAUCAAUUGAUGUUGGACAAUAUUUGAGUGGCAUGUGGAAAUAUGCAAUGAGGGAGGCAUAUAGGGGCCCAUUAAAAUUUGACUUGGAACUUCCUAUUCAGAUAGUCAAAUCCAAAACUUAAGCUAUUUGGUGGAGAAAACCACAAGAAUAUAUAUAGCACAUGAGACCAAUUAUCAAGUAAUGUGUGACAAUAUUUCAACAGCUAUGAUUUCACAUUCACAAGUGAACAUAGUGAAUUAAGGCACUUCAUACUUUCUAGGGACAGGUCGAUGUGAUCAAGGAAUGAUUUCCUAGACAAAAGCCUUUAGUAUAGGUCCAUGCAAAUAUUUCUAUUGUCCUAGUCAGAUAUUCUUUGUCCAGAGGAUUGGGUACUCUCGGUUCAUUUUCAUCGAGUUAUUCUUCAUGGUCUUGUCAAUUUCUAGUCUCCUUGGAGGCUAGGUGUAGUUCCCCACUUUUUUUGCCAUCAUUCACAUUGACCUCUCUAGGAACCACUUGUGAUUGUUUCCUUCUCCUAACAUUAGCAUCGAAGGCCUCAGAUUAUUCAUCCAAUUCUUUAUUAGACUUUAUCCUGAAUUUCCAAAAGGUCCAAGUGAAUCAAUCGAAAAGAUAUUCCUGCACACUUUCAUUAGGAGACUGAGACGGUGGGCUUUCGUUCCCUGGACCAUCCCUAGCCGGGGAGGCUUUUGUUGGGUUAGAACCCAACUUUUGGUUAUUGGAGUAGUUGGCUUCACAACGGUGAAGCCCAAACAUGCUUCCAGUACUUCGGCAAGACAUUCUAUUCUCCAAUAGUGGUCGCCAUAAAAACAUGUAAGGUGGACUUUUCACAAGAUUGUGAUCCCCAUAAACUCAGUGAUUUCAAUUAGUAAUAAAAGUCCAAACGAGGGUGAUCGAUGACCAAUUAAAAUGUUAAAAUUGAGGUUGAAUCCAAAGUAAAUGAAUUCUAACGUGUCUUGAAGUCUCGAGAACUCCGAAAAAAAUGUGAAUUACUGAUGAAGCACAAACUGUAGAUUGGAAACAAGGAAAUUGAAUUGUAAUUUUGUUGAACCAGAAUGGAUGGCUUGCAUUCCUUGAGGCCAUACUUACUCGAUCACUAAAACUGAACAUAUACCAUUAAUGGCGUUCCCUAGGAUGCGUGAAGAAAGUAAAAAAAACUAACAAAACACAACAGGAAUGCUUCUAUAAACAACGACAAAUAUUGAAACUAGGAAACCUAAUAUAAAAUGAAAUUCAAAUCCGAAUUCAGGUUAAUCUGAUCUACUCUAAAUAACCUCCUCAUCUUCAUAUCUUCACAAUUAUUCUAAUGUGCUUUGGGAUUUUGUGGUGCCUCCCGUUGAUUCUUCUUUUGUCUUUUAAAUGGACAAUUGCGUUAUACAUUCUAAUCUUCCUCCACAAGAAUCAUUAAACAUCUUCGCUUGCACGCUACUCUAGGUGAUUUGCAACUGCUUUUGAUUUCUUAGCUAUGGUUACUUACCGGUAGAUUAAUCCUCCUUAGGUCAAUCUUUAACUUCUAUGCAUGUUUCGAAUCAAUUGAUAGUCACCUAGUAUCAUGCAAUUGGCUCCAAUACUGUCAAUUAGAAACUUGUGAUCGAUGAGUUCAUUAGAAGUUUCAUAUAGGCUUUGUGGGUUAAAUGUAUUGUCAUGGCCUGAUUUGAACUUAAUUUGGACUGCUAACUUCUUCACGUUUGGGCCUAAAUUUUAGCUCCGAUUUCAACAUGGGGUUAGUGGAAUAAAAGAGGAAAAGAAAAUUAAAUGGAUAUGUACAGUACAAGUCCUAAAACUUGUCAACAAAGUGCAAUUGAGUCCUAAAACUUACAAAAAGUGCAAUCAAGUCCUAAAACUUGUAAACUUGGUUCAAUUCAGUCCUUUCGUUAACACCGUUAGUUUAUGUUAACGGAAAUUGCUGAUUUGGCUUAUUUUAAUAUUUUCUCUCUCCUACGUGGCAAUUAGGGCAAGAAAAAUUGUGCACGUAAGCGAAACGACGUCGUUUUGUGGGUAUUACCAUUCUCAAAACGACAACGUCUCUCCUCUGUUUUUUUUCACGACGUCUCCUCCUCCGUUUCUCCGUUUCUUUACGACAUCUCUUCGAUUCUUCCUCUCUCGAAUCAACGAACCCUAAGCCCUAAAUCUCGCAGAUCUCUUCCCUCUUCCCCUCUCGAAUCAACGCAACCCUAAGCCCGAAAUCUCGACGCAGAUCUCUUCCCUUCUUCCCGUCUCGAAUCAACGCAACCCUAAGCCCUAAAUCUCGACGCAGAUCACCGCCUCGCGAGUUGCAGUUCUUCAUCAAACGCUGGUGCGAGUACGCGCGACACUCAUCCCACGAGAGCCUUGGCGGUGGAUCGAGCGGCGCCGACGGUGGAGGCGAGUGGAUUGAGCGGCGUCGACGAUGGAGGCGAGGUGAAUUUGUUUGCACCGCUCGCUUACUCUGUGCUUGACAGGCUGAAGUCUUUGGACCAGUUGACUCAGAUUUCUUCUCUCAUGUGUAUUGGGGAUUGUGAUUACCGGAGCCGAGUCGCGAGGAGGUCGUCCCGGAGGUGAGGGUCGAGGAUCGCAAUUCCUUGGACGAGGCUAAGCAAAGCUCUCCUGAUUACCGAGUGACAGGUCAUUUUCUGGAUGAAUCGUGCGUGCGCAUGUGUGUGGAGAAUGAUUGAUUGCACUUGCGCGAUGCAUGUCCUCCGUUUGCGUAAAUUCUUUUGCUGCUUCUUGCUGGUGUAUCCGCAGGCUAGUUGUGGGACUUUGUGUUGUUAUGAUACCUCUACAAUGGAACAGUAGCUCGCUGAUUUUGAUGCUUGAGAGAUCAUAAACGGUAAUCAAUUCGAUUGAAAACGGUUAGCUGAUGUUUCCUUAGACUUGGCUUGAAUGCGUACCUCGCUUUACGAGGAUAAUCACCCAUCCCACCACCUUGCUAGGCAUUCUAGAUGUUUAUAUAUCAAAUUUGUCCUUUGUCGUAGUAAUUCCAUUAAUUGAGAUCACAGAUGCAUGCUGAAUUUACAUUAAAACUCACUCUCAAAUUUGGUUGCUAAUUCUACUGCUUGGAACGAAUAUAGAUCAUUUAAACACUGCCUACAAAAGAACUGUCAUAGGUAUCAACUUUCAUAUGAUUGUCCUUGUUCAUAUGCCAUUGUGGAUGUCAGUUAUUUGAAUAAAUACUGAUACUGCAGUUUCACCAUCAUUCAAUUCUUGUAAUUGAUGCUGUGGAUAAUCAACAAUGCCUACAAAAGAACUAUCGUAGGCACGUUUAAAUUGAACUUCUUUACAUCACAUUGUUCAGUAAUUAUUCACUAGAAUCAUCAUCAUGGCUGAUAAAUGUACAUGACCGUUACACAGUACCUGCUUAGUGGUGUCACAUGACUAUGAAUGUUUUCAAAGAACUGUAACUUAACAGAAAUCAGUUAAAGAUUAGAUGGCCUAAUGAUAUAUUGCCUCAACAACCAGUUCUGUCAAGAAUUAUCCUCUUUUGGAAUUAUCUAUGGAUAUAACAUUUUCCUGUUCUUCCCCAUUUUUUUAUGCUUGUUGCUAUCCCAUAAUCCUUUAAGUUGAAUCUAUAGAUAUAGUUCCUUUUCACUGUCGAUGACGACAGUGAUUGCAACUGUAUGUAUNNNNNNNNNNNNNNNNNNNNNNNNNNNNNNNNNNNNNNNNNNNNNNNNNNNNNNNNNNNNNNNNNNNNNNNNNNNNNNNNNNNNNNNNNNNNNNNNNNNNNNNNNNNNNNNNGAAGUCAUUUUCUAGCUACAGGAUGAGUUGUUGGUGUUCCAAUCUUGUGAGGAGACUUACGAUCACAUCUUUUUUCAUGAUGCAUUUGCAGUAAUCUGGUUGGCAACAACUUUGCAUUGGACAACUCUGACAGAAGGUAAAUGCCUAGCGAUUUUUUGUUUAUGAUGCUUGAGAGAUCAUAAACGGUAAUCAAUUCGAUUGAAAACGGUUAGCUGAUGUGUCCUCAGACUUGGCUUGAAUGCGUACCUCGCUUUACGAGGAUAAUCACCCAUCCCACCACCUUGCUAGGCAUUCUAGAUGUCUAUAUAUCAAAUUUGUCCUUUGUCGUAGUAAUUCCAUUAAUUGAGAUCACAGAUGCAUGCUGUAUUUACAUUAAAACUCACUCUCACAUUUGGUUGCUAAUUCUACUGCUUGGAACGAAUAUAGAUCAUUUAAACACUGCCUACAAAAGAACUGUCAUAGGUAUCAACUUUCAUAUGAUUGUCCUUGUUCAUAUGCCAUUGUGGAUGUCAGUUAUUUGAAUAAAUACUGAUACUGCAGUUUCACCAUCAUUCAAUUCUUGUAAUUGAUGCUGUCGAUAAUCAGCAAUUCUGCAAAGCUCAGUAUUAGUAUUCACUAAUCAAGCCUUACGGUUCGAACCAUGACUUGGAGAAGCUAUCGCCGCUUCAAUGAUUUAAAAACUUUUAGCAUUUAAUUAGCAAUUGCAUCAUCCAUGAAGGAACCUUAAAUGUUUCAAUGAAAGUCAUAAAAAUAAAGGAAUUUUUCUUGCAAUAGAAUUAUCUGCUUUUGGUUUAGUCAUAAGUUCAUGCUGCCAUACUGGUCAACUGAAUAAAAUUUUCUUCUUUUAUCUUAGCCUUCUCCCUUCAGGAUUAAACUGUCUUCAGCAGAAUUUUCCUUGCAACAGGGGGAAAGGAAUUUGUAAGUCCAUAUAACCUUUUUCCCCUUAAUACGCUUUCCUUUUGUUGAAUGCCUCAACAAGAGGAGGACAGGAGAUUGGGUUUAUAGCUACCUUACAUAUUUCGAGGGAUCACUUCGCCGGAGGCUCCGAGAUUUGGGAAAGUUUUCAGCGGGCAGUUCAUUGCUCAGGCAUAAUUAGUUCAGUUUACUAUCACUUUCAACUCCUUUUUUGCCGAUGCAGGUUUGCUGAUGCUUGUAUUGGAGGGUUGACUACUCUCAAGGUCAUCCAUCAACAUGGGUAUGUUUACCCUACCUAUUUCUCUUUACAAGUGAAGUCAUUAGUAGUUUUUAGAUGAAAUUUUACGAUUGAAAGUGCUAUUUGUUUCUAUUCUUUUGUAGGUCCAACGGGCAACAACAAAGUUUAUCUCACUGUUUUCUUUGGAGGUAAAUUUCAAGCUGGACCGCCCUUAGAAUACGUAGAUGGAAGGGUCGAUGUUGUUGAAGUAGACAUAAGUAAGGGUUCAUUAUCCAACAUAAUUUCAGCUGUUGAGGUUCUGUGUGGGCGUAAGAUAGAAAAGCUCUUUUAUAGAGUUCCUGGAAGUACUAUUCUUGAAGAUGGAGUAACUCUUAGGUACUUAUGGGAUAACUCCAAUGUGAUAGAUCAAUUUUAUCAUCAUCUUCACUCUGAAAAUAUUGAAUUGUAUGUUGAGCACGUCGAUGAUGAAGAAACGCUUGAUGAGAUAGGGGGAGUUGAGAUGGAAACUGAAGGUUUGUUUGAUGUGAAUAUAGAAAGUGUUAAUAAUGUGGCUGAUGAUGUGUUUGAAAAUAUAAUUGGAAAUGCCGAUGGUGAUGGGAACCAGCUUGAGGGUGAAAGUAGGAAUGUGGAUGAUGAGAAUGAUGAUGCAUGUAAUUUGGUGGAUGUUGAAGAGUCGAGUGACGAUGAUGAUUUUGAAUUGGUUAAAGCAAGAAGAAAUUUAAAAGAAUUUUCAGCGAGACAUAGACUCAAAAUUGGAACUAACAUUGAAGAAACUUCUCAAUUAGACAUUGGCUCUCAAACUCCAUUAUCAGUUGAUCCUCUAAUGGUGGAUGUGUCUGGGUGCGAAACAUAGUACUAUGAUUCAGAUGAAGAAGAAAGUCUUCAUUCAGAUUUAGAUAAUGAGAGUGAAAAAGAAGAAAAUGAUGUUAUUUCAAGAAGAAGGAGUAGGUUUCCAUCAUAUGAUCGAAAUUGUAAGAAUCCAGUAUUUGUUGUUGGCAUGACAUUUGAAGAUUCAAGUGAGUUCAAAGAUGCAAUUUUGAGGUACUCAGUGGCUGAGCAAAGAGCAAUUAAAUACACCAAGAACACUACUGGAUUUGUAAAGAGCUAGGUGUGCCGAAGCUAAUUGUAACUGGAUGAUUUAUGAUGCUCUCGAUAGCCAAACUGGAUCAUUCCAUUUGAAAAAGUACAUUGAUGAGCAUAUAUGUGCUAUUACUUUUGAGAAUAAGAGAGUUUCUAGUUCUUUUUUAGCUAAACACUUCAUGAUUCUCAUUUCUGCAAUGCCUAAAGUUAAAGCACCUCAGUUGAAGAUAUUGGUUAGAGAACAGUUGGGGGUGAAUGUCACUGUGAGCCAAUGCAGGAGAACAAAGCUAAAAGUGUUAAAGGAAUUACAAGGCAAUUAUAAGAAAGAGUAUGCACUGAUGUACGAUUACUUGGGAGAGCUUUACAUUGCAAGCCGGGCGAGCACAUUUAUAAUGAAAGUUGAAAGACCACUACCAGAUUCCUUACCAUUAUUUGAUAGGACUUACAUUUGCUUUGAUGCCUGUAGGAAAUGAUUUUUGGCAGGGUGUCGGAAGAUCAUUGGAUUAGAUGGAUGUUUUCUUAGGGGAUUGAUCAAGGGUGAGUUGUUGUGUGCUGUGGGGAGGGAUGCUAACAAUCAAAUGUAUCCAGUAGCAUGGGCAGUCGUAAGAAUUGAGAAUAAGGACACAUGGAGCUGGUUUAUCAACUUGUUGAAAGAAGAUCUUGACAUGGGUAAUGGUAAUGGAUGGGCCUUAAUAAGUGACCAACAAAAGGUAUGUAAUACUACUAUCGCUCAUCUUGAAUUUGUUUGAAACAAUGUAUAUAAUGAUUUCUAAUAUUAAUGUUUUCUUUUCUUUUUUUUUAUAUAUUAGGGCCUCAUUCCUUCAGUAGUUGAACUUUUGCCAAAUGCAGAACAUAGAAUGUGUGCGAGGCAUAUAUAUUGUAAUUGGGGUCAAAAAUACAAAGGAAAGCAGUUGAUGAGACAAUUCUGGAAAUGUGCUAAGAGUACUAAUAUGUCAGAUUUUGAGGUGCAUAAACAAAGAUUGAAGGAAAUGACUCCACAAGGUCAUGAUGAUCUAUUCCAGAUUGAGCCAAAGCACUGGUCUAAAGCCUUAUUUGACACCGACAUAAAAUGUGAUGUUGUUGAUAAUAAUCUUAGUGAAGCUUUCAAUGGUAGGUGUGUGGAAGCUAGGUGUAAGGCCAUUGUGAGUAUGCUUGAAGAUAUUAGAAUCAUGAUUAUGAAUAGAAUGCACAAUCAAAGGGAUGCAUGUGCUAAGUGGACAAGGAAUUAUGGUCCAAGGAUUGUGCAUAAGUUACAUCAGAAUACAGUGGCUAGUAGAUAUUGCCAUUUGAUAUGGAAUGGAGAUCAAGGAUACGAGAUUAUGGAAAAUGGUGACAAAUAUGUUGUAGACUUCAAUUUGAAUACUUGUUCUUGUAGAGCUUGGAAAGUUAGUGGAAUCCCAUGUUGCCAUGCUAUAUGUGCAAUACACCACAAGAAAAAUGAUCCGGGUGACUACCUAGCCGAUUGCUAUAACAGGAACAAAUACUUAAGUGCUUAUCAAUUCAUGAUGCCUACUGUGAGAGGACAGAAAUUUUGGGGUAAAACUAAUAAAGAAGCCCCUCAGCCCCCACCGAUCAAAAAGAUGCCUGGUAGGCCAAAAAGGAGUAGAAGAAAGCAACCACUUGAGCUUGUAAGAGAGAACAUAAUGACUAAAGAGGGUAAGCGAAUGACUUGUUCUACUUGCCAUGUGGUUGGACAUAAUUGUAAAGGAUGUCCUCUGAGAAAGGUAUUUCUUAACUAAUUGAUUUUGUUGAUUCUAAGCCUGUUGUCUUGUCAUCAAUGCUUACUAUGUGCUUUUUAGGCCCAUGCAAAUGCACCUGAAGCUCAAUCUCAAGCCAAUUCCAGUGGAUCAAGGCCUAAAAAAAGACAAGUAUGUUGUGAUAGAUUCAUGCAUUGUAAGUUAUAAAUGUAAAGAUUUCGAUUUACUAAUGACGUAUAUAUAUGCAGGCUAAAGCUACAGCAACGGCAAGUACAACUCAAGGAGGAUCCAAAGGCCAUAUCAUUGCUUCUGCAGAAGCUAGUGCACUUGUACAGAUAAUAGUGGGCAGACAAAUUCUUCAGCCAAUGCUUUUGCAGAAGCUAGUGCACAAGUAGAAGAUACUUCUGCCAAUGCUUUUGCAGAAGCUAGUGCACCAAUUGAAGAUACUUCAGCCAAUGCUUUUGCUCAAGUCGAUGUGCCAGCAGAAGAUACUUUAGUCAAUGCAUGUACAGAACUCACUGGACCAGUGCAAGAUACUUCAGCCAAUGCUAAAGCUCAGUCUAGUGUAAAUGAAAGAGGAUGUUGGGCUACUGCUAAUGUAAGUGGAUGUAGUGGACAAGCCAAUUCUUUUGCUAAAGCUAGUGUUAAUCAACGACAAGGAUUUUUUCGUGCUCAAGCCAAUGCAAUAGCUAGCAGCAGACCUCAAAAAAUCCCGGUGAGUAAUACCUCACCAGCCAUGCAUUCAUGUGUUGUAAUUACAUUGUCACAUUCGAUUUUUUGUUUUUUUUUUCAGUUUAAAAGACCUGCCAUUGAAAUGGAAACGAUACAAGGGCAGUCACAACCGAACAAGAAAAAGAAAAUGGUAUGUUUACACAACUCCUAAAAACAACCUUCAAAUUCUCAAUGUGAGUAUGUUUUAACACUUUACAAUGGGAACUGAUUGUCUCCUUGAACUAAAAACAUACCCAUUCUUUUGUAGCCUAUCUCAACUCAUACAAGAUUAUCGAAACAAUCGGACAAAGGAGUAGUUUUAGGAGCUUCAAUGGAAAAAGCGCAUCCCCAAGCUAGUGCACAGCCUCAGUCAUCUCAAAGUGCUCUUCAAAAGCAUGUUGUUGUGAAGUCAAAGCCACCAUUGCAACUCCAGGACAGUUUGCAGCUUCAAGCAUUAAGAACUUAUCCUCGAAAGCACAUCGGUGUAAAGCCAAAGCCACCAUCGCACCCCCAGGCAAGUUCUCAGCCUCAGUCCCAAAAACAUGUUGCCAUAAAGCCGAAGCCGAAGCCACCAUUACAACCGCCAAUGAGUUCACAGCCUCAGUCAUCUCAUACUUCAAUUGCUCCCGCAAAGCCUAUUUGGAAGUGAGUCACAAAAGGCACACCAUAUACAAUUAAAAGCUCACGACUUAUGAAUCAAGCGCACGAUGAACCUGGUGGACCACCCGAGAUAGUUCAACCACCCGAGACAGUAGACUUGGAUUGACGUGCUUGCUAAAUGUGUCUUGUCUCAUGAAAGUUGCAACAAGAAAUUCUCCUUUAACAUUAUCUUGGGUGCUGUUUUUGCUGGCCAAUUUCUUAUAUGGUUUGUGGUUUGUAGUGUUUUGUAGCAAUCAAUUUUAGUGAUUUUGUAAUCACCAAAGAACGUGUUGGGACUGUGUUUAAUGACUCGUCCCUUUUGCUGUAUACAUUUGAGAAUAUCGUAUCCGUCUCUUUGCCUCUUGGAUGCAGUAGUGCAAUGUGCAAAUUUAUCUGCCUAAGAAAAGAGCACCUUUGUUUUGCAUCCGUGUAUCUGAGGCAGCAUGCCAUGGUACGUGCAUGUUCCUUUUCAGUUUCUUUAUUUGAAUAGGAGUUUUAUAUAUGUUGAGCACCUCAGUACAGUCUCCAUAUAUAUUCACAACUUACAUAAUGUCAAAAAGAAGGUUGCGGUGGAGGGAAUGUUCGGCCGUUUUGAGUUAAAAAAAACUUGUCUAUCUCUAGAUACCUUUCAUUACAUAGUACACACCGAUAUUAUCGAGACGAAUCCCCAUUAGAGAUUAUAUUUGGCAUCUAGAGCUCCUUUAACAUCAUCUCAAGAUUCUGUUGUUUCUGCAGUGAAUCGUCAUCUCGUUUCGGCCAAGAUUUCAUCGCGUACACACCGCUCACAUUGGGUGGUACCUCGUUCUCAUCCACGAAGACAUUGCCUUCGUAAGUCACUGCCCCUCCAUCUCGAACUCUGCCAUUGCCAGUUACUUCUACAAUCAAUUUCGGAAAACCAAUGCUCUCUUCACGAAUCAGACCCUCCCUUGCCUCUCCUAUCAACUUCUCAGUCCUUUCGCUUUCGAGGAAAGAAACCCUUUUGAAAGAAACCAGAGAGGGCUUGCUUGGAAAGUUCUUUCCUUUCUUCUGACGUAAAGCCAAGAAAGAGAGAGUCGUGCAAGCUAACAUUCGUCAGAAUGCAAAAGCAGUAUAAUUUGUCAAGGCAUGGAAAGUCCCGAACGGGGGGUUUGAAACUUUUAAAAAUCCAAAGAGCCGGCUUUGUCACGUAACUCCCUUUACUUCAUGCCCCAAACAGUACCUUUUUCUCUCCUUUCUAAAUGCUUUUGAUUUGAUGAAGCAAAAGUUCGAAGGGCGAGGGCAGCUUAUAUAGAGGAAAACAAGCUUCCCAGACUUCAUUUCCAUAAAUACCUGAGAGUGCUGUCUUUUUUCCUUUGAUGGAACAUUUAAAAAAUCAUCAUCCAAAUAGCAUUCACUGAAAGAACACACGAAAUUGUUUACAUUUCCACGCAACAUGAGUUUCCUAAUUUUACAGGGCAAAAGAGAAUCGGGAUAAAGUAAUUAAAUACAAACUUAGAAACAAGGUACUAUGGAAGACUUAGAAACUUCUCAUUGGCUUUCACAUUAAAUAUAAUCCCCAUAAUGAUAUAACACAUGCAUAGAAAAAAUCCCAAUUGAUAGAGCAUCUUCCCUUUCUUCACUCGUGCAAGCUCUUCCUUUAAAAGUCCAUUUUUCGCCUUUUGCGCCUUCAUUUUAGCUAUCAGUGAGCUUACAUAAUCGUCGUUGCAUCUGGAUUGGCUUGACUCCGAUAGUGCUUGAUUUCUUUCAAGCAGUUCGACUAUCAUGUCCCUCGCUUGAUCCGGUAUUUUUUGGUCAACCCACAUGAAGAAAUUGCAGCAACCUGGAUCAUCAAACUUAGCACAUCCAUAGAACCUUCUUCCUGCGUUUUUCUUUGUUUUUGCAAUAAGAAGUGGUGAUCGAAGACCACAAUAGCAGGUUAACUCUGAUUCGACCUCAUUAGGAGUUACACCACUUGAUUUAGAAGUUGUUGCCCUCAUUCUUCUUGUCGCCAUAUUAAAAAAGCAUAUCACAGUUGCAAACUAGCAAAACCUACACCAUAGGAGAAUAAAGGCAUGUUAACCUUCAAAACAAACAUGUAAUGACAACUUAUUCACAGAUAAAGACCACAUGCCUGCUGUCCUACAUUUAAUCUUAGCAUGUGUCGCAAAACUGUACACAGUAGCUAGAGACCUCUAAGACGAAAAUAUGGCCAUGCGAUAUAAAUCUUGUUUCCAAGAAUAACAUGCACAUGAAAAUAAGUUCAUGGAAACUAGAAAUCUUCUUUUCUUAACAUCAUCAAGCAACAAAAAGCAUAUCAAGCAGUGCAUUGGAUUCCAUCACAUAAGAAUUGUGUAAGCAAUGGACAAUGAGACAAAUCAUUUGGUAUCGUCAUCGACAGUGAAAAGGAACUAUAUCUAUAGAUUCAACUUAAAGGAUUAUGGGACAGCAACAAGCAUAAAAAAAUGGGGAAGAACAGGAAAAUGUUAUAUCCAUAGAUAAUUCCAAAAGAGGAUAAUUCUUGACAGAACUAGUUGUUGAGGCAAUAUAUCAUUAGGCCAUCUAAUCUUUAACUGAUUUCUGUUAAGUUACAGUUCUUUGAAAACAUUCAUAGUCAUGUGACACCACUAAGCAAGUACUGUGUAACAGUCAUGUACAUUUAUCAGCCAUGAUGAUGAUUCCAGUGAAUAAGUAUUGAACAAUGUGAUGUAAAGAAGUUCAAUUUAAACGUGCCUACGACAGUUCUUUUGUAGGCAUUGCUGAUUAUCCACAUCAUCAAUUACAAGAAUUGAAUGAUGGUGAAACUGCAGUAUCAGUAUUUAUUCAAAUAACUGACAUCCACAAUGGCAUAUGAACAAGGACAAUCAUAUGAAAGUUGAUACCUAUGACAGUUCUUUUGUAGGCAGUGUUUAAAUGAUCUAUAUUCGUUCCAAGCAGUAGAAUUAGCAACCAAACGUGAUAGUGAUUUUUAAUGUAAAUUCAGCAUGCAUCUGUGAUCUCAAUUAAUGGAAUUACUACGACAAAGGACAAAUUUGAUAUAUAAACAUCUAGAAUGCCUAGCAAGGUGGUGGGAUGGGUGAUUAUCCUCGUAAAGCGAGGUAGGCAUUCAAGCCAAGUUUGAGGACACAUCAGCUAACCAUUUUCAAUCGAAUUGAUUACCGUUUAUGAUCUCUCAAGCAUCAUAAACAAAAAAUCGCUAGGCAUUUACCUUCUGUCAGAGUUGUCCAAUGCAAAGUUGUUGCCAACCAGAUUACUGCAAAAUGCAUCAUGAAAAAAGAUGUGAUCGUAAGUCUCCUCACAAGAUUGGAACACCAACAGCUCAUCCUGUAGCUAGAAAAUGACUUCAAGUACUAUAGAGCAUCCCAUGAGCAAUAAAAGAUUGAUAAAGUGCAAAAGAAGAGUCCUCACUUUAGAUAUCUAACUAAAAGUAUAAAUUAUCAUUUUCCGAAUGACAAAAAUACAUACAGUUGCAAAUCAUUGUCGUCAUCGACAGUGAAAAGGAACUAUAUCUAUAGAUUCAACUUAAAGGAUUAUGGGACAUCAACAAGCAUAAAAAAAUGGGGAAGAACAGGAAAAUGUUAUAUCCAUAGAUAAUUCCAAAAGAGGAUAAUUCUUGAUAGAACUGGUUGUUGAGGCAAUAUAUCAUUAGGCCAUCUAAUCUUUAACUGAUUUCUGUUAAGUUACAGUUCUUUGAAAACAUUCAUAGUCAUGUGACACCACUAAGCAGGUACUGUGUAACGGUCAUGUACAUUUAUCAGCCAUGAUGAUGAUUCUAGUGAAUAAUUACUGAACAAUGUGAUGUAAAGAAGUUCAAUUUAAACGUGCCUACGAUAGUUCUUUUGUAGGCAUUGUUGAUUAUCCACAGCAUCAAUUACAAGAAUUGAAUGAUGGUGAAACUGCAGUAUAAGUAUUUAUUCAAAUAACUGACAUCCACAAUGGCAUAUGAGCAAGGACAAUCAUAUGAAAGUUGAUACCUAUGACAGUUCUUUUGUAGGCAGUGUUUAAAUGAUCUAUAUUCGUUCCAAGCAGUAGAAUUAGCAACCAAACGUGAAAGUGAGUUUUAAUGUAAAUUCAGCAUGCAUCUGUGAUCUCAAUUAAUGGAAUUACUACGACAAAGGACAAAUUUGAUAUAUAAACAUCUAGAAUGCCUAGCAAGGUGGUGGGAUGGGUGAUUAUCCUCGUAAAGCGAGGUACGCAUUCAAGCCAAGUUUGAGGACACAUCAGCUAACCGUUUUCAAUCGAAUUGAUUACCGUUUAUGAUCUCUCAAGCAUCAAAAUCAGCGAGCUAUUGUUCCAUUGUAGAGGUAUCAUAACAACACAAAGUCCCACAACUAGCCUGCGGAUACACCAGCAAGAAGCAGCAAAAGAAUUUACGCAAACGGAGGACAUGCAUCGCGCAAGUGCAAUCAAUCAUUCUCCACACACACGUGCACGCACGAUUCAUCCAGAAAAUGACCUGUCACUCGGUAAUCAGGAGAGCUCCGCUUAGCCUCGUCCAAGGAAUCGCGAUCCUCGACCCUCGCCUCUGGGAUGACCUCCUCGCGACUCGGCUCCGGUAAUCACAAUCCCCAAUACACAUGAGAGAAAAAUCUGAGUCAACCGGUCCAGAGACUUCAGCCUGUCAAGCACAGAGUAAGCGAGCGGUGCAAACAAAUUCACCUUGCCUCCACCGUCGGCGCCGCUCGAUCCACUCGCCUCCACCGUCGGCGCUGCUCGAUCCACCGCCAAGGCUCUCGUGGGACGAGUGUCGCGCGUACUCGCACCAGCGUUUGAUGAAGAACUGCAACUCGCGAGGCGGUGAUCUGUGUCGAGAUUUAGGGCUUAGGGUUGCGUUGAUUCGAGAGGGGAAGAGGGAAGAGAUCUGCGAGAUUUAGGGCUUAAGGUUCGUUGAUUCGAGAGAGGAAGAAUCGAAGAGAUGUCGUAAAGAAACGGAGAAACGGAGGAGGAGACGUCGUGAAAAAAAACGGAGGAGAGACAUCGUCAUUUUGAGAAUGGUAAUACCCACAAAACGACGUCGUUUCGCUUACGUGCACAAUUUUUCUUGCCCUAAUUGCCACGUAGGAGAGAGAAAAUAUUAAAAUAAGCCAAAUAAGCAAUUUCCGUUAACAUAAACUAACGGUGUUAACGGAAGGACUCAAUUGAACCAAGUUGACAAGUUUUAGGACUUGAUUGCACUUUUUGUAAGUUUUAGGACUCAAUUGCACUUUGUUGACAAGUUUUAGGACUUGUACUGUACAUAUCCAAAAAUUAAAUGCAACGUCUUUCCAUGCCAUCGAGAAUGAAGAAAGAAAGAUUGCCCUUUAAGUUUUCCGGUGUUGGUUGAAGAUCCCCCCCCCCGGGGGGGGGGGGGGUUGGGUUGGGGAGAUCGAGAUACCUGAUGAAAUAUGUCCACGGCUAAUGCUGCACACUAUUCCUCAAGUAAAUCAACUUCUCCAUCGCAAGUUUCAUGCUAAUAAAGCCGUGAUUUUGGAAAAAUCUCAAAUAGAGAUAUGAAAUGCCCUCUUUUUACUCAUAAGAGGAAUAUAGUCCAUCUCAAAUAAAGAUCCAAAAUAAUUAUUUGGUCUCAAAAAAGGAUCUAGCUCAUCGACGGGCGAACAAAAGCAUCUCCCACGUCUGGUCAGGGAUAAUUUCAUCCAAAAAUAUUCUUUUUUCGUUUUCGUUUACCCUGUUCAUUAUGUCUAAUGCUAUAUACUAUUUCUCAAGUGAAUCAACUUCUCCAUUGCAAGUUUUGUGCUGUUAUUGGCUUGUUAUGCUUGUCUUUGUCCGAUGGUCAUAUGCAAUUAGGCAUCCGGGCUAGUUGGGCAAAACCAACAUAGGGUACUUGGAUUGACAAUGCUCAAGUCGAAAAGUAAUCAUUAGUGCUCAUUAUAAAAAUUGCUAUGGACAAUGCUCAACUCUAAAAGGAGCAAGUGUUGCUCAUUAUAAAAAUUGCCGACAAAUUGCUUGCCAUUUAGAUGUGUUUGGUUUCAAUAUAUCAUCACGCAACUAUAUACGUUGUGAUUUUUGUCAUUUAUGUCUAAUGUUGUACACUAUUUCUCAAGUAAAUCAACUUCUCCAUUGCAAGUUUCAUAAAGCUGUGAUUUUUGUUGGCUUGUUAUGCUUGUAUGUUUAUAACUUACUAUGGAUAGUUUUACUUUUAUUUUAAUUUUUUGGUAUGUCAUUGAGUUUGUGAGACUUAAUUUCAAUAUCAAUGGAACGAUCUUGUUGCUUGUCAAUUUUUUUUGUCUUUUUCAUUUUUGGAUUUUGCUUUUACUUGAUGAUGUUGCUGGUAUGUCUGUGGUGGUAGCUAAGGUGCUGGUAUGGCUAGUGAUGUCUAGUAGUAGUGGGUCUAUUAUGAUGGUUCGGUUUGAGGCUUGUGUUGUUUCUAGUGCAAGUGUGCAGUGUGCACAUCUUGCACCAAGUGGUGCUGGUGCAAGGCUCGGCUUACAUCAACACCUUCUGCAGCAUACCCACAAUUAGUACAGUGGCUGGUGGCUGGGGUGCUAGUGUGGUGGCUAAUGGUGGUAGCUGGUGAUGCCUUGUGGUGAUGGGUUUGUGGUGGGAAUUCUGUUGGCGGCUUGUGCCACACCUAGUGCAAAUGUGCAGUAUGCACAUCUUGUAUCAGGUGGUGCUGGUGCAAGCUGUACCUUGUGCAGCAAACCCACAACCAACAUAGUGAUUGGUGGCUAGGGUGCUAGUGUGAUGGCUAGUGGUGGUGGUAGGUGAUGGCUAGUGGUGCUAGUGGCCGAUGAUGCUUGAUGGUAGUGGGUCUAUGGUAGGGGUUGAGAGCUCAUGCAACACCUGGUGCAAGUGUGCAAUAUGCAUUCUUACACCAAGUGGUAUUGGUGCCAAGCGAGUGUAAGGCUCAGCUUACAAACACCUUCUGCAAUAGUACACCACUAGCACAGUAGUGGCUAGCCAUGGCUCGAGGUGGUGGAUGGGGUACUUGUUGUGGCUGGUGGUGGUGGUUGAUGGCCGGUGGUGACCGAUGAUGGUGGUUGGUGUAAUUUUUAGGGGAAACCUACAAAAAUUGACACUUGACUGAUAACAUUCUAAAAAAUUAACAUUUAAGUGUUCACUUUUACCAUAAGUGAUACUGAAGUUAUCACUUUAAUAAUAACUUGACACUUAAGUGAUCUUUUUUUCAUCACGACUAGUACUUAAGUGAUCACCAAGUACAACUUAUGGCACUUGAGUAAUCAUUCGUGUUUGUCCUAUGUAUAUGUUGAUUUGUAGCAAAUCAGAGAAGCUGUUAGUUUAUAUUUAGUUCAACUUAUAGCAACUUCAUUCAAUUCAAUGUUUGCUAUUGGUUUAUGUAUAUAUUCAAUUCAAGUAAAGAAGCUACCACAACACAUUGACUCAAUAUACAUCCAUCAUUGUUGGUUUAUAUUCAAGAACAAGUAAAAAUAUAGUACGAGCAGUAUUUCAUUCACUCAUUCUCUUUCCUUGACCUCUCCACAAGCACAAGAAGUAACCCAUGAUAUAUAUGACAGUACAAACAAUAACAAAGCUACAACGAUCUUGUGGACAACACAAACUUCUUCUCAUCUUCCAAAAAAAUGCAUACAUUUGAUCCAAAACAAUUGCAUUUGUCCACUCAUUUUCAACUAUGGCAAUCGGAGAAACUUCUUCUCAUCUUUCAGUGCCUAACAUUUCAUCAUAAAGUAGGAUAGAUAACAAAACAAUACAACAAUAAACACUUGGUAACAUUUCCAUUCAAAUUUUAUUCUUGAAACUUCAUUCUACAAAUGUUUAGCCGAAGAUGCUUGAGCUUGUAUUAAAUCAACAUCGUCCAAGUUGUCCACGAGCAUAGAUGGAGGUUGAUGUCAUCCAUCAAGUAGAUCCGAUAUCACCUCUGUGACUCGAUGAGAGAAUUUCACAUCGACUCAUUUGAAGUAUUUACACUUCGACCAUUCUCUAUAUCGGGCACAUUCAUAAAAUCUUCUCCUAGGAUUCAUUCGAGUCUACGAUGUUCUUUUUAGACUCGGUAACCCACAAAAACAAAAAACACUUGCCUUCACCUUCACUUCAAUGAGAGGAAUUUGAAGCACUGCUAAAAAUCCUGCUCUCUAUUUUCAAGAUUCAAUGGUGGAAUUUUAGGCAAAUCGAAAUUAAGAUUCGCGAUUAGGGUUUGAGCACUUCAAUAGGGAUUUUGGCUGAUUUAAGGUUUUAGAUUUUGGGCAAUUUGGGAGAUGGCGUUGUUUUGACCGAUUUAGGGCUUUUAUUUUGGACAACUAUGAAAAUGGCAUCGUUUUGGGUCAGUCAGAGCUGAGUCAGCUCUCCAACAAGCCACGUAGGCAAACAAAAUUAAUAAAAAAAAAUUAUCACGUAGGAUUUUCAACGGGGUUUGCCAGAAGUAGCACUCAAGUAUCUCAUUUUUUAAAAAAAAAUUAUACUUAAGUGUCACUUUACUAACUUUUAGUACUUAAGUGUCCUCUCAUGCUAAGUUUUAACACUUGAAUUAUUCUUUUUCCAGAAAAUAUCUAUCUAAAUCCCAACUUGCUUUGUCAUGCUCAUGCUUGCUUAUCAUACUCAUAUUUCUCAAUUUCCGAAGUUCAAAAUAUUGGGAUUUAACCCAAAAUUACUUGAAAAUUUAAGUAUAUAUCCAUUGCAUUUACUCACCUUUAUAAUCAAAUGCAACUACUUUGCAUAUUUAAUAUUGUCGUGAGAGCAUCGGCCAGAGUAGUAAGUGAAAGGAGGAUUUUGCAUGAAGCGUUUCAAAACCAGCCAAAGGAUCGGCUUAACCAUCUCUACUCACGUGAAUCAAAUACUGCAACGGGUGCCCUCUCAUUCCCUUGGGAUUAUGUUGUUUUUAUCUCCAUAAAGCCCUUCAAUUCUGUUUGGCUAUCUCGUUCACCCUCUUCAGCCAUUUAAUGCUUUCAGCUUCAGUAAAGCUAUCCUCUAAAUCUCCCAAUUGCUCCGCCCAAAGACAUCCUCUAACCGUAAACCUGCAUAGCAUAACUUAACACGUCUAAGUUUAGUUGCACUUGUGCAGGUGUUCGAUUAGUAGAUGCUAUUCAGAUAAGAGGCUAAUCUGAGGACCGAUGCAACUAACCUAGCCACACAAAUGCCUCUUUAUCCCAACCCAAGUGUGAUGCAGCUGAUAAGCCCCAUGGUGAUCGAAGAAAUUGAAUCAACAAAACAAUAAUUAAUAUAGCAAUAAAUAAAUUUCAAGAAAUUUAAUUAUAAUCAUCCUAGCAGACGGACUGAUGAUUAAAGUAACAAUUAAUAGUGGAAGGACACAAAUAUUUUCUUAUGAAGUAGAGUUAUGAUGAUAGAAUAUUGGGAUAAGUGCAUUGAAUGUUCUAGAAUUUCUCACGAAAGUGCAAUUGAGUUCUAAAUUUUCAAAAAUUGCAAUCAAGUUCUAAAACCUGUCACAAAAGUAAUUGUGUUAUAAAAUUUUUACGAAGUGCAAUCACGUUCUAAAACUUGUUGGGAUUUUCUAUUUAUCAAGUUGGACGAAGUUAAUGGAAUAUUUGAUCACAUUGACAAGUUUUAUGACUUGAUUAUACUCUCUUUUUUUUAAAAAAAAGUUUUAGGAUUUAAAUCACUUUCUAAAUGCUCUAAGGAUAAGUAUUAUUAUCUCUUGAAGUCCUUCUGAGCUGAGAGAAUUAAAAACUUCAUUGAUUUGAUAAAGAGUAUUAUUAUCAAGAGAUAGCUUGUUGAGUUUUUUGUUGACUUCAUAACGUCCAGCAGUAUGGCCUUCUUUUCCACAUUGAUAGCAUGUUAUACUUCAAUUGAUUUUUUUUUAUUUUUUUUUAUUUUUUAUUUUUAGUUUGAGAAGGGUAGGAUGAAGAUUUUCAGGAAAAAAAAAUUAGUGUGAUUUAUUUAUUUAUUUAUGAUUUGGUUUUUUUGACCUUCUAUAAGAUAAUUAUCCCACCAACAUUUUAAUUGUCCAAUAAAAUAGCCAUCGAUAUUCUAAAUGUUCUUCACAUCAAACAAUCAUGGUCUCCAAUGCGUAUAAAACACAACAAAAUGUAUUGUGAAAUAUUUUUGUGAUUAUUUAUAUUUCAAUCAUAUCGUAACGUGUCAUUGCCAUUAAAAUUUUUAUCAUUUGUAUCACUUUGUUUGUUUUACAUAUCCUUUCCAAAUCAACCAUAAUAAUAUUUCAUAUUGUAACGUUAGAUCCUCUAUCUUAGAGCCCGGGCAUUUAUAUGCAUACGGAGCAACCAUGGAAUCGAAUCUCAGUGGAGUACGUGGAUCCUACUGAUAAAUGAAGAUUGCUGAAUGUCUCUGAGAAUCUUAGGAAGACGACACUCGGCAAUGACCAAAUUCAGCGAUGGAAUCACCCGACGAAGGUACUCAAGCCGAGUUAGAUGAAGAACGACCGAAGCUGGAGCCACCACGAAUAGUCGUCAUCUGAGAGAAGAAGAAAAUAGAGAGAAUGAGUUAUCAGAGGUGAAGGAUCUGUACGUUCUAUGAACUGAAAGAGAGAGCGCGUGAAGUCUGCGGCGAUAGGAGGUGGUCCGGUGUUGCUGGGCGACGAUGAUGUUGCAGCAGCUUAGGCGGUGACGCAAGGACGGUGAGCUUCGAUGAAGGUGAAGACGUAGUGAUGGAUAACCCACAUGCAUCUCUGAGACUGACGAAGGAAGUGAAUCAAUCAUUUUUAUAUCUCUCUAGUAUUUGAAUCACCAAGAAUUCUUUUCAAAAGUAUAAGUUUUUUAUGGUACCUUCAUUUCGUAGAAAACUCAAUGAUAAAAAGCAUUUUCGAAUAAUAUGAUUAAUUUUCCAUUAUUUGGUAAUAUAUAAUCAAAUCAAAAACGUUUUUUGAUAUUUGGAUCUCAUUAGAAAGUGAUUUUGAUAGUAUGACUUUAUCUUAGGCCAAAAAAAAAUCGAAUUUUUUUAAUUUUUUUUCUUUUUUAAAAGUUCGAAUUUUUAGUUUUUCAUUUUAUUUUUUUAAAAUUCGAAUUUGUAAUUGGUUCUUCAAUGAGUUGUAAAAAGAAAGGGAGAUUAAUUAGAAAAACGUUUUUUUUUACUAUACCAUUUUCACUAUUAUUAUUAUUAUUAUUAUUAUUAUUAUUAUUAUUAUUAUUAUUAUUAUUAUUUUCUUCUUCCUUUUUCAAAUGCAGAUUUGGUUUAUUGACAAAAUUAUUUGCCAACGAUGUUCAGUUUCUUAUUUUUUUUACCCACGGUUCUCAACAUUUUCACGAUUAAACCCAAUUUGGAGCACGUCCAUUGAUUUUCCUCUUAUAUUUAAUAAUCGUGUUAUGAAAAGAGUAAAAUUAUCAGCAUUUGACAAAGCUUUUGCUAACAAAAAAAAAGACAAAGCUUUUGCUAAGCAAGUUCAUGACAUCAUCACAACAUUCUACUUCAACUUCAACAUACUCAGAAUGCUGCCUUAGUUCUUCCGAAUCAAAGUAGGUCCAUUGCUUCAUGUUUAAAUUUGUGUACCUCAGUUAAGACUAUGCGGAGUGGAAUUCUUGACCGAACACUUGUCUGUUGAAGUCCUCAUAGCCAUUGGAGCUUAACCAAGGCCUUUUCUAUCUUCCUUAAAUAGCCGUGAUACCAAUUGAUUUAAUUGCAAUAUCUAAUAGUUUUCGCGCUAUAUUGCAUAAUUGGUAUAACAGCUGUCAACAGCCAGGAGACUAACAAAUAAGUAUUUGGUCAAGAACUUUGAUCCACAACUCUUUUGCCUGACAGCACAGGAGCUUCUUGGAUUAUAGCCGCACAAGUGGUGCACCUUAUUGAACACAUUGGAGGUUUUGUUUCGACAUCCAAACUGAGUUGUUUCCAUUGAUAUAUACCGUGAGUUUGGAUGUAAUUUAAGACUUGGAAAAUACUCAAACAUGCAAGUGAUCAUAACUCUAUAAUUCCCUUAUUUACUAAUAGAUUAUUUACAGUUGACUAUCCCCAUAGAGUAAAUACCGACAUUCAGAUUGUCCCAUGCAGAUCUCUUCAUUUAUUUACUAUUCCCCAUUUAUUUCUCCAGUAAUUACGCAUCGAAUUAAUUAUGAGGUUCGAUAAUUUUUGCAUUAUAUUGAAAAACUGACAUCGCCUAACCAAUUCCGAGGCCCGAAAUCAUUCAGCAAUAGAGACGAGUCCUUAGCACAACAAAAACUAUUCAGGAGGUGGCUCAUUGUAAGAGUCGCCCAGGUAUUCAAAUCUUAUAGUAAUAUCGUCCUUCAUCCUCCAUCAAGAUACAGGUUUGGCUCACCGUUGUGCCUAUCCGUCUGUAAAUAGGAGAGUUUUCCGAGGGACGGUCCCGUCCUUCGUCUGGUGAGGGUACACACAGGUUAAUGAUGUACAUUCCCAUAUGGACAUAUGGUCUCCUAGGCUGGAUCUCAUUACAUGUUUUCACUACAAUCAGGCAAACUUCUCUAUCAAGAUGGUCUGUAACUAAAUAAGAUAUGAAGAGGAAGUUGCAUUUUCUUUCUCAUUCUUCACUGCAUGCAUGCUAUCGCGAGGCAUGAGAAAAUUAAAGGUUUAGAGUGGUAAAAAAGAAGGAACAAUAAUCUGCAGCCAAGAAAGGAAUAGUAGAUUUUCAUGACUACUCUCUGCUAGAACUUCAGAAUAUGUAUAAUGAGCUUCCUGUCAAGAGAUCUGUUUUUCUUCAUUCUAAGAACUAUUUUACUAAAAAGUUCCACAUGUAUUUACAAGAACGUGGACUACCUGUAGAAUAUAACAUACAAUUUUCAUUCAAACUGUAUUUGCGACAAUGAAGUGAGGAUUCAUUUCUUCUUGCCUCUUCCUUUCUUAUUUUGCUCACCUUUGGACUUGCAAUUGCCCCUGUUCUUGUUCUGGUUUUCCACACCGCCAGUCUGGGAAAAAGAAGAUGAUGAAGCCUGCUGAUCCUUCUUCACUUCACCGGUUUUUUCAGCUUCCCCAACUUCGCCCUUCUCUUCCUCAUUUGCUAAGCCCACUUCUUGUCUCGGCAAUGACGACGCAUUUGCACCAUCCAAAUGCACAACUGGUACUGCACUGUCGGAAGAUGAAGAGGAAUCCUUGGAAAAUUCAGUCAGAUCUUGCAACUUGCAAGAGCUCUCAGCACUUCCAUCUUUGGGGAAUAGGACUUUCAUAAUCUCUUCUUUGCAUUUGUGCGACUUCACAUCUAAAAUGAUGGCAUGUGGACAUUUUGACCGAUCUGAAGCAGAAUUGGUAAUUACAAGGGGAUCAUCAACUUUUUCGAAUGCUUCAGCAAGAACACCCACUGAAAUUUCCUGUAAGUAUGGCCUCCGGCAACGUGAAAGAAUAUGACGAAAUUCGGGAGGUAUUUGCUCAGAAAUCCAACUCUUACCGAGCAAAUUGAAGAGAAAAUAUGGACUGGUGCCAAAAUUCAGGUGAAGCAAACAAAGCAAAAGAACCAACUUCAAGACCAACAACGGGUAAUACUCCCUCACAUUUAGGUUCGAAUUUUUGAUCCAUUGUCUGGUAUCAUCCUUACUGUCAAGAAGGUCCGCAACAGUCCUUGUAACAAACUGGAUGGGCUCCAAGCAAUUUCCCAGGUUGAAACUGAAGCUAGGCUUUGCUAAACCUUCAUGGCAGAUGAGCCAUUCAACUAGAGAAGAUUUCGUUGUAUAAAACUGCCCUUUGGAGCAAGCUAGCAAAAUCACAAGUCGUUCCAAGAGAUACAAAAAGCAAAUUGGUGUGAUGUAGUCUCUUUCAGUCCUCCAAUUGGCAUUGUAACCAUCUGCCAAAGCUCGAUAAAGGUUCCAAGCCAAAGAUAUUUCCACGGGUCCAUUGCUCGCCUGAGGAAGGUCUGAUGGUACAUCCCGACAAAUGCAUUCCAUGAAUGCCUCCCAUGACGUGUCUCCUUUAAAUGAUUUUGCUAUUUUUCCGUAAAAAUCAUCUUCGAGCAUUCCAGACCCAAGAACCAAAGUCGCAAGCUCACCCAUCUUCCCAUGUGAAAAAUGCUUCUUCGAAAUUAUCAUGUUCAUUGUUUCUCUCAGUAAAUUACGAGAAGCCUCACUUCCUCUCAGAGAUACCAUAUUCUCUGAUGACGAUAUUCUCCAGUCAAGUGGAAAUAUGUGACCAAAAUACCUCCCACUGGAUGUUUCAAUGAAACCGUCCAGUGCCUUACCAUACUGGAACGAGCGAUUCCGACAAUUAAGUUCUCUAAGGAACUUGGCAACCUCAUGUAAGAUAGCAAGACAUCUGCUUUGCCAGAAGUUCGACCGAGAACUCUUCGCCAAAAAUUGAUAAAGAGCAUCCAAUUUGUGCAGGAGCUCCAUACCAACAGAAGUAAGCUCACAAUACCAAUACUUUUGAGCUGCAAAGACCAAUUGUCUAAGAUCCAAAGCAACGAAUUGUCCCUUUUUUUUAAGAGAUCUUUUAUCUAUGUUUCUGACCCAAUCAGCAUCUGGGUUUACAAGGUGAUAAGUUCUUUGCAUGUUGUUCCAUUGCUCCAGAACACCAAAGUAAUUCAGACAGAACUCCCAACAUGACGUAUUUUCCCUUCCCACCUGCAUCUUCACACAUCCUACACUCUCUAUAAUUCUAACAAUUUUCUCUCUCCAAAGAUUCCAAAAGCAGACCAAUGAGUCAACGGAAAUCUGAUUCCCCAAGGUCAGUUGUUCAGAAUAGUUUGCUGGGUCGACAAGCCAAUCACAUUCCCAACAAAAAUUUGAGAUAUUUUGCCAAAGAUGGAAGUCCAGAAUAUUUCGAGUGCACAGUAUUUCACCUCUGACACUUCCAUUUCUACUGGAAGCACUCAAAUGUUCUUUCAUUUGAGCCAAACUGUUCUCUUUAUUUAACAAAAUGCUUGAUUCUACAGAAACAUAUUCAUAGAAGGCAAUAGGCUCAGGCUCUGCGAGAAGUUUGGCUUUUGCUACCAGCUCCUCCUUCUGAGCAAACUGCUUCAAGGGCCACCCUUUGCCUCCAGGAGCCCAAAGGGAAUAGAAUAAUAUGUACCACAGGAUAUUCAUCGACGCUUCCCUGUUUUUUCCGCUCUUCCCAAGUAGAUCAACCUCACGAAGGAUGUCACCUUUCAUCCUCACAAUCUUUGCCGCCUCCAAAAAGUUACCAAAUUCUUCCUCCAGACUUAUAAGUUCAUCGAGGCAUCCAAGCCUCUUGAGCAAGUUUCUCAUUGAAUCGAUGCAAUGAAAAGCCUUCACAUACUUCAUCAUGGCCCUGUAGUCUCUGAGGUUGUAGAAAUGAAGGGCACAACUCUCUAAAAAGUCCUGUUCCACUUUCUCUAUUUCUUUACUUUUCUUCUCAGUUCCCUGCCUUUUCCAAUCCUCAAUGUAUCGCAGACCCAUUUUAAAGAGUUUUUCUUCAGCACAAAUGGACAAGCACUUUGAGAAAAUAUUUGCCCUUGCAUAUGCCUCCGCUGCAAGACUGUAGCACCGAGCAAGAGAGAAACACUCUCCAGCUUUCUCCAAAGCAGAUUCUCCACAUUUAUCCAUAUAUAUUCUACCUGUUGAAGCAUAAAUAAAUUUGAUGUCAGUCUCAUUUAUAGAGUGCUGAUGUUCAGAAGAUAAAACAUAGCAAAGGGACAUUUGGAAGCUGCCAGAAAUGCUCUUGUACAGCUCAGCUCUUGUACGGCUCAACUAUAUUCUCCAAUGUCAAGAGAUGAAACAGGAUCAACGUCCGUAGGUGGCUACAAUACCAAGAAGUUUUUGACAAACCAUAGUCAACAUGGAGUAUUGCAACUGACAGCCACAGCUUUUUUUUAAACUUAUAGGUCUGGUCAGUGUUAAGAACUUAGCAGCUCAAAUUUUUCCAAACUGCUGAGAGAGCAGAGACAGGUUAUCAUAUAGAAAAUAAUCAACUUCCAAGCCAGGACAUUAAUCAUGAAGUCAACAUUAGUAGCACUUGCUCAAAAUUCACCAAAAGCAUUUCAAAUUAACAAGUGAGAUCGAACUACUUUUUUUUUUAAUAUUGAAAGAGGAAAAUCAAUUAAACUGGUAAACAAGAGCGUACCACACAUGCAAAAUACUACAUGCAGAAGAAUGCGAAGUCAAAUUUCCUCUCUCUCUUAGGCAGCUUUGACAUAGCUACAACAAGAAGAAAAGUGAAGAUGCGGCAUAUCUCCACCUUAUCAUUUUGAAAGAAAUGAAAAGAAAAAUGAUACCUGCUAUCUCAUAUUCCUUCAACAUGUAGAAACACUCCGCUGCAGAGUCGGCCAUUCCAAUUGUUUCAUAGAUCUCAGCAGCCUGCCUUCGAAGGUCAGAAGCCUCUUGUGGAUUUGAAACGUGCUUGAGAUCUGCAUCUGCUUUGAAAGCGGAGGCCUUAGCCAAUCUCUCCCCGUAUGUGUACCUUGCUCGUUCAAAGCACGUUAUUGCCAUUGGGUAUUUACCGUCACGUAAGAGCUUGCAAAGUUUAUUAAAAAGAAAAAAAAAAAGAGAGAGAGAGAUCAUUAGCUUCCUCAGAGAAGGUGAAAAGAAGAAAAAAAGAAAACAUAGUCCUCCCUUAUAGGAAAAAUCAGAGGUGUAGACUUACACCAAAACAAUGCACUGUCAUUGACCUGACAACCUCAAAUGAGGAAAAAGAUCAUAGAAAUAUUCCUAUCAUGUUGUUUAUCCAUUGUAUGUCUAAAUGAAGUAUUAGCCAAACUAUUAAAAAACGAAUAAAGCUGGCAAAUCGAUUGCCAUAUCUGUACCAUAGAACGUCCACAUUCUACACACUUUUUUUUCUUUUCAGGAUCAGUCAUACUUUUGCAGUCACUAUGGUCAUUCCAAAAUCCCUAGCAUUCACAGAUCAUGUUGACUCCAAAUGAGGUGAAAACAACAAUUCUGUGAAGAGGAAACCGCCAAUAAAGGCAAAACAGAAAAACAGCGAACCUUAAAACCUUGUGACUUCCACUCCUCUGGCGUGCUCCUGACCUGCAUUGCUUCUGCAAGGGUAUGAUCUACCAACCUGACUUGAAUGAGGCACUUCUUCUUCCAGUAGUCGAACAUUGGCUUCGAGAACUCCAAGGCAUUCUCACAAAUCCACAAUCUUUGCCUUGUCCGAGUAAUUGAGACAUACAAUUGUUUCAAUUCAGAGCAUAAUAUAUUGUGUUUCGCGUCAUCGAAACUUGGGGAAGACCAUUGAGAGCUGUGAUCAAGCAAAGCUUGCUCCUUCAUGUAUCCAUAAAUGACCCUCCACUGACUUUUUAGAGGUGAUGUGCCAAAGAAGUUGUACAAUAAGACAUCCUACACAACAUCACGGCAAAAAAGUUUCAGGUCAGAACAUCUGAUUUAUGACCAAAAUGACAGAUUUCAAGUUUCAUGAAUACAUGAACAAUUUUAAAAAAUUUAGCAAAAAAAAUCUGGACUCAUUUCAACACACCAGCCUAUCAAGAACAGCCGUAAAGUCGCAAGAUCAUUGAUAUUGUCUAUUAACCUAGAGGAUGAUGUUUUUUUUUUUUUUUUUUAGUCAGUCCUACUCUAUUCCUACUCUACACUCACUCUCAGACUUUUGCCCUGCCUCUUGCAGGGCGUGGGAGUCGAAACCCACUUCUGAAACUUACGCGUCCCCACCCCAUCCCUCCCUGAGAAGGUGGGGAUUUGAACCCCUCACCUCCCCCUUCCAUGUUGGAAGAAUGGCCACUGGGGCGAAUCCCAGUGGUUUAGAGGAUGAUGUUGACAUGAGACAAAUUCUACGUUAUGAGUAUCUAGAUGCCAUUGUCUACAUAACAAAAAAGGGUAUAGUAGAAUGAAAAUGCCAAUCCAAGCUUCUUACAGAGUAACAGCUUGCAGCAAAUUGGUCAUGACCCAUUAAAAAAAAAAAGGAUCUUGAAAUCUCUAUGCUGCUCCUAUUAAUAUCCCAUAGCAAACAAUCCAACCUGACCCACACCUACCUGAAAUUCCAACCCCUUGCACUCCACUAUCGUCAGAACUAGCGCUUGCCCUCCCACGAGGUUUGAAAUUUCAUUUCUAGAGUGAUCAUCUCGAACCAAAAUAACCUGCUCUGCUCCAAAGCCAACAAAAUUACCACUAAAAUCACGGUUGCCAAAAAUUGAUAGUAUGGCACUUUCGUCAUUCUCUGAUUCAAGUAAAAUUGGGGCUUCCCCACAUAUAAAGCUAGUCUCAGGGCUUAAAGCAUCAACGGAUAAGGGGAAAAAAUGGUAAAGAAGAUCAACAACACUCUGCGCCAGUUUGAGUAUACCAGCAUGAGUGCGGAAGUUUUGGCUCAAAUGGAAAUUUUUUGAUAGACAUCCCUUUUCCAUUCUGAUAUCAGGUCCAUCCAUUGAAUCCAUCAAGAACUCCUUGUAGAAAAGGGACCUUAUGUCUUCAAACCUGAAGUCUAUUCCCCUUGCAAUAGUUUGUGCAGUGUCACCAGAAAACACAAAGCCCCCAUCAACAUUUCUACAGAUAUACUUGAACAGUGAAAUUUGCCUCAUGGUGAGAUCCUGCACUUCAUCAAUAUAUACAAAAUCCACCACGUUACCAGCAAACUGCCCAUGAAAAAGACGGCAAUGAAGAUCACUGACAAGAUCAGCCAAAUCAAAUUCACCAUUUUUCAUUUUCAUCUUUUCAUAAUCCUCAAAAGCAUCAUAAAUUUCUUCUCUUCUCUGAAUACUCAGAGUGGAGACACGACCCUCUGAAAGAGAAACAUAAGCUGGUCUGUCAAGUUUGCCUUCACAACCAUCUGCUGGUGGAAGACCUCCCUUUAUGUGGGACAUUAUUUCAGUGAAGACUCUAGAAGGAUCAAGCCUCCUCCUUAUCUUGUCAUUGAAGUGAGGCCAAUAAACAGCACGAAACUUUUCGUAAGUAACCUCCUUUGCUCUUAGAAGACUUUGUAAGGCCACUGGUCUAGAACUGAAGGAUUGGCCACGACAAAAAUCCCUUAGAUCGGGGAACCUUUCAAAGAAUGAAACCCCCACAGUUCCGUCUAGCAUUAUCAGAAGCUUUCGAAAAGUUAUAACAAGGGGAUACGAGUUGGGAGAUAUAUCUAAAAAUGAAUCCGGGAUAUCCUUGAAUAAUGCUGCAUCAUCAACAAUCUCAUCAACUGAAGAGCUUUUUACUCUAUGUUUAGCACCAAUGCUGGAGCUGCAGGAUUAAUGAAGCCAGCAAUUAGAAACGGAAAAAUAUAUUUUUAACAAACUUACAGGAAAUUAGAACACGCUGUUGCACCAAGAUUAUAAUGAUAUACUAUGAGACAUGGAUAGCAUUUACAUCAGCUGGCAAUGAAAAUCUUCCCCCGCGGCAAGAUUCGUAGAAUAGAUGGUCCUUUCUCGAUUCUAAUUAUAAUUGCACACGUUCAUUUAAAGUACGCUUUUCUUUUUAUACGUACAAUGCUACAAUCACAAAAUUUAAUACGAAAGUUUCCAAUAAAAUGGGAUUGCAAACUAAAUAGUUGGCACAAAGACCAGAAUAAGGAAUAUUGCCGCACAAACUAAUGUUUAGUUUCAGCGAGCAGAUGAUGUCGAUCUCUAACGUGCAAUGAUUAAAUCUAUUUUCUAGCACCCAAGCAUGGCAAAGUACUGAUUUGACCCAUGCACUCAUGCCACAUGUUAUAUUUCCUACCGAACUCUAUAAAAUGAAGUAUCUUGGUUGUGCGUCUCCGCUAGGCGGAAAAUAGUUGCAUGCCAAAGGGGUUAUCUUCUUCUCCGGACUAAUUCAUAAAAAAAAAAACUUGACAAUCCAUUAACCCUUGCAUAUGUUUGUUCAUUGUAAAAAUUGCAGAAUAUUUAUUCUAUUGUUCCAACAUCUUCCCAUGACAUUUUAUGUACCUUCUAAGUUGAGAUACAUGUUGUUUGACCGCAAAACAUAAUUUCGCACUGACAGUCACAAAAAGCUGGCGCAAUACACAAUCCUCUGCUCCUUCACUGGUUUCCUCAACAUUGAUUUCCAGGGAGGCAUCUUUGCUGUGGCUGACACCACUUUGGAUUUCCUGAAAUCCCUUGGUUGCUUCAUCAUGCAGUUUCUCGUUUCUAAACAACUUCAUUGUCAGGACCGUAGUUUUCCCGGUUCCAGAUCGCCCAAGUAUAAAAGUGCUUCUGGGAAAAAGAAUUAUCUCCUGUUCUUGCUCUGUUACUUCAAACGGAAGACUUGCUUCAUUACCAUCACUGUCAUCGAGCAAAUAUCUGACAAUAUCUGAUGAUAAGGGGUAGAAUUUCAUCAGAAGCAAACUCUCGCUCACUUUCAUGUUCUCUGCAUACAACCUACGAUCUGAAGCAUCAGCAUCAGAACCACUCCCAAAUCGAUCUUCACUAGGACUUCGAUAGCGGACAAAAUCGAAAGUACACGCCCAGGUCUUUGGAACUUGCAGAUCCCUAUAAUAGGAAGAGGCGUGUGAAAUGAAAAAAAAUAGGGGGAUAAGAUCAAUUCAAGAUAUUUGAGUCAUCUAUCUGGAAAAGAAUGCUUUCUAAUUUAGUAAGUGAUGUGCUACCUAUCUUCAGUAAGAAGAAAUGAUCAGACUUACCCCUCAAAGCAUUUCUCAUUGCAACGACUAAUAAAAUCAUCACUAUAUGUCUCGAAAAUGCUGUCCAAACGUUUGACCAAUUUUGCCACAUCCUCUAAAGGCAUUACAUCCCAUAUCUUCAGGAUUUGGAUGUAUCUCAGUUCCUUUACAACAUCAAUCGUGCAUAAGACAUAGAGACCUUCAGCCUUAAAUUGUCUCACGAUAUGAGAUGAGUGUUCACAAAUUAUAUCCACAUUCCUCUUCUUUGGUCUCCAGGCACUGGAUAGUCUUGACAGAAGCAUAAUGAUUGACAUCUUUAUCCUGAGUGAUGCCAGCUUUCUGAAAGACUUCAGGAAGUUGUCACUGAAAAUAACCUGAUAAGACCAAAGCAUGACAAUAAGAUAUGUUGUCACAAGUUCUAUAAAACUCGAUGCUUAUUUUGAAAAAUAAAUGUAGCCAUAGAAUACUGUUGAGCAAAGUUUUUUACCUUCCACCUUGCAUUUCUGAAAAGUACACUGCUUCUGUCAAGUAGAUCAUCAAGCUGGUCAUUCUCUUUCUUCACAUCUAAGAUGGCUUUAGCCAAAUCCUUGUCAUCAUCAACAUUGAAGAAACAUCCACGACUCUUCGCAUUGUGAACCACAGCUUUCCACACAGAACCGCUUUUCGUCAAUGUUUUCUCAUUUCCCAGAAUCCACAGACAAUACCUAUAGAUAGGAAAUUAACUCGGGGAUUUACUUGCUAUAUCACUCUAAAAAUGUUAUUUGACACAGUUAAGAGGAUAGAGUACCUGGCCCUGGUAAGAGCAACAUUGGUUCUCUUAGUACUGGACAAGCACCCAAUAUUCCCAUGCCAGUUUGAUCUUACGGUUGAUAUUAUAACAAUGUCUUCUUCACCCCCUUGGAAUCCAUCCACUGACUUCACCUUGACCGUAAAGCCCUUGAUAUUUUCAUACUUUUUUCCAAGGUUAGCUAGAACUGCAGCAACCUGAGCUGUGUAAGGAGAUACGACACCUACUGUCAGAUCUUCUUCUGACCCAUUCCAAGCUGCAAAGAGAAUAAAACCAUCACUACAGUGACAUUAUUUUUGGCGGGGUGCAAAACUUUGAAAGAAAUAUCUUAGGAAAAGAAAUAUUAAUGGCCGUCAUAAUCUACACCUAUAUGAUUAAGUAAUACAUGUAAAAUCCACGUGCUCAAAGCAAUACGUAUAAAAUUCUCUUGACAUACCUCUGUACAGAUUCCUGACUAUCCUCGAGAUAACUUCCACCUCAACAGGGUUUCUAAGGCUACAGCCAUCAUCACCGAUUUGUUCUUCUCCAUCAGGAAUAUUUAUGAACGAGUAAGGGCCAAACGUUGGCCAUGGCAAAUGACUUUUUCUGUAACUUUUGCUCUUCACAUUUGGCCCAUCCAAAAUUUGGUUUUGAUAAAAUUUUGAAGUCGGAAACAGACUUAUUGAUGGAUGCAUCCGGUAUUGUAUAUUGAAAAGUUGCCUUGAAUAACCCAGUGAAGUCAAUCGUUCAAACAGACUCCUUCCAAAACCAACCUGAUUAGAAACCUUUAAAAAAAAAAAAAAAAAAACAUGAUAUCAAAUUCAACAGGCGUUAGGUAUAGAAAAUUUAGCCCAUCUAAGCUGAAAUGAAGAGAAGGAGAUUACAAAUCUUACAAAACCAAAUACAAAGUUCCUUUUCAGACAUUUUAACAUUACCUUGCUUUCGACCAUAGCAGGCAACUGACACUCAUCUCCAACCAAAAUCAGAUGCUUGACACCAGGGAUUUGCAGAGGAAUUACUGACUCACAUUCCUUCAACUGGGCUGCCUCAUCGAUUACCAGUAAAUUGAGAGGCUCCAUCUUCACAGAGUGCAGCUUAUGUGAACAAGAAGCAGUGCAAAAAAUCAGGGAUGCACGUCGAUAACAGAAGUUGGCUAUCAUGCCCUUACUCACAAAGUUUGGAAGUUUUAGAUCCUUCAGAGAAUCACGAACAGUUAGCAACAUGGAAAGGCAUUCCUGUCUCUUCAUAUAUAUAUCAUAUAGUGGACCCCUGGAUGUCUCAAACGAAAACAGGCCAAGUUCAUCACGUGAAAGAGUUAUCUCCAUCAUCUCUGAAUCCAACUUCUCUCCACAUAAUAAAGAUUCAAAAGAAUUUAGUAAGUUAAGGAGGGAUGUAAUAUUCUGGAAUUUAGUUCUGGAUGUAUGAGUACAGAAAGUAUAGAGGCAUGCUCGCAGGGGCUGGACAGUUUCCUUGAAUUGGUCCCUGAAAAACUCAAGAAAUGAUUUGAGCUCACAGUUACCAUCUUCUUCACUGCUUCCACAUUCGCUCCCAUCAUCACCACUUCCUAGUUUCCUUCUUUUUGCGUGUUCGUUUUCCAAAAAUACGCGGUAUUGACGGACACAGUCAGCAAGAGUAUCUAUCAAGGAAGUUAGACACUGAUGCCAACCAGUAAAUUCAGAAAUGCACUCUACACGAUGUUCCAAGUAUAUAUCUUCAAUGUCGGAAUCAACUUUCAGCCGUUCCUUGUUCCCAAAAAUAAGCAUGUCUCCAAAGUAACAGGGCAAACUUUCCGUUUCAGUGCUUAUACCACUAUCUGAUUCCUUUAGCAGCUUCAGAACACGAGUUGCCACUUCCUUGAUGGCAACAUUUGUAGGAGCACAAACAAUGGUUCUAUGUUUCCUUUUCAAGAGAGUAAGUAGCAGUGUAGCGACAGUUUUAGUUUUCCCAGUUCCAGGAGGACCCCAUAUCAGGUCGACAGAUGGCUUGUUCUCACAAUGGAGUUUACUGAGACAGGCCCCAACUGCUUUCUUUUGGGAUUCAUUCAGAUCAUGGCUCAAUCUCUCGUCAAGGCUCUCAGUCGCAGAACCAUUACCUUUUGUAACACAAAGAUUAGAAACUUUAUCAGCCUGCAACCAAAACAUAUUUCUUGUGAUAAUCCAGACCAUGUAAAUAUGGCAGAAGGUUCUGAAACUUAAUUGGUGUUAAUAUGAUAUAAAGAGCAUUGCAUAGCACAAACUUAAAUCCCGUGAAAAAUAUAGUACAGAAAAUUUUAAGGUCUAGUACCAAUGAGUAAGUUGCCUCCAAGGAAGUAAUUUGCCCUAUUCAAGACAUAAUUCAUUCAUCUUCAUAUCAUGAAACGGACCAAAGGUACAAAUCGACAGGAAUAAACUGAAGCUUUGAAGCUUAGAGGAAUAUAAUAGCCAUUUUAAGUCUAAAUGGACCAAAGGUACAAAAAAGGAAAGUCAUACCACCAAAUCUGUGCAGAGAACUUCCUUCAAAAUAUCCAAGUUCAGAGACAUAUGCAACGCAUUCCAUAUCCUUCUGUUAGUGACUAUAUUUAUCAGGAAAAUUGCAUACAUUGGCUUCCACGAAUUAUUUACUUCAAGGUUCAAUAAUGUCUCCACUUCAAAGUUUGUCGAUGACGUUGCCUCAUCCUCUUCAUCGUCUUCUCCAAUCAUCCUAACUAAUGCGAACGCCCAUCUUCUUCCGAACCUCUCCAAGUCAGGAACAGUUGCUGGCUUAGCAUCAGUUAGAAUCAAGAUGUCUCCAGGCAAAGUUUUGUAAGUUUCCUUGCCACGAGUGUUGGAUUCAUUGUUCCACCGACCGGCCUUAACAGCAUAUGAGUUCCCACUUCCCCUGCAUUCCACACAUUCAAUAACCUCAGUGAAAGGCAGCAAAGAAAUAUUUUUCAAACUCGAGCACAGACUCGCCCGGGUUUCUUCCAGUAAAGGGUAGACAUACGAUCCGAGAUAAUCCUGGACCGACUGAAAUUGAUCCGGUAUAGUCUCCACCUACAAAAACAGCUCAGCCAAUUGUCAAAUAUGACCAACCAACCUUGACAUUUCAAAAGAAUACUUGGACCAAAUUCCAUAAAACAUAACAUAUACUCCUAAAAUGCCUAACGAGCUUGCCGAACAAAGUAGAAUCAUAAAGGGUUCUAUUCUACUCAGUUGAAUGCAAGGUUCUUAUAAGGCAGGCUUACUAAAAGCACAAACACCAAAAAAAAAAAAAAAAAAAAAAAAGGAACGAACAGACAUCAUUGGAAAAUUCUCAGGUAAACACAACGUUGUCGUUGAACUUAAACGAAAAUAAACCAAAAGGGCAUGAUAAAAAGAAAGGAAGAAAAAGAAAAAGAAAAAGCAAAGAUCGGGGAAGAGUAGAAAGAAACCUUGUCAUGGUAGAGGUUUUCGUUGAGAAUGUCGUGAAAAGACCAAGAGAAGACAAAAUCAGUCAGGUCAUUAGUACCGUGUCUCCUCCUCCUGCUCAAACCACCCUCAGCUAUCUCCACACCCACCGCUCUGUUUGUGCAUCCUCCUAAAUCCAUCUGAACCCACGCACUAAAAUCUUCUACUUGUUUCUUUCUCCCCUUUUCUUGCCCAUCAAAGCACCAGGGAAAAAUCGCUCUGAGGUUUCAAGGAACUUUCGAGGCGAAUAUUGCGCACAGCUUGUACGGACAUCAUCAGCGCUUUUUGAGCUCCGAAGUGAGCAUUCUUAGCGACGAAGAAGAAUGACACGGGGAAGGCAAAGGCUACCAAAGGCGAAAAGAUGGGGGUACCUUGUCUUCCGAACACGGUCUGAUGGCUUUCUUUACUGCCCAAAUGCUUGUAAUGAUUCCCGCUUUUCUUUGCUUAUCCAUGUUUCGAUUUCUUGCAGCCUAAGAUUCGUCAACUGUUUUCUGUCCGAAAUGUAUCAUCGCAUGAGUGAGGUUAUUUUUUGAAGAUAUUAAAAUUAUUUGCUGAUACUGAAAUAAUAAGUAGAUGAAAAAAAAAAAGGAUAAAUCUUAACCAGAAAAAUAAUGACAAGAAUAGUCCCUGCACUUUAAUAUAAUGUGCAAUUUGAUCUUCGAAAUUUUGAUUUGUUCAAUAUAGCUCUUGAACUUUAACCCAAUAUACAAUGCGAUCUCUGAACUUUUCAAUUGUUUAAAUGUAAUCUCUGAACUUCUGAUAAAUAUUCAAUACAGUCUCUAAACUAUAUGAUAAUAUUGAAUGUAGUUUUUUAAUUGAUUCAAGAGUAGGGAUGACAUUGAACAUUUUGAUACAAAUUCAGGGACUGUAUUUAAUAUGUAUAAAAAAUUUAUGGACUAUAUUAAAAAAAUUAAAAGUUCAUGGACCACAUUAUACAUUAGGCUAAAAUUUAUAGACCACAUCAAACAAAUUGAAAGUUUAUGGACUAAAUUACACAUUAGGCCAAAGUUUGGAGACUAUUUGUGUCAUUUUCUCUAACUAGAAGUAGACAAUGAAUGUGAACAUUCUACUUCAAUCGCUUGACUUUUUUUUUUUGAGCAUCUAUAUUGAUAUAAUAUAUAAUUAAUAUCAUGAAAAUUUUUUAAUCAUCAAAAACUCUAAACCGGUACACAUGUCCCAAAUUAAUUUUUUAACUAUAAAAAAACCUCAAACUGGUAUAUUUAUAAUAAAUUUACCUUCCGUUAAUUUUCAUUAAAUUGGAAUAAUGCCACGAAAAAUAAUAAAUUGAUACAUAUGUGAUAAAUGAAAUGUAAAAUCUUAAAUUGGUAGAUCCAUUCUAACUACCUUGUAUCAUCUAAAUCAGCAAUUUAAUUGUAAAAUUUAAAAAGUACUAAUGAAAAGUAAAUUUAUCACAAGUGUAUCGGUUUUUUUUAUGAUAAAAAAUUAGUGAAGUAAAUUUAUUACAUAUGUAUCGAUUUUGAAUUUUCUGUGGUAUUAACCCUAUAUCAUUAAAAACUCUUUCAGAGAAUUGCCGGAAAACUCAAUAUUCAAAAUUGUAGAUAGUUAGAGACGCAUCCUCCUCAUUAGUUUUGCCAAAUUCUCGAUGAAGCAAGGCUACAGUCAGAUGCCUUUUCCGUCGAGUAUUGUCAAUCAAAGAAGAAUCAAAUUGGUAAUUACUAUCAUCUCUCAGUUACUUAUCUCCAUAACGAGUUAUAAUAUUUUAUGGACUUCCGAAACUUUAUUGAGAGUGUGUUUUAGGAAAGUAAAUGCAAUCACUAUGUUAUGAGUGUGGUUCUUUCGCUCUACUUGAAGUUCUACUUCCAUUAAUUAUAAAAUCACAAAUUAUUUUUUAUGUCUUGAUUGAUUCCGUACGACAAUAUGCAUUAAAAAGUUUGCACUGACGUUGUUUCAAGCUCAGCUUGCACAAGUAUAUUCGAUAAGUGCAUUUAAAGCAUCUAGCCUUGGUUAAUACAUUCUUAUAUAAAAUGUUGAAAUAUAACAUUUCAAAAUAUUAAGAUGCACGAGUCAUUAUCAACAAAUCCAUAUUAAAAAAAAAAUGUGAUAGGAACAUCACUUUAAUAAAAGGCCAAUAGAGUAAAAGCUUUUAAAAGGCUAGUCGCUAGUCUCACAAAAUUCAACCAAUUUCGCGCCGAAAGCUAAAAAGACGUGAUAAGUUCAGGAAUCUAAUCAUGUACAAUGAGUCAAUGACAUGAUGAUGAAUAGAUACUAUGUUUUAAAGCUUCAAUUCAUUUGUAAUAUGUAAGGCCCAUUGUCAUCAUGCUAUGAGAGUUUUUAUGAUGUUGGCUAUAUUAAUUAAUAUUGAAAUUUACCUUUUUAUAAGAUUGUCUAAUGAGGCGAGAUAUAAAGAUUUUUAAUUACUAUAAUAUGAGAUUGGCUUGCGCGGGUUGAAUAGAGCUCGGUUUGUAAUGAGAAGACAUGUGACUGAAAACUCUAUAUAUAAUACUCAAGUAUCUUUUCUAAUCUCGAUAUACAAAUAUCUUAUAUAAAGAGUAGUUGUAGAACGCAAUUUGUGAUGCAUAAUAUCAUUGAGCCAAUAUUACAAUUAGAUCAUUGUUAUUCCACAUUAAGAAUAAUGGAUUUCAAAUCAGAUGCACAAAUCUUUUUGUCUCCAUUUAUUGUGUUCUAAAUUUUAAUUAUGUAGAUCUUCGGAUGGUUUUCACGGCUUGUAUGCACAUGGUGAACCAUUGUGUCACUACGGGGCACACCGGCUUUGCUUCACAAAUACAGGCGCCGCACUAUGAAAUGCUUCGUCCCGAGGCAUCAUGCGACAGAGCCGUCUUGCCUCGAGCCUGGGUGGGUCGUUGUCUUCUCGUCCUCCCUCCGUACAUCGUGCAAUGAUGUUUGUUACUGCAGAAAUGCAUGUAAAAAGAAUGUAAAGCUUUCAUCUUUACCCGUCAAUUCCGCAUUUCAGUGAACUCAUGUCUCCUUUUCUGACUCCGCGAGUCCUAUUCAGGCUAACAACGACAAAAGAAGAGGAUAAGGAAGGGGAAAAGCAAGCAAGCAUCUUGAUUUCUUUCACCCUAGACUGUCCACCGUUUGUCUGCCUGAAAUGUAUCAAAUCUUGAGUAAAUUUACUUUUCAAAAAAUUAAAACUAUUUUUUUUAUAUCGAAAAUGGUAAAUAGAUUGAAAGAUGGAUGAAUUUGAACCUGAAAUUGACGAAGAACAUGAACUUCCCGCUUAUGAUAACAUUAUUUAAUCGUUUCGGUUUUUUUAAAUUUUGAGCAUUUGUGUCGAUGUAUUAUUACAAAAACUUCUCAAAGUUAGAGAUGCCUUCCCAUCGUUGAUUUUUUUAAAUUCUCCGCGGAGUGAGCUGUCAUCAAGGCGUUAUUUGAACAAUUGAAAAUGUUUAUUAUCAAGUAUUUUUAAAUUAAAAGAGAUUCAAUUACGUAACUUCUAGAAUCUCUCAAUUUUUUUUCUCCAUAAUGAAUUAUAACAGUUAUGGACUAUCUAAAUGCUUUUGAGUGAGAUUUUAUUUUUCACUUGGUCUUAAGUUCUAUUUUGAUUCAUUAUAAAAUCACCACUCAUUUUCUACGUUUUCAUUAAUUCAAUAUGACAAUAAGCAUAAAAAAUCUGCACUAACUUUAUUUCAUGUAUUCCUUUCGCAAUAAUCGUCAACAAAUACAUUUAGGGUCUGCAUGGCAAUAUUCCUAUUUCUUUGUUCUUUUCUUCUACGAAAUAGAAAAAGGAAUAGAAAUUCAUUUGAUAAUGUUAGUUAAUUUUUCUAUACUUCGUAAUAGAAAAGUGAUUGGGAAAUAGAUUUAUAAUAGAAACAAGAAGUAGAAAAAAAAUAUCUUAUUGUUUUCGGGAAUAAUUUUUAGAAAUAAGUCAUUUUCUUUCUUUUCUUUUUUUCUCCUUCCUCAUGCUACCGCCACUGUCCGCCAUCGCUUGCCACCUAUCUCCGCCCAACAACCGGCUAGAGGAGGAAGAAGAGGAGAGGGGAAAAAAAAGAGAGAAAAAAUCUCAAAAAAAAUAUUAAAAAAUUAAAAGAAAUUCUACGACAAAAAAAAAAACUUGUGAGUUGUACCAAACACAUUCUUGUUUUUUUCUAUUCUGAAAAUAGAAAUUUUGUACAGUUAUCAAACACGUUAUUUUAUUCAAAAACUAUUCCAGGGAAUAUGAAUAGGAAAGAAUUAUUUUUGAAAAAAAAAAUUGUUCCUGGUAAUAAAAAUAUUACCAACUGCACCCUUCAACUUUGGUAAAUACGUUCCUUAAUAAAGUCAAUAUUUUCAGACAUUAUUAAAGUUAUCUAACACACAAUGCGCUAGUCGUCUAGAAAAUCGUAUAGAAAAAAGAGAUGUGAAAGGAAUAUCACUUUAGAAAAAGUCAGGAGUUCUUUAGACAAAUAGUAUAUAGAAAGCCGCGCUGGCAAUCUCUCGUUUCAUUUGCAAAGCCAAGGAAAAUCCCCCAUUAACCUUACAUACUCAAGUAGUGCCCUUAUUGAGACAAAUGAUAAGGCAAAGACAUCUAUGUUUGAUGUAAAAGUCCACGAAAUGUUCUAUCAAAUUCAUGUGGAACAAAUGUCUGAAACAUUGGUAUAGACAUCCAUAUUGAUAUAUUAUUAAAAACUCUUUAAAAGGUUUGCCCGAAAACUCAACACUUAAAAUUUUUAAUAGUUAAAGACGCCUCAUCCUUAUUAUUUUUGCCAAAUCCUCGACAAAGCGAGUUGCUAUCAGACGUCGUUUUCUAUCAAGUAUUGCCAAUCAAAGGAGAAUCGAUUGGGUAAUUCAUAUCGUCUCUUAAUUAUUUCUCUCCAUAUGGACUUCCAAAACUCCAUUGAGAGUGUGUUUCAGAAGAGUAAAUGCAGUCACUAUGUUAUGCUGUGGAGUGUCGCUCUUUCACUUUGCUUUAAGUUCUAUUUCUAUUAAUUACAAAAUCACAAAUCAUUUUCUACGUUUUGAUUGAUUCAAGACGACAAUAUGCAUUAAAAGGUCUGCACUAGCAUUGUUUCAAGCUCUCCUGGCACGAUUAUAUUGAAUAAGUGCAUUUAAAAUAUCCGGCCGUGGUUAAAACAUUCUUAUAUAAAAAUGUUGAAAUAUAAUAUUUUGAAAUAUUAGCAGAAUCCUUAGAUUUUUAUCGUUAUCUAGCAUGAUGCGUGGAUCAUAAAGAUGUCACGAGAUAAUCACUUUAAUAAAGGGUCAAUAGACUAAAAGCCUUUAUAAAGCUGAUAAGUAAAUUCAAUCUAUCUCGCACCGAAUGCUAAAGAGAUGUAAUAGGUUGGGGAAUCUAUUCACAUUUGAUAUGCCAUUCACAUGAUAAUAGAUAGAUACCAUGUUCCGAUGCUUUGAGUCGGUAAUUUGUAGGACUUGUCAUUAUCGUGCAUGGUGAACCACCGCAUAGCUACCGGCGGAGGUAUCAAAGUCGGUUUAAAACCCAUAUUUUGACUCAUAUUUAAUAGUGUGGGUCGUAAAUGGGUUCCCUUAAAUUUUAAAAACAAGCUUAAGUAGGUUAUAAAUGGGUUACCUAACAAUUUAAAGGGUCUUAAAUGUGUAUUAAAUAGGUUACCUAACAAGCUUAAAUGAAUCAUAAACAAGUCAUUUUUAAUUUUUUUAUUUUUAUUUUUUUUUUAUAACCGAGGAAUCCGCUUGAGCCCCCUUAUGGGGUCACAAGGCCCUACAGUGCAUGGAAUGCCUAGUACCAAUGACUAUACCUUGGGGGUGACUAGCACAAGACAUAUCGUGGCCCCACACUUACAACGCAUUAGCAACCGCGGGUUUCGAACUCUCGACCUUGACGAUGAAAGAGAUACUCGCAACCAACACAGCUACCCGCGGUUGGGUUUAUUUUUCUUUUCUUUUAUUUUUCCUUUAAAAAAAAUACUUUCUUAGCCAGUGGCUGUCAUGAAGACAAUUGGCAAUUGGCCACAGAUGAGGGACAAGCUCACUGACCUUCGGCACCGCAAGGCUCAAGCCUUGUCAAUUUGGCAAGACUCGAGCUAGCUAGAGAGGCCAGUGAGCGCCAGAGGCUAGCGAGCUCGAGCUCGCAAUAUGACCUCUAGCGAUGCUUGAGCUCGCCGGCAUUGAGUAAGAGCUUAGCCUUGCUAGAUUUGGAGAGGUGGAGCCUCACCUGAGGUAGGCUCAGCUCGACUAGAUCCAACUUUGGUUGAUUUUAAUUUUGGGCAUCUGUAUUGAUGUACCAUCACAAAAACUUCUCACGGGAUUGCCUGGAAACUUGAGACUUAAAACUAUCGAUAGUUAGAGAUGUCUCAAAAAAGUGAGCCGCCAACUACACAUUAUCAGAACAAUUGAAUAUGUUUAUUAUUGAGUUUUUUUUUUUAUCAAAAGAGAAUCAAUUACAUAAUUUCUACCGUCUCUUAAUUAUUUUCGUCCCUAGUGAGCUAUAAUAAUUAUAGACUAUAUAAAUGCUAUUGAGUGAGAUUUUGUUUUUUGCUUUGUUUUAAGUUUUAUUUUGAUUUAUUAUAAAGUCACCACCAUUUUCUAUGUUUUCAUCAAUUCAAUAUGAAUUAAAAAUCUGCACUUACUUUGUUUCACGUGAUUCGUUACACAGUGAUCUUCGACAUUCCACAUAUCUAACUUUGGUUGGUACGUUCCUUAAUAAUGUCGGAGUAUGAUAUUCUCAAACAUUAUUAAAGUUAUCUAACACGCAAUGCUCGGAUUGUCGUCUAGUAAAUUGUACAAAAAAAAGAAAUGCAACAAGAAUAUCGCUUUAUUAAAAGUCCGAAAUUCUUUAGACGAACGGCUUUUCAAAAAGCCGUGUUGGCAAUCUCACAUUUCAUUCGCAAAGGCGUGGAAAAUCUGUCCCCAUUAAACUCACAUAAUUCUACGGUACCUAUUAUUGAGACAUAUGACGAGGCAAACAUAUUUAUGUUUGGCGUAAAUUCCACAAAAUGUUAGAUCAAGUUCAUGUUGGACAAAUGCCUAAAACAUUGGUACAGACGUAAGAAUUACUGGUCGACCUAGAGUGACCCCCUGAGAAGUAUAGAUAUUUCAAUAUUAUGACUAUAGUCUACAUUAGACUUAGGAAUCUAUAAUAUGUAUUGUCUGAAGGGGCCAUGAAAACCAUGACACCCGAUUUUAAUAAUAAUCAAGUAUGCAUAUAAACGAUGUCCAUAACUUGUAAUUUAUCAAUCGAAGAAAAGGUAGAAAGAGAUUUCUUCCAUCUUGGAGGAAAGUAUAGCCUUAUCCAAUGUUCAGCCUAACAUUUUAUCUUACUAUAGUGGUCUUUCAACAUGUGUAAAGGAGAUGAAAUCAAUCCCACUUACAAAAAUUUGGGAUUCGAAAGUGCCUAACUCUGGCUCGAUUACGAUUUAUGAUCAUGUCAAUAAGGCCUUGUUUGGUAACCAUCCAAACAAGGCCAAAUUCCGAUUCUUUGUUCUCGGGAGUAGUUUGGGAACAGAAUCGCGUUUGGUAAAAUUUUGUUCCCGGGAACAAAUUUCUUUUUUUUUUUGUUCCAAGAAGUAGGUUUGGAAUAGAAUCAAGAAUUAAAAAAAAAAGUUGAUUCUUGUUCCGGGAACAAAUUUAAGAAUCAAAACAACUCUUCUUCUUCCAUAUUCUCUUCUUCUUCUUCUUCUCUUUUCUUCUUCUUCUUCUUCUCUUUUCUUCUUCUUCUUCAUUGACCGCUGUCCGCCGCUGCCGCCUUCCACCACCGUCCGCCAGUCACCGGACCUCGCCCUGGCCGGGCGAUUCUCCGAUGAGCUCGCUGGAGGCAAGCCCAGCCACCGGCGAGGCUGGGCAAGCCUUGCGACGCCCAGCCCCGCCGGUGGUCAAGCGGGCCUCACCUAGCCCCAGCGAGGCCAACCCUCGGCAAGGCUAGGCGAGCCUCACCCAGCCCUGCUGAGGCUCCCCUAGUCCCCACGGUGGCCAAGCAGGCCUCGCCCAGCCCUGACGAGGCCGGCCUCACUGAGGGCCGGUGAGGUCGCCGGCCCUCAUCUGGCCGAUCGCCGAUCCGGCGACCAGCCUGAAGAAGAAGAAGAAUAGGAGAAAAAAGAAAAAAAGAAAAGAAAAAAAAGGAAAAAAGUAUAAAAAUUAUUUAAAAAUUAAAAGAAAUUGAUUUGGAACAUAAUCAAUGAGCACGGUACCAAACACAAUUCUAUACCAGAAUCAGAAAUGUUGGACAGUUACCAAACGGCUUAAAAUGCUUAGAAUCUGUUCCCGGGAACAGAAUAAAAAAAAAAUCAUUUCUGAUCAGAAUUUACUUCCGGGAACAGAAUCGUUACCAAACGCGUUCUAAGUGGCCAGAUUUUUGUUUAUCAUUCGUCAUUUAAUCUGACAUCACAUCAUCUACAGCACAAUUAUGUAUGUGGCGAAAAAAAAAAAUCUAAGUCGUAUCAUAACAAUUUUACAUUACAUAUGAGAAGUCAAAUCAACUUUGAAAAGCCAAUUGGUGUGUAUGGCGCCUGGAAAUGGAGUCCUGAAAUUUCGAUGUCUUGAAGGACAUCAACAAGCUGCCCCUUUGUGUUGCUGGGUGUCCCAUCCCUCAGUAUCUCGAAGUUGAUCCCGUAAUUGGAACUCGAACCGGGUUCUUGGAGGAGAUCGUUUUCGCGCCAUGCAUGUUGACCGUGAUCAUCGAUGGUCGCCGACAUUUGCCCAAAUAAGCUUUGCUUAACAUGCCUCUUAUCCCGCUGGGCCCUGAUGGCCUAACAUGGUACCUAGACCUGAUUUUGGUACUUUAGUUCCCUUCUUUGAGUAGAUUGCUUUCGCAAUUGCCUUCUCCUCCGGGAAUUUGAGAUCUGCAGUGCUUAUGACAUAGGUUUGAGCAGCUUUCCUCCAUUCAGAAGUUACCAGAUCUCUGGCCUUGACGGUCUUUAAGCAUCGAAUAGGGCCUUCCGCCUAUUUCAAUGGCCUUGAAGACAGCCACUUCCACGGCUUGCUCUGCACACCCUGGUUUAGAAGUUUCAGAGGCCGAGUGAAAGUUUUGAGGUUUCAGUUGUCCAUCAGCACUUGGCCCCAGCAAAAGAACCCUAAUUGAGAUAUUGCUCAAUUUAUCUGGUCACACUGCCCACAUACUCUGUUGAUGUUAUAAUCCUAAACGAUGGAUAUGCAUUGCCGGCACAAAGCUAUUUGAUUCUGGCAUUCUACUAGGGGAAUGUCCCUCGACCAAGGGUGUCCACGUGACCAGUGGUCUGAAUCCUAGAUGCCAUUGUCUUUGGUGGGAACGAUGACUAUAUGACUUGUUGCAGCAUACUCUGUUGCCUGUUGCUACCAAGUAAACCCUUGACUACAUUCCGUCGAGCCAUGCCAACUUUGGUUGUGCUUUUGUGGACUCCUGAAGGGCAAUCUUGCGAAGGGGGACUCCUUAGGUUAGGCUAUCCCUUGGUGGGAGUUCGCAUGACUAUCACGCCCAUCUGGAAUUUGUCCUCCAUGCCGCGACUUCCAUCAACCUGCUCAUCAGGCCCAAUCUGCACGAUACUUUCUUCUCUAGGGGUGAGGUCAUAUGAUGCCAUUGCCAUGCGCUCAUGCAUGAGAAAAAUCCCUUAAAAGCAGGCCGCGCGCUGAUCAGUUGCUUGAGAAAGAAGCCUAAUGCCAUCUGCACAGGGUCGACAGUCCUGCAUAUUCUUGGAGUAGCCCCCCAGAGAUGAUGAUUCAAGAUCAGAUCAGCCUCAGUGCGGGCCAUGGGAUCGACAGCUAGUCUUUGUUCUACAAUGAUAUGUGAUAUGCUAGCUCCUUUAAUCGAUAUAUGUCGAACAAAUCUGCUGGAUCGACAGCUAGUCUUUGUUCUACAAUGAUAUGUGAUAUGCUAGCUCCUUUAAUCGAUAUAUGUCGAACAAAUCUGCUUGAAGAGCCUGAUCGAAGAGAUCCUUGUCUACUUUCAUCGUUUCCUUCUUUUUCUAGAAAUCUCAUCUAACCAAAUCCGCUCGUUAUUGUUUUACAAUGUACUAGCAUGGAAAGGAGUUCCAUGCUACUAAUUGCAAACGAGUUGGUAGUGUCGGUAACUUGUUCAUCUAGUUGCGUAUUGGUAACUUUCAACAAGUUAAAACAAAUAUCAAAGUUUCUUUAUUCCUCAAAUUUACCAACCAUUUUAAUAAUCUACCAACAUUUACUUUUGUGACUUACCAACCAUUUGAAAUUACUAAAUCUUAAUUUGAUUAAUAUACCAACAUUCAGUUAUCAACUUUGUUUUAGAAACUGAUUUCUUUGUGAUUUACCUGUGAUUACCAAUGCUUUCGAAGCACCAACUUCAUUUAAAAAUUUCCCACCUUAGUUUCACUCACAUAUCACCAUUCAUCACAUUAACAAAGUGCACCACAACAGCAAUGGGUACAAGCCGAGCCAGGCCGGCCGGCAGCCCCCCCGUCCCGGACGCCCUAGCUGAUGAUGAUCUAGGGAAUGUCCACUUCCCUGGCCGUGCACUAUCACCGCGGCAUAGUCCCCAUAGGCCUCAUGCCCAGAGAAGUACGCGCUAGAGUUUCCCCCCUUGAGCUUGUUCAGAGAGAAUGAGUACUUCAGCGUGUCCUUGCCAGAUUCAAGCCCAAAGGUCCUUGUCUAAUUGGACAUAGCAUUGUAAAAGCCGUAGCAAUAUGCGGCCUGGUCGGUGUUACGCUCGAUGACGCUGCCGAAGAACUGAACUGCCUUGCUCCUGGUGUUCAUCCAGGCCGGGACACCCCACGGUAGGUCGCCGCCCGGCCUCCUUAGGGCAUCCCUGGGUGGGAACAGCCCCCCGGCCUCCAUGGCAUUGUCCAGUAUCUCAAAAGUCAGGCUGCCUCCUAUGAGCCGGAACAGUUUCCAGUAGUUGCCCGCCGCCCUCGUCUCGGGCUCCAUAGCUGGGAGUCUCGCCGCCGCAGAGCUCGCACAGAGGCACGAAACAUGCUGGCAACGUCGGGACCCGUCGCCACAGCCUGCUUCCUCGAGAUGUACACCGUCUGAUGAAUUUUCCUAUUGCACGAAUGCACGUAAAAACUACUUCUUUUCCCGUCAUUCCACGCCUGGGUGGGUGGAUUCAGCUCUCUCUUUUCGGACCAGGCAAGUCCGAUUCAGGCAAAAGAUUUUAGAAGAAAAUGACGAGCAGAACCGAAAAAGAAAUCUUGAAUUCUUGCACCCUAAGCUUUCUACAUAUACUAGGCAUGUCCACUGUUUUUUCCUGUUCGAAAUGUAUCACUUGCGCGUCUAUAUCUAUCUAUUGUUACAUGCGCUUUUCAAAGGAUUGCCUAGAAACUUCGCAUUUAAUAUUGUGCGUCUAUAUUUGUCUAUUGUUACAUGCGCUUUUCAAAGGAUUGCCUAGAAACUUCAAAACUUAAGUAGUAGAUAAUUAAAGAUGACUUCUCCUUAUCAGUUUUGCCGAAUUCUCAAACAAAAAUAGCUGCUGCCUAGAUGCCACCUAAACAAUUUGGCGUGUUUUCCAUUCGAGUAUUAUUAAUUGAUGGAAAAUCAAUUAUGUAAAAUUCUACCAUCUCUCGAUCAUUUCUCUUUAUGACCAAGUUUAAUAUUUAUAGACUUUCUGAAUGUUAUUGAGUGCCCACUUCAGAAAAAUUAAACAUGGUCAUAAAUUAUCUAGAUAAUAAGCUUUUAAAAAAUCGAAUCGGUAAUUUCACACGAUUUAAUAAGUUCAUAUGAACAGCUGAGCACAAUCUAUUUGCAUAAACUUUAGAUAUUUCUAUACAUUAUUGAGUUUAUUGAAACGAAUAUAUCUAUGUGGACAUAAAAAUCCAAGAAAUGAUUUCUUAAUUCUACUUUCAGAGUGAACCCCUGGAAAAAAACCCAAAAAAAAAAGACCCGAAUAUUUUAAUUAAAAAUUCGGAUUUUCUCUAUCGGUCUAGUAAAAUCCAGCAUUCAGACCCGCAAAAUGAGAAGGAAACCCGAAAUCCUGCGCUUGUUCUCCUGAAUCCUCCUGCGCCGUGCUUCCGCCGCACGCCGCCGCCGAACCCCGCCGGUCUCCGCCGCCGCAGCCCGCCGGUCCCUCCGUCCGUCCAUAACCUGAAGGUGACUCUCUCUCUCUCUCUCUCUCUCUCUAUCGUGAAUUCUCUUCCUCUGCAAUUUCGUCGUCGCCGGGGUCUCUCCGUCGCUACCUCGCCGGACGCGCGAAUCCCUAAUUCGCGGCGGGCGGCUGUCUCCGGCGCUCCUCUCUGGCGGAACCUCGCCGAUUGCUCAUGCGCUAGGAACCUCUGCGGCAGGAAAUUCGAGGGAUGGACGUGAUCUCCCAGCUGCAGGAGCAAGUCAACACGGUCGCGUCGGUCGCCUUCAACACCUUCGGCUCGCUGCAGAGGGACGCGCCCUCCGUGCGGCUCUCCGCGAGUUACCCCGAACCGCCCCCGACCGCCGCGGAGGACGCGUCCAGCUUCGCCGAGCAGCCCAAGCUGAUGAGUGCUGCUCUUGUCAAAGCCGCCAAGCAGGUUCGUGCCUCUCUCCGGCUUGCUGUUGUUGCGAGUUAGUGGCGAGCUUGUUCGUUAUCUGCUUGAUGUGAUUGGAAGAAUUUAUUUGGCUAGGGCUUUAUGAAGAUUGAUAACUUGAUUUAUCGUGGCAAGAAAAGAAAUUUACUUGUGUAUGAGAAUUGUAUGUAUGGCUAGAAAUCUAGGUUAUGUCCGAAGUUUCAGCGGAGAGGUGUUCUUACUUCGAUUGGCUUCUGUGCGCAUUUAGUCUCGGUUUUGGGAACUCUGUGCGUGUUCUUGUAGAGGAUGUGAGCAGAUUUCAUUCAUUAAUGUGUACUAUGGAAGUUCUCAUCGAUAGAUCACAGAUGUGACGCGAACUUCUGAAGAUGUAAUGCAAGUUGGGCAUUUGGUUCGUUUUCGUGUAUGUGUCCAUGGGCGUUGCACGCCAUUGCACCUAAUGUGACAGUUAUUCCUACGGAAGAAAACAGGACCUCCUCCAUUUUUUUUCUUGUGGAUUCUGUUGGUGGAUAUAUCUGCCAUGAGUAUCUCAGUGUGCAUAUGUACAUAGACCACGCUGUGAUUUGGUUUACAUGAGUUGGGUAAUCUUUUGACUCAUAAGUGUGAAAUAGUUAUGCACAUUUGAAAGAGCCACCACUCUUGUGUAAUCACGACUAUCGUUUCUUUCAAAUGUGUUUCUGCAUCUUAAAGUCGGUAGAAUGGUUUGAGAUUGUAACUCCAUCAGCAUUCUUGAUCUUGAGUAAGGUGGAUUGUUGGUUUCUGAUUUCUACCUCAUUCACUUUUGUUUUACUUCAUGCUUGAAGUAAAAUGAUGGUCGGUGUGACAUCCUAAACUCUGCGACAUCAGUAUAUUCUUGCGGGUGAAAGCAAUUAGCCUCCAUUUUAGAGAUGAAGCAUUAUGCUUCAAGUUAUAAAAUUCGGUCUCUUUUCCACCGUUUGCUUUGGCAAUCUGGAUAUAGUUCUAUCGGAACUCUUUUUCUUCUUUGAUGCCUUAGUAGCGGGACUUCCACUGCCUGAGGGAGGUGAAGAAGCUCAACUCAAAAGGAUUGCAGACCUCCAGGUUAAGAGGAUCCAUGGUUUUUGGCGUCUUUAGUUCAUUAUUUCUGUUGUUUAAGGCUGUUUCUUAUUCAUCCCAAAUUACCUUUGCACAGGCUGAGAAUGAUGCUGUAGGACAAGAGCUUCAGAAGCAACUUGAAGCUGCCGGUAAUUGCCCUAUUGAUGAGGGUGUGAGGGCAUUUGUCUUGUUCACUUAUGUAUGUCAAUUUUUGGUCGAAAGUGAUAUCUUCUAUGAUUUUUGGCAUUGGCAGAGAAGGAAUUGAAGCUGGUCCAGGAGCUAUUCAGCCAGGCAACAGAUAACUGCUUCAAUUUGAAGAAACCAGAAUAAAAAUUGAGGACGCUUCUCUUCUUUACCUUUUUCAUAAAAUUUAUGCAGUAGAGAUGAUGACUGAGAGAAUAGGCAUUCUACCGUUCGAAUAGUGCAAAGAGACCUGAGAUGUCGCAGCUCUGUGUGGGUGAGUUUUGAAGUCCUUGCCGAGUAAAAGUUUCUCAGUGCACAAAAAGCAUCAAUAUGGGCAUCAAGUCAACCAAACAAUCACUCAAAUGAAGUAGUUCUGGUGAAGUAAGAAGUCUAGUCUUG